rnacentral:lncRNA from 1 species
UAGAUAUGAAGGAAAAAAAGUGUUAUAUUCCUUUAAGGUCAAUUCCAUAUAUCGAGAAUCCACCAUCUCCCACUUUCAUUUCGAAUAAGAACUUGCCUUAAAAGCAGCAUUGUUGGCUGAUCAAUAAAGCAGUUGAGGGAAUAUUGGUAUAACCAUGACCUAACCCUAAAUAGUGGAAAGAUUCCCCCAAAAACCUUCCAGUCUUCUUUCAGAAUUUCUCUACAUAAAGUACUUUUUCUCAACUUGAAACUUAAUAAAAUAAUAAAUAAAUUAAAAGGAUAACAUAUAUAUAUAAGGUGAAAAGAAAUAAACACACAUUUGCUAGUGGCAUUGUGAUGUUAAAAAACUAAAGAAGUAUAGGCAUAGGAAGCUAAAUAAUUGUGAUUAUUAUAACAUUGGCUUUUUUUCGUGUGUGUGUAGAAUCCUCCCACGAAGAUGAUGUCGGGAAAACAGUAGCAAUAAUCGUGGGUGUAUUGGCAGGUGUAGUGGUUCUGAUUGUUCUUCUCUCAGUUUGCCGAAAAACCAAACGUAAAGCUCUUCUUAAUUUUCUCUCCAUUUCCUCAUAUUUUUUAGAGAUAAUAACUUUGACCUUUAUUCUUUUCCCAGAUUGAAUGAGCCUGCCCAGCUUCCGAAAGAGUAUUCGUGAUUAGUGUAUUGGGUUGUUUUCUUUAAUAUUAAGGUGGCAACUUUAUCAGUUACUUUAUUUUUUUAGUCAUAAAAAAGAAGGGAGGCAGUGAAUGUAAUCUCCAUCAACUUCACAACAUAUGCUGAUUCCAUCACAAACCUGACAUGAAAAUCCAUCACCUUUCUUCAGCAAAACUUUAUCCUUUCACAAAAGUAAGCCAAGUUGAUCAUAAUUAUAAAUUGGUAAGUAAACUAAACCGACAAUCAAAAUCCGGCUUCUUUAUCUGCCUUCUCUUCGUUUCUCUAGAUGGGAAAAACUUCAAUAAAAUUUGCAUUUCUUUUUCCAACAGAUUCAACCAUUCCAUAUCUCAAUUUCAGUUUCAAAAUCGUUUCUAUGUGAAUCUUAUGUAAAUAAUAACAUGAAAUGAGAAGAUUAGUCCCAAAACAAAAGGAGCUUAAUGCAAUAUUAUUAAUUGGGCUUAAGGCCUACUAUCUAUGUUUGACCCAUCUAAUGCAAUAUUAUCAAUCCGCUUGAUGCGAUAUCAUCAAUUGGUCAAACAUUAAACAGUUUUAGACAAUGAAAAGGCUCCACUUUGCAUUUUUAUAAAAAAAACUAUAUAAAAUUCCUUUCAUCAUAUAUAUAAACUUAAAAAUAUAUAAUAUUUUGUUGAGUAAUUUUCCGUUGUGUCCCAUUAGAGGGGGCAAUCGAAUCUUUAUAAAUAUAGCUAUUGUUCAUAGAAUUGACGCUCUUAACUGACUUUAUGCAUGCUAGACAUGUGUAUUGCUCUGGGCUGCCUGUUGAAUACUCCUUUGACUCCUGUGAGCCGAGACCUACGAGCUCCCUUUGUAAACUCCUCUUGUCUUGUGCGAGCUGAGUUUGCGAACUUCCCUUGCGAACACCCUUUGCUAGCUUCAUACCGUAAGGCUUGCAUGUAUCCGAUUGGUGGGCCCUAUUUGAGUCACGGGUAGCAACCUUGACCUUAUAUGAUUUUUGGGUUGAUCAUAAAUGCCUAACAAACAUGUAUAUAUAUAUACACACAUACGGGGAUAAUGUUUGAUGCAUUAGUUUAAUACACCAUCAAUGAACCACAUUAAAUAAUAAUUAAGAUAAUAAAGUCUUUGAGUACUUAUAAAUAAAUAUUAAUAAAUUUAUUUAAUUAUAAUUAAAAGUAAUUAAAUUUUUUUAUUUCUUUCAUCUCUUUCUUUACAAAAACAACUAAUAUUUGGACUAGAUGAUCGGAGUUGGACCUUGUUGGAUACCAAUGUUUGUUAUUUCAAAAACUAGAAGAUCUAACUGAUGGUAUUGCAGUCUAUUUAUGAUAUUGAUAUAGGUACUAAACCGAUAGAAAUAUAAAAGCUAGAUACUAAUCAAACAAGUCAAAACUAUAUAAUAAAAAAUUAGUUAUAUAGUUCUUUACUUGUGGAUCUUCAUUAGCUUUACUAAUAAGUUUGGAUUUUCAUAAGAAUAAAUUAUUAUUGAUGAUUGAAAAUCAAUAAAAUAAUUCUAAAUUUGAAAAGAAAAAAUAAUUCAAAACCCAGUUUAUGUAAGGGGGAGAGGGAGAUGAGAAAAAAAUCCCAAAAUUAAUUCUAAUUGUUUUGUGAUUGAAUAUUAAUGAAAUAAUUUAAAAUUGAGGGAAAAAAAACAAAUUUAGAGACGUUUUGCUAUGUAGAUAUAUAAGGAAAGAGAUGAAAAAUAAUAAAAAAUUUAAUUUAUUUGAAUUAUAUUAUUUAUAAGUCCUUAAUGAUUUUACUACUUUACUUAUUGUUGAGAUGAUCUAAGUGGUUUAUUGAUGGUGCAUGAUAUUUAUGCAUUAGUGGUGCAUUAAAGAAGUUUUAAAAUAAAAAAAAAAACUUGUAUACAAAUCCCCUCAAUAAAUGAAAUAAUUAAACAAAUUAAAAAAAAAAAUUCUGAAAUUUAUUUUUUUUGGAUUUCAUGAUUCAUCAUGUUUUCCUUUAGAUUUGAAGAUUCAAAUUUCUUUUUAUUUUUAUUAUUUUGGGUUCAAUAUUCUCACUUCCCAGAUUAUCAUGGUAUCUUCCCUCAAAUAUUAAAAUGAUUUUAAACAAACCUAUACAAAUUUGUGAAUGAUCGGGAAAUUUCCACCCACUAACCUACAUACUGGUAUUCCAUUUUCUUUAAAAUUCCUUUUAAUUAAGUUAAUACUUAAAUAAUCUUUUUUUUUUUCUAAAUUUUAACCAAAGAUUUCACGUGGAUGGCCCCCGCUGAUUACCACUCACCCUCGUUGGCCGCCACUUUGGUUGUUUGAGUCUAGAUUUCACCAUUAUUUUGUUUUCAACCCUCUUUUUUUUUUUUCAAAGAUCAAUGUCGAAACUUCAACAUUAAAAUGAAGUAUGUUUUGGUUGGAUUGUUUUCAAUUUUCAAAAUUUUCUUUUAAGUUUUUCUAUCACCGUUUAAGUCAAUCAAACAAUAUCUAGAAUGCUGGAAUUUCGCUUGCGGUUUUUUGUGUAAUGUGAUUAUUGGUAUGAUAUGAAUAUGCGGUUAUGUGUUGGAUAAGAAGAUGAAGAAGAAAGAGGAGGAGGAGAGAGAGAAUACUAAUUAAAUUUAAUUUAAAUAAACAUAUUUUUAAAUCAAAAGAAAACAAAAACUACAACACGUGACACUCUUUAAUUAGUUGAAGUUUUUAUUAAAGAAGAAAAAAGAAAUAAAAAAGUCUGGGUUGGUUAAUGUCAAAGCAAUGUGAAGGAAUAUAUUUGAGUUUUCUAGAAAACAUACAAGUCGUAGAUUGAAAACGAACUAUUGUCAUUUUCAAAUUAACAUAAAUGACUUUGUGUACCUGAGAAAUGAAUGGACCAACCAAACAAUAACGAAAGCCUAAUCUGGUUACAUGGUUUUUAUUAGAUAUGUCUUACAGACAAAUCCAACUCAUCUUUUGAAGAAAUAUUUGUUUUGGUUCGUGAUUUAAUGAUGUUGAUAUCUUAACUAACCCACACCAUUGAACAUCCCAACCACGAGACUCUCUCUCUCUCUAUAUAUAUAACCGUACAGUACGAACACAAUGGAUGAAAUUCAACUUUAUUAUUCAUUAACAAAGAUUUUAGAACGUUACACAAAGAAUUGAUGGCAACUCUGUAUGAAAGUAGCAUUUUUAGUACAAUAUUGAGGGUUUAUACAGCCUUAACCCUAUUAAACCCUGUUAUUUAUUUUACAAGCAAUUAAAUUAACUAUAAAAUUGCAACAAAUUAAAGUCCUGAAGUGAAAGGCACACCGGUGCUCGGCAACCAAGAAUUCCCAGCCAGAAAGUUACCGACGGUGAACUUUGACACCUCACUUGCGCUCUUAAGAACAUGGUAGCCUCCCCAUUUGACUCUAUUAGACGUGGAUGAACCGGGGCCAGUGUUCAUAUACUCCGCAUAAUACAGCGUCUUAAGUGCAAAAUCACCAUCCCAUUCCAUCCAGCCGGCCGGGUUAAUUAAGCUAUCCAGAUACGUUUUCAUGAAAACCGUCCUCGAAUAUUGUUUCCAUGGCCUCCCUAGAUAUGUCUUCACCGAGCUUUGCACUGGCUUCAAAUCGGAAGCUGCUGUAACUCUGGAGUUGUGGAUUAUAAUUCCAGUAUUCUGGUUUGGGUCGGUCCGGCCUUGAGCCGUCACCGUGUUGGUCUUAUUAGGGGGAUUGCGUGCGUAUAUGUUGCAGUUUUGAAACACAACGGCUGCGUUGCCGAAUAUCCAAUCAACGGUCCCGUAGAUGUCACAUUCUCUGUAAAAUUGCCUUUCGGAAUGGACGUAAAGAGUGUCUUGGUACCCUUCGAAGCUGCAUUUGUAGAACACCGAGAGAUCGGAGCCUGAACGUAGAGCCACUGCCUGAUGGUUAGUAGGACCAGCGGUGUUUCUGAACGUAAUGCCACGAGCAAUGAACCCAUCUCCAACAACGGCUGAUAUUCGACAUUAUUAUAAAAAAAACAAAUUAAAAUAAUAAAAACCAACGUAAGUUAGCCUUUUAUUUUCAAUCUAGAAAUUGAAAAAAUCUAUUUAUUGCAGAUCCUAUCACAUCAAUCAAAUUGAUGAUUCCUUGACUAUAAAGGCUAUGACAUUGAAAGGUAAUACAUGUCACUUUCAUGCAUAGCCUAGCUCCUGCCAGCACUUCAAAAAUUUUCAUUUAGAUUUUGUAAAUGUAAAAUUAUAUUUAUUAAUAUAUUUUUUAUGAAGUGUUUAUAUUCACAAUGAAAUAAACAACAAUUAAGUUUCACAACAUUCAAAUGUUUAUUACUAAAAAUUAUAUGCAAAGUUUCUUCUUCAAAAGAAAAAUAAUUCAGUUGGUAGUAAUUUUACUAUGUUUUUGCUACUUAUCCUAAUCUAACUUGAUAUAUAAAAUUAAGUAUACAUAUCUUCUGGCAUACCCUAAAUAUAUAUAUAUGAAGAAAAUAAUAAAAAAUAUAUCAUUUAUUGUUAAUUCAUUAUCAAUGUAGCUAAUACGAAAUCAUAUAUGUGAUAUGUUAUUUGGUAAUUAUGGUGUAUAAUUUUUUGAUGUAAUAUUUAAAAUUAUUUAUAAUCUUACACUUAUAAUAAAUUUGAUGCCAAUCAAAUUAAAACUUAAUUAAUAUUUAUAAUUAUAUAUUAGAUACCUACAUUUUUUUUCAACAAAAUUAGGUGCCUCAUUAAUUUUAGACUUUUAGGCUUGUUACAUUUUCCAUGUUAACACUACUACUAUUACUUUUAUGUAUGUACUAAGCUAUAUAUAAGUUAUGUUUCAUUGAAUUGAAUUAGGAUUUAGUCAAUUUCUUAUUAAUACAUCUAUUAUUAUCAUUGAUUUGUAUAAGCCUGGCAUGUUUAUUUGCUGUAAAAAUUAUGUAUUAAAUUAAUGUCUUAAUUUAGUAUUGUUUUUAUUAAAAAAUAUUUUAAUAUUUUUAAAGAAAAGCUAAAACCUUUUAUUUCUGGUUUUUAUUUAAAAAAUUUAAAAAAUUUAAAAAAAAUUUAUUUAAUAAUACUUUUAUCUCAAAAAUAUUUUUUAUAACGUACAGCUAAACUGGUCAGUUUUAUUUAUUAUACUAGUUGUCUAGUUGGUACCCAGUCUAAACCUAGUAACUAGCAAGAUGUUUCCCUGCUAAUAUUGGCUGCCUUUUCUUGCAAGCUACACUCCCAUCCCACGGCACUCGUAAGAAAAUCAUGCGAAAAUCCCAAAAGUUUACUCACCAACGGUGGCUGAAUUGAACGUUGUGGAUCCUCCUCCGACGCUUUUGCUCCCUGUGAUUAUAGUUUUCCCUAUACCAUCGCCCACCAUCAUGAUGUUUUUCAGCUUGCUUCCUAUCUCAACAUUUUCCUUGUAUGUGCCUGCCUUAACGUAUAUCACAUACCUUCCACUUCCGGACCUCUUCGAAGCAGCGGAUAUAGCGUCUUUUAUCGUCUUAUAAUUCCCUGAACCAUCUUGGGCCACGACGAUAUUCGCCGUAGAAGCUGGCGACGACGAUUGCAACAGCUUCCUGUCACCGGGUUUCACCCAUGUCGGGAACCCAUCUUUGUAGGUUGGUUCCUUGUAAGGUGCCUUGUUGAGAGCCAGGGUGUUACUAAUUAACUGGGAAACGUUGUUAGACAUCAUGGGAAGAAGAUAAUCCGGGACCCCGAGUUCCAUAAACCCGGUCCGGCAUGUUUCGAGAUUGGUUAAAGCCGUGCUGAGCCAUGUUUGAGCAUCAUCCUUAUUGAGAUUGGUGCCGGAAUCAACAGUUUUGUUGAGACGAAGGAUGGUUAACUCAUACAAGUUUACGCAAUCGGACCAUGCAGCCUUUUCACGUUCAUUCCGGCACUUAGUGCCCAAUGAAUGCGUGUUACUUUCUGCUCGUGCGGCACGCUCUAGAGCGAGGUGCGUGGAGAUUUUGAAAAAUUGGAACUCAUCUUUGAUUGGGGUUUUUUUGGGAUCAUGGCUCAAAAAAUACUCGCACGGCUGUGGGUUAGGAGUUUUCCUGCACCAUGAUCUCACAUCAUUAGCCCUAUAUCCUAAAGCAACCGGAAAAAGAAAAACAGGCACCAAGGAAAGUGCUACGAGGAUUUGAAGACGUGCCAAUGCCAUGGAUGGCUCACCAAUGUGUGAAUUGUAAUAGGUUUCGAAAGGUUUAAGUGGGGUUUAUUGUGGGAUAUUAAUGCUCUAUCUCUGGGUCUCUUUAUAUAGAUGUUUGGGGUACUGAAAAGUCUAAAAUGUUUUUUGCUUCAGCUAGCAGUAGUUAGUACAAAACUGUAUGAUGGCUGUUUUGUAAGCGAAAUAAAAUUUGAUGGCUGCCUUUUUCUAUCAAGUACAUAUUAUUUGAAGAAAGUAAAGAAAAAAAAAAGGAAAAAAAAGAAGAGAAAAACAAUGUGCAUUGACCUUCUGAAUUACAUGCAAAUGCAGUAUAUAUUGGACAGACAACUAGGUAACAAUCCUUCCCUUCCUUACCUAGAGCGACCUGUCAUCAAUUAUGACGCUGAAAAGUCAGAUUGUUUGUAUUUCUGAUUACGUAAUUGGCUUGGCUGCAUGUAGCCUCUCAAUACCAUGGAACGGGUCCUUAAUUUCAAUGGAUUCUAUUAUAUAUUUUGUGUACAAAUUGUUUUAAGUUUGAGAUGUUAAUAGGAUGGAUCCGGCGAGUUCCAGUUUUAAAAUUUUCAUAUAAAGUAGUAAGUAAAUCUUAAGUUGAGAGCAGUUAGCUAAUACCUUCAUUUUAUUAUUCAAAAAAGAUAAAAAAAAUAUUAUUAUUUAUUUAUAUUUAAUUAUAACUUAUAAGAUUACUAAAUAUAAGGUUGAAAAACACAAAGGGGGCUAGGUUGAUUGAGCCAAGCAGACUGAACCAACCCUUUUAAUUUUAAAAAACAUGUUAAUAUAUAUGCUUAAACAUGUUUAAAAAUUUAUUUUAAAAUUAGGGUUUUUUUUUUUAAUAAAAGAGAUGCGAAAACAAUUUAAAGGUAAUAUAGUUUAAAAGCAAAUAAAAUAGUGAGGAAAGAUUCAAAGUCGUCAUUGACUUACCUGGCUUACUGAAUUAUUUUACCGAUCUUCCCUUAAGACUCAUCUCUGGUCUAAAAUUUCAAUUUGUUUGACUUUUUUUUUUUUUUUAUCUCUCAAUUUAUUUAAAUGGCUGGGGCGUGACAAAUUGGCCUAUAAAAUUAUUUAGCAUGCAACUCAUGUUCCCGUAAUAAUUAAAGAAAAGUCUCAAAUGUUACCAUGAAUUCUUGUUAUGAUAAUUGUUCUGUUAGGUGCGGAAAAAUAAUAAGAUACGAGUACAAAUACAUUAUUUUUGGUUGAAUUAUAUCAAACAGCAUGCUAGGUUUUAUUGCAUAUAUAUAUAUCAAAUCUGGACACGUUGAAAUAGCUAAUACAAACCACAAACACAUCGUUACAAGUGAUAAUUAAUAAAAAAAAAAUCAACAUUUAAAUUGAAUUACAAAGUGACUUCUCAAGUAUAUGAAUGUUGUUCUUAUCCAAACCAUGUUUGUAUAAUUCAUGGAUCGAAAAAAGAUUGAAUUUUAAAAUAAAUAAUUAAGUCUAUUUUUACUAAAACUAUAUAAAAAUUAAAGGUUGUGCCCCACGCCUCCACUCCACGCAAAAGCCCUACGUUUAUAUAAAAACUUUAUAUCGUAAUCAAGGUCAAGGAAGCCAAUUUCCAUGCCAAAUUGGACUAACUAGUUAACUGCAAUCAAAUAAUUGCGAAUAUAUCCAAAUAAACUUUGCAUUAAGUUGAGUUAUGUUUUUGUUAAUCCAUACGCAUCGCUUGUGCUAUAAUCCUAACUCAAAACGUCUCUGUUAAUUAGUUUGUAACACGAAAGUUGUAUAAACAUAUUACAGUCAUAAUCAAACAGUUUCUAAUACUUACGAGGAAAAACCCUUGUCUUUAAUUUCAUUUUGUAAUGAUAAUACGGUAUUAGGUCUUUUUCAUCCUUCAUACUCAGUAACAUUUUCUUUUAUUUUUCAGGUGAAAGCUGCCAAUAACUGAAAAAAGGAUGCCAUUUGAUAACAAAAAAUAGUUGGCAUUACUUCAUUUAAUUGCUGUGAUAACAAACUUAUAACUAACUAUCUUCUUGGCUAUAAAUGUAACACAAAAUAACACUUCUACAUUACAAUUACACUUCAUCUAAAAUUUUAGAUUCCUAUAGGCCUAAAAUUUUGUUCAAGACUAACUCCGAUAUUAUUUUUUUGUAUAAAAUAUAUUUUAAAAAUAUAAUACAUUAAAAUAAAUAUUUUCCAACAAAUUAAAAAUAUAUUAAAAAAGUCUUUAUACUUAACAAGCAAAUGCCUUUAAAAUAGUAAAAAAAUUAAUAAUAAAAUAAGAGUUAUACAAUAUACAAACAAUAAUAAUAAAAUAAUAGCAAAAUGACAACAAACAAUAGUAAAAAAAAUUAGACAAAUUUAAGCUGAGCCGGGUCAAAAAAAUCUUACCCGAGGCUUGGCCCGUUUUGGAAAACAAAUAUUUUUUUGUCUAAACCCAUUUUUUGAACUUAUAUUUUUACCUAAAUAUUCCUCCCAUUUUUUGAACGGAACUCCAAAUUUAAACUAAUAACCCGACUUACGAUCAAAUCUAGCUACACUCAUAUAUCAUAUCAUGAAUAAAUAAAUCAUUUGACCUAAGCUAUGAAAAAUUCCCUCUAAACUACAUAACUUUUCAUCCAAAUACAUUUUCCAAAAAGUUCAAUUACUGAAUUUGUAAGGUUUGGGAAACAAGUUGAGGUGUUAAGAAAAUAAAUGUUGGAAGUUUAAAAACUAAUCCAAGUAUCCAAUCAUGGACGAUUGAUUUUGACUUUUUUUUUUUUUUAUUCUUUUGCGCUGUAUUAAAGGGCCUUUGGUUUUGGUUUCAUCAGAUUCUUAACACAAAUUAGCCAUAUGCUUAAGCAUCAUUAUCCACUUUAAUUGAGAAAUGAUUUUGACUAUCAAGUUGCGUGUGCACACUUGCACCUUAAUCAUAAAAUAAAAAUUCAAAUGCCGUUCAAAAGAAAUAAAAUCCAUCCACGGUUUGAUCCCCAACGUUUUUGAAUAUAUAUAUGGGUUUCAACAAAAAAGGCUGUGGGUGAACAACUCUGUAGGAGAUUUUUCUAUGUAUUUUCAUCUAUUUUACUGUUUAGGCUGACAAUUUUUUUAACAAGACAAUGUAUUGACAUCACCUAACCCGAUCAGUUCGACAAGUAAAAUAACAAUAGCGGAACAAUGCCAAAAACAUAAAAGAGCACAACAGAAUUCCCCAACAAUGAAACCAAAAAGCUCCACACAAGAUAAACAACGGAAACCUACUAAAAACGAAACAACCAUCACACCAUACAAACCUCGACAUGUGAUUUCAAUUCGUACCACAACCACAACCAAAAUUACCUUGUAUUUAUAUAGCACCUUGACCUUUUGAAAGAAAGCAAACUAUCAAUUGAUUUCGUAUAUUAAUUUUCGAUGCCACUUCUACAAAAGUGAUAGUCUCAAAUAAAACCUUUCAAUAGCCAUCUUUUCUCAUAAAAUCUCAAAAUUUUUUGAAUAAGUUUCAAUUAAGAAAAAUAAAUAUUUAAUGUAGAACUUGAUUAAUCAUAUAAUAAUUUUUAUCUCUUACUUUUCAUUCCAAUUUUUUCCUUCAAAAAAAAAUUGAAAGUAAAGAUUAUCUAAAUUUUUUCACCCUAAGACUUCAAUUACAUAGUGAAAAGAGAAAAAAAGAAGAGAAAAGUUGGGUGUUGUUGAUUUUAUUUUAAUAAAAUAAGAUAAAUACAAAAUCUAAAACUUAGAACCAUUUAUUUUGAUCUAAUGACUAAGAUCAUUUGACUCUCAUCAUUCUCAUUUUAAAAGUUAUUAUUAUAGUUACCAUAAUCUUUUAUGAGAUAUAUGUUUAAAAAUGACUUGGUAAUGUUUAAUAUUAUAAGUUAAUUCAACAUUAAUUUGAAAUUAUAAAAAUUAAAGUAAAAAUAAAAUUAUUUCCUUGUGAUAAUAUUUAUAUCUUUAAUAUAUAUUAUUUUUGGGAAAAGGGUCAAAUGAAAAAGCUUUUAGUGAUCCAACUGUGUCCUCAAUUGGCCCCCAAAAGUUAAUUGGCCCUUAUGUUAAUAGUCAAUGACUUCCUAAAAUGAAAAAUUUCUCUUCUAGCUUUUUUAAAUUUAUAAAAUUUUAAAUUAGUAAUGAUAAAAUUACAUUUUGUCCCCUCAAAAGAUAAAUAAUUUAUUUAAUUUCUUAAAAAUUAUAAAGAAUAUAUACUAUUAAAAUGGAGAAAUUACAUUUUUACUAUUAUAAAAAUAUACAACUUAAUUCCACCACUCAUUUUUUUUUAGCUUUACCCCUGAUAAGAAAGGGGACUUUUCUGUCCCUAUUCCCACUAACCUUGCUUUUACUAGUACCCUUACUAGCAACCUUACCUAAGAAAAACACACAACAUGGUAAAAAAGGCAAAAAAAGAGAGAGAGAAAUGAAUGAAGACACUCACCUAACAAAAACAUCCCAAGCAACUCAAAAUACUUUGGACAACUUCAAGCAUUAAAUGAAUAAGAAAGAACAAAAGUACUUGCAAAAAAAGUUAUAGAGGAAGAAUUAGAGUUUGAUAAUUAAAAAAAAAAAUUUAGAGAGAUUGCAGAAGUGAGGAGAACAACAUGAGAGCUCUUUAUAUAUAUGACACUCGUUUCAUGCACCAUCAACACAUGUUUAUUGAUUUUGGCAACACUCUUAAUCAAAUACAAGAAGACUCAUGGCCUACACAUCAUUAUAACGUUUACAAAUCAUGUUAUCUAAAUAACGGCUAAUGCGCGUAUCCUUAAGUCAUGCUUUCAUUAAAUCAACAGUUACAAAAUUGAAAAUUUGAACAUUCUAUACAAGGGCGAAGGGAGGGGCCCUUGCCCCCUAAAACUGGAAAGUUUUGGUUUAGACCCCCUAAAAGCUAUCAAGUUACAAGGAUACGGCAAAAUUAUAGUUUGACCCUUCAAAAUUAUAAAAUUUUAAUUUAAUCCUAAAAAUUGCAAAAAUUCUACAAUAAUAUAGUGAAAUUGUAUUUUAACUCUCAUAAAGUUGUAUAACAUUAUCCCGCCCCCUCCCAAUUUUUGUUUUGGCUUUGCUCCUAAUUCAUACCAUGCCACAUAAGAAAAUGAGAUCCCUCAGCAAAACCUUUGGUCUAGGAGGAAGUCUCCCUUCACUGGGUGGCAAUUGUUGUACAUACAUUGUUAGAGGACUACUUCGUAAGACAAAUGUCUCUGUAACACCCCCAACCUAUAUCCCUCGUCGAAACCGGGUUAUGGAGCAUAACCGGAGUUUACAGAUCAAACAGAUAGAAAUUUCAACAUUUCAUAUAACAUAACAUUCAUGUUAAAAACCAAUCAAACUCAUACAUAUUGUCCCUUAUUCGAGCCCUCGAGCCCCAAAACACGCGUUAGAAACAAGUCGAGACUAAUUCGGAAGCUUAGGAAAUUUUUCGAAAUACAUUAAAAAUUUUCAAAGCUGUAACGGUCAGAUGGCCAUGUCACCUGGCCGUGUGUCACACACGGUUGAGACACACGCCCGUGUCUCUACUCGUGUGGACGAAAAUAGAUCAUUUUACAAGCCAUAUUUGUAAUACCUCUUAACCCUAAACCGUCGCCAGAACAGGGUUACAAGGCAUUACCAGACAAAUCAGACAAUUUACGGAUAAUUCUUAAUAAAUAAAUAAAUAACAAGCAUAUUAUAGUAUAAUUAGAAAGUCAUUUUUUUAAAAUAAAAAUUCAAUAUAACCCCUUUAGAAUUAUCUAUCCUUCCCUGCAAUUUUCAAACAACAACCAAUCCAAACAAAUCAAUUCAUGAAUUUAUACAUCUCUAAUUAUAAUAAAAUUAAUAAUAUAAAGUUCUAACAUUUUUAUGUUUUUAACAAUCUAACAUAAGAUGUCUAAUUGAUUCAUUUAAAUUAUCAUUUAACAAAAUUGCAUAAAGUUAUGACAUAGACUGUGUUUAAGACAUAUAUAAUUGUAUGGAACAACUAUUAACAUCAUUUAUCAGUAAUACUUCUAUAACAAAAUAACAACUUAUUACGACCUAGGUACAUGUCAUUUACAAAAGAGAAAAAUACGCCACCAUGCAUUUGAGUUCGGGAUCGGCUUGAAUGCUAAGUCGUUAAUCACUUUUGUACCUAACCUGCGCACGGAAACAAACCGUACGCUGAGUAUGCACUCAGUGGUAUUUCUAUAAGCCAUCACUUAAAUAAUUAUAAAAUACAUAUAUAACACUACAUAAAUUCAAUACCUAUUCAAAUAUUCACAUUUUAAUCCAGUGCUCUAUUUUAUUAUAAGCUCAGUAUUAAUCAUUAUUUUUCAAUAACAAUUAUUUGUUUAUUGUUAUUCAAUAACAAUCAAUUAUUUAGUAUCAAACAAUCAAUAAAAAUCAGUUAUUCAGUCUAGUAAUACAAUCAUUUUGAUAUUCAGUGCAAUAGUUUACACCUAUUAACAUAGCUCGGACUUAGACGGAUACACGGAUCCAACCAACACACCAGUACGGCACUCAGUGCCUCAUCGGCUUUGCUGAAGUAAACAGUAGUAGUACGGUACUUAGUACCUCAUCGGAUUAAACCGAAGUAGCAGUAACAGUACGACACACAAGGUGCUUCAUCGACUCGAAGUCGAAGUAACAAUACGACACUUAUAAUGCCUGAUCGACUCAAAGUCGAAGUAUCCCUAAGCACUUCUAAUCCUAUCGCAUGCCAAUUAUAUCCGACUCAGUCCGAUACAGUUAAUAGGGUAUUCAAUUCAUUUCCCAAUUCACAAUAAUUAAUUAUUUCAAUAUCAAUUUCACAAUGAUAACAAGAUCACAUACAUUCAAUUCUUUAUCAAAACACUAAUACUUACCUUAAUAUCUUUCCAUACACAUCAAAUAAUAAAAACAACAAUUUAAAUGUUAAGUUUGGUUUAUAGAAAUACAAACCGUAAUUCUCGGAUUACUCUUCGUCAACCUUCUCUUUUCCUUUCCUUGCGGAUGUCUCGAUUUUUUAUUAGCUACGAAAAUAAAAAUAAUUUAUAUUAUUAAUACAACACUAAUUAAUAUUGAAUAAUUAAAUUUCUAUUAAAUUUCUAUAUUAAUUUCAAUUUAAUCCUAACUAAAUUCAUUUAUUUUUCCAUCUCAAUUCAUAUCUCAUUUCUACUCAAAUUUCAACUAAACUUAAACUUAACUAUCUAAACUUCAUCAUAAAUACCUAAUUUAGAAAUUCUUGCAAUUUAGUCCCUAUCAUACAAAAUUUAUAACUUAUUCUAUAAUUUAAUCUAUCUCCCACUUUUAGUUAAAAAUUCUAUUAAUUCAAUCCUCAAUUCACACUUUUACUCAAUAAAAAUUAAUGUCUAAAAAUCUAAUAUCUUUGAAAAUUUCAACACAUACUUAAUAAUAAUUUGCUCCAAGUUUAUAAAAACUAAAAAAUUACAAGAAAAAGGACUUAAUUUGACUUACCAAUUUAAAAUUGAACCUUGAAAACCCUAAAUUUCUUCUUUUCUUUUCUCUUUUUCUUUUCUUUCUAUUUCGUCCCCUGUUAUGUUUCUAUUUUCUUUCUUUCAUUAAUUUAUAUACAUAUAUAAUAAUAAUAAUAAUAAUAAAAUAUAAAUAUCUUUGUUAUAUAAUAAUAUAAUAAUAUAUAUUAACUUAAAAAUCUCAGAUUUUUUUAAAACAUAAACCGCCUCAAUUUUAUCAUUUUGGUUUAAUUUCCUUUUUAGUCCUUUUUACUUUUUUAAUCUACAAUUAAGCUUUUACUUUUUAUUCACUUUAGUCCUUUUUACUAAUUACUCUAAAUUAAGCUAAAUUCACUUAAUUAAAACCUUAUUAAACACAUCCCUAAACUCAUAAAUAUUUCUAAUAAUUAUUUACGAACCCAUUUUGCCAAGACGGAGGCCCAAUAAUGUUCUUUUUCGAUGCCCGUGAAUUUUGGGUCAUUACAUUUCUUCCCCCUUAAUAAAUUUUGUCCUCGAAAUUUACCUGAAAAGAGGUGGGAUACUGUGAUCUCAUAAUCUCUUCUGAUUCCCAACUUGCUUCUUCAAUAUUUUGACUUUUCCACAAUACUUUCAGUAAAAGAACUCGUUUAUUAUGCAAUUCCUUUACCUCUCAAGCCAAUAUCUUAACCAGUUCUUUUUCAUAUGACAGAUCAGGUCGAAUUUCAGUAUCCACUGUAGAAAUAAUAAGAAAUGGAUCUGAUCGAUAUCUUCUGAGCAUAGAAACAUGAAAAACAUCAUGAAUCUUUUGCAAUUCUGGAAGCAAAGCCAGACAAUAUGUAACUGGUCCAACUCUCUCAAUAAUCUCAUAUGGCCCAAUAAAAUGAGAACUUAGUUUUCCUUUUCGAUCGAAUCUCAUAAUUUUCUUCCGAGGUGAAACUUUUAAAAAUACCUUAUCACCAACCGCGUACUCAAUGUCUCUACGUUUCAGAUCUGCAUAUGACUUCUGCCUGUCAAAAGCUGCUUUCAAUCUUUCUCGAAUCUUCUUAACAGUGUCUUCUGUUUCUUGAAUUAAUUCUGGCCCACUAUUAUUGCAUACAAAUUCAGCUAACGGUAGAUAACGUUCCCAACCGAUUCAAGAUCAGGUCGAAUUUCAAUUCCUCUGUAGAAAUAAUAAGAAAAGGAUCUGAUCGAUAUCUUCUGAGCAUAGAAACAUGAAAAACAUCAUGAAUCUUUUGCAAUUCUGGAAGCAAAGCCAGACGAUAUGCAAUUGGUCCAACUCUAUCAAUAAUCUCAUAUGGCCCAAUAAAACGAGAAUUUAGUUUUCCUUUUCGACCGAAUCUCAUAAUUUUCUUCCAAGGUGAAACUUUUAGAAAUACCUUAUCACCAACCGCGUACUCAAUGUCUCUACGUUUCAGAUCUGCAUAUGACUUCUGCCUGUCAAAAGCUGCUUUCAAUCUUUCUCGAAUCUUCUUAAUAAUGUAUUCUAUUUCUUGAAUUAAUUCUGGCCCACUAUUAUUGCAUACAAAUUCAGCUAACGGUAGAUAACGUUCCCAACCGAUUCAAGAUCAGGUCUAAUUUCAAUUCCUCUGUAGAAAUAAUAAGAAAAGGAUCUGAUCGAUAUUUUCUGAGCAUAGAAACAUGAAAAACAUCAUGAAUUUUUUGCAAUUCUGGAAGUAAAGCCAGACGAUAUGCAACUGGUCCAACUCUCUCAAUAAUCUCAUAUGGCCCAAUAAAACGAGGACUUAGUUUUCCUUUUCGUCCGAAUCUCAUAAUUUUCUUCCAAGGUGAAACUUUUAGAAAUACCUUAUCACCAAUUGCAUACUCAAUGUCUCUACGUUUCAGAUCUGCAUAUGACUUCUACCUGUCAAAAGCUGCUUUCAAUCUUUCUCGAAUCUUCUUAACAGUAUCUUCUAUUUCUUGAAUUAAUUCUGGCCCAAUCAUUUUCUUCUCAUUCAAUUCUAUCCAACACACUCGUGACCGAUAUCUCUGACCAUAUAAAGCUUCAUAUGGUGCCGUUUGAUUACUUGAUUGAAAAUUAUUAUUGCAUACAAAUUCAACUAACAGUAGAUAACGUUCCCAACCUAAUUCAAAAUCAAUACUACAAGCUCGAAGCAUAUCUUCUAGAAUCUGAAUAACUCGUUCUAAUUGUCCAUCGGUCUGUGGAUGGAAUGCUUUGCUAAAAUUAAGUUGAGUACUAAGAGAUUCAUGCAGUUGCCUUCAAAAUCUGGAUGUAAACCGGAGAUCUCGAUCAGAAAUUAUUGACACUGGAAUACCAUGUAAUUGUACUAUCUCCCAAAUAUAAACUUCAGCAAGUUUCUGAAGUGAUCAAUCCGUUCUGACUACUAUAAAAUGAGCUGACUUUGUAAGCCGAUCAACAAUCACCCAAAUAGUAUUUUUCUUACUUGCUGACAGUGGUAACCCUGUUACAAAAUCCAUUGUGAUGCAGUCUCAUUUCCAUUUAGGAAUGUUAGUACGCUGAAGUAAACUAGUUGAAACCUGAUGCUUUGCUUUGACUCGCUGACAUGUCAAACAUUUAGCCCCAAAUUCCAUUAUAUCCCUCUUCAUACCUGGCCACCGAUAUAAUUCUCGAAAAUCACGGUACAUUUUUAUUCAUCUGGGAUGUAAUACAAAAGGACUAUCAUGUGCUUCUCAAAGUAUUAACUCUUUCAAUUCUGAAACAUUUAGAACAUAGAUUGAAUUAUAAAAUCUCAGACAAUCAUGCUUAUCAAUACUAAAAUUCCCUACUAUGUCACUUUGAACCAUUUCUUUUCUCUUCAUUAGCUUAUCAUUUUCUAAUUGGGCUGGCUUGAUUCGUUCAAACAUCACUGGUUUAAUUCUUAAUUCAGCCAAUUAACCUGUAUCAUCACUAAUACUGAGCUGUGCAAACAUCGCUUGCAAUUUAAUUGCUGUCUUCCUACUCAAUGCAUCAGCUACCACGUUAGCUUUACCUGGAUUAUAAUUAAUAACACAAUCAUAAUCUUUUAAAAGUUCUAUCCAUCGACGCUGCCUCAAAUUCAACUAUUUCUAUGACAGAAGAUACUUGUGACUUUUAUGAUCUGUAUAAAUGUAACAUUUUUCACCGUAUAAAUAGUGUCUCUAUAUUUUCAAAGCAAAAAUCAUAGCUGCUAAUUCCAGAUCAUGUGUCGGAUAAUUACGUUUAUGUGGUUUCAAUUAUCGAGAAGCAUAAGUUAUCACUUUUUCACUUUGCAUCAGUGCACACCCGAGCCCAUUUAAAGAAGCAUCGUUAUACACAAUAAAAUCUUUUCCUGAUUCUGGUAAAGUCAAAAAUGGUGCCUCUGUCAACAUCUGCUUCAAUUUCAUAAAGUUUUUUUGACAUUGAUCAUUCCAGACAAACGGAACAUUCUUUUGCAAUAAUUUUGUCAUCGGUAAAGCUAUUUUUGAAAAUCCAUUCACAAACCUUCGAUAAUACCCAACUAAUCCAAGAAAACUACGUACCUCUGACACAUUUUUUGGAGUUUUCCACUGGACGAUUGCUUUAAUCUUCUUUGGAUCCACUCUAAUUCCAUCUGCUGAUACCACGUGACCAAGAAAUACCACCCCUGAUAACCAAAAUUAGCAUUUACUCAAUUUCCCAUACAACUGUUUCUCUCGUAAUGUUUGCAAAACAAUUCAAAGAUGCUGCUCAUGUUCAGAUUCGGACUUUGAAUAUACCAAAAUGUCAUCAAUAAAAACUACCACGAACUGAUCCAAGUACGGCUGAAAAAUUCGAUUCAUAAGAUCCAUAAAAGUAGCUGAAGCAUUUGUUAAUCCAAAUGGCAUUACUAAGAACUUGUAAUGGUCAUAUCUUGUACGAAAUGUUAUCUUCGGUACAUUACUUUCUUUCAUCUUUAACUAAUAGUAGCCCGAUCUUAAAUUAAUCUUUGAAAAUAUCGAAGCUCCUCUCAAUUGAUUAAAUAAAUCAGCAAUAGGUGGUAACGGAUAUUUAUUCUUGAUUGUUACUUUGUUCAAUUGUCGAUAACCAAUACACAACCACAUCGAAUCAUCUUUCUUUUUAACAAAUAACACUGGAGCUCCCCACGGUGAGGUACUAGGUCGUAUAAAACCUCGUUCUAGUAAAUCUUGCAGUUGUACCUUCAACUCCUUCAAUUCAGUAGGUGACAUCUAAUAUAGAGAUAUCGACACUGGAUCUGUACCCGGGUAUACUUCGAUCACGAAUUCAACUUCCUGAUCAGGAGGUAAUCCAGGUAAUUCUUCAGGAAAUACAUCAGGAAAUUCACAUGCAGUCCGAAUUUUACUACAUUUGUUCUCCACCGAAUCUGAAUUAAUAACAAAUGCUAAGAAAGCAGCACAACCUUGAUAAACAAGCUUACUAGCUUUAAUUGCUGAGAUAAUACGAACUAAUUCACUGGUCCGAAUACCAUUUACUUCAAUCUGAUCACCAAUUUCAUUCUGUACAGUGAACUUCUUUUUAUAGCAGUCCAAAAUUACCCCAUGUUUUGAUAGUCAGUCCAUACCUAGUAUAAUGUCAAAGUCGCCAAAUGGCAUAAUUAACAGAUCAAUAGAAAAGAUUCUAUCCUGCAUCAUUAACGAGUAUCUUCGACAUAUUUGAUUUACUAACAUAGUUUGCCCUAGAGGACUAGAUACUUCUACUGUUACUCUAGACAGUGCAGGUUUUAAUUUUCCCAUUUCAACUAAUUUUGUAUUAACAUAAUAAUGUGACGAUCCUAGAUCUAUUAAAGCAUAAACGAGUUCUGAGUACAAUAAAAAUAUACCAGUCACCAUAUUGUGAUGUGAUGAUCUUGGAUCUAUUAAAGCAUAAACGGGUUCUGAGUACAAUAAAAAUAUACCCGUCACCAUAUUGUGUACAUCUCCUUCUUCACGAGUUCUUUUAACGCAUGCUCUGGCGGGGAUCCAGCUUCCGAUUGUUGAGUGACAACUUCACUUGUUCUUCUAGCACCUCCUCUACUAACUGAGCCACCUUUGCGUGACCCUCGACCUCUGGAAACAGAUUAAGAUCACUGUGAUACUUCUUGUGCUAUACUUUUAAUCUUUGGGCAAUCUUUAACAAAAUGAUCAGUGGAUCCACAACGGAAACAACUUCCAAUUAAUUUCCAACACUCUUUUCGAUGUUUAUUUCCACAGUAUUGACAAUUUGGAAUUUCAGUAUUCCGAGUUGGUCCUCUAAUGCUACUAGUGGAAACUGUCGUCUGCCUACCACAAUUUUUGUCACUUCUAUCUGAUCUAAAACCAAAUCUACAACUGCCUCGAAAUUCUUUUGAUCUCUUAAGUUGUGGAUUAGAACUUGUAGUUCCAGGACGCUUUCCAAGUGAACGAGAAAUUUCAGGAUUUUUAUCUAAUCCCAACACUUGUUCAACCAUUUUAGCUCUCUCAAUUAAAUCUGUAAAUUCAGUAAUUCGGAGAGACACCAAUUGUAAUCGUAGUUCAUCAUAAUAACCCUUGUAGAAAUCGUUUGCAUCUGUCAGCUUCAGUCGGUACAAAUUCGGUUGCACAUCUACUCAGUCUCAAAAAUUCCCGUUCAUAAUCUGCUACGGACAUGUCACCUUGUUUCAGCAUUAAGAACUCCUGUUUCCUAUCUUCCAUAUAUAAUUCUCCCAAAUAUUUCUUUUGAAAUUCUCCUAAAAAGAAUUCUCAACUUAUCUGUUCCUCUGAUACAUGUUGAGUUACCGAUUCCCACCAUACGUACGUUUCUCCUUGUAACAAAUAAACGAUACACAAUAAGCUUUCCUGUGGGGUACAUUCAAGUUUCUUCAGAAUUCUCUUUGUAGUUUCUAUCCAAUUUUCAGCUACUGACGGGUCAACUCCCUUCGAACCCAGAAAUUCGAUAGCACCAUACUUCCGCAACUCUUUAAUCGGAGCUCGUCGAGUAGUAGGAUUAGGGGUCAUAACAGGUAUAGUUCCUACUGCUCUUUGAAGGGCAUCGACGAUCACUCUGAGUAUUUUUGAAUUAUCUCUUUCUCUAGUAUUACCCCUUUCAACAUUUGAUGGUUGAUUACUUAUUGGGUUUACACUUGGCGUUGCACACUCUGAUUUAUUCAUAUCAUAUAAUUCAUCAUUUUCAUUAUACAUUUCUCAAUCAGUAUCUUCAAUAUUUUCACCAGACAUCUUUAACUAUAAAACAAAAACAAUAAAUCAGUAUACAUAUAUAUCAACAUCCAAUCCCGACUCAAAUUUAACUCAAUUAUGGCAUGUACCUCUAGACUAAAUCUCAAGUUCAAUUUAAUCCUUGACUCGACUAAACUUAAAUAGCUCUGAUACCACUAAUUAUAAUACCCUUUACCCCUAAACCGUCGCCAAAACAGGGUUACUAGGCAUUACCAGACAAAUCGAACAAUUUACGGAUAAUUCUUAAUAAAUAAAUAAAUAACAAGCAUAUUAUAGUAUAAUUAUAAAGUCAUUCAUUCAUUUAAAUAACAAUCAGUUAUUCAGUAUCAAACAAUUAAUAACAUUCAGUUAUUCAGUCCAGUAAUACAGUGAUUUUGAUAUUCAGUGCAAUAGUUUACACCUAUUAACAUAGCUCGGACUUAAACGGAUACACGGAUCCAACCAACACACCAGUACGGCACUCAGUGCCGCAUCGGCUUUACCGAAGUAAGUAGUAGUAGUACGGUACUUAGUACCUCAUCGGAUUAAACCGAAGUAAUAGUAACAGUAUGACACACAAGGUGUCUCAUCGACUCGAAGUCGAAGUAACAAUACGACACUUAUAGUGCUUCAUCGACUCAAGGUCGAAGUAUCCCUGAACACUUCCAAUCUUAUGGCAUGCCAGUUAUAUCUGACUCAGUCCGAUACAGUUAAUAGGGUAUUCAAUUCAUUUCCCAAUUCACAGUAAUUAAUUAUUUCAAUAUCCAUUUCACAAUGAUCACAAAAUCACAUACAUUAAAUUCAUUAUCAAAACACUAAUACUUACCUUAAUAUCUUUCCAUACACAUCAAAUAGUAAAAACAACAAUUUAAAUGUUAAGUUUGGUUUAUAGAAAUACAAACUGUAAUUCUCGGAUUACUCUUCGUCAACCUUCUCUUUUCCUUUCUUUGCGGAUAUCUCGAGUUCUUUAUUAGCUACGAAAAUAAAAAUAUUUUAUAUUAUUAAUACAACACUAAUUUAUAUUGAAUAAUUAAAUUUCUAUUAAAUUUCUAUCUUAAUUUCAAUUUAGUCCUAACUAAAUUCAUUUAUUUUUCCAUCUCAAUUCAUAUCUCAUUUCUACUCAAAUUUCAACUAAACUUAAAAUUAACUAUCUAAUUUUCAUCAUAAAUACCUAAUUUAGAAAUUCUUGGAAUUUAGUCCCUAUCAUACAAAUUUUAUAACUUAUUCUACAAUUUAAUCUAUCUCCCACUUCUAGUUAGAAAUUCUAUUAAUUCAAUCCUCAAUUCACACUUUUACUCAAUAAAAUUUAAUGUCUAAAAAUCUAAUAUCUUUGAAAAUUUCAACACAUACUUAAUAAUAUUUUGCUCCAAGUUCAUAAAAACUCAAAAAUUACAAGAAAAAGGAUUUAAUUUGACUUACCAAUUUAAAAUUGAACCUUGAAAACCCUAAAUUUCUUAUUUUCUUUUCUCUUUUUCUUUUCUUUCUGUUUUGUCCCCUGUUCUGUUUCUAUUUUCUUUCUUUUUUUCUUUCUUUCGUUACUUUAUAAUAAUAAUAAUAAUAAUAAUAAAACAUAAAUAUCUUUGUUAUAUAAUAAUAUAAUAAUAUAUAUUAACUUAAAAAUAUCAGAUUUUUUUAAACAUAAACUGCCUCAAUUUCAUGAUUUUAGUUUAAUUACCUUUUUAGUCCUUUUUACUUUCUUUUAAUCUACAAUUAAACUUUUACCUUUUAUUCACUUUAGUCCCUUUUACUAAUUACUCUAAACUAAGCUAAAUUCACUUAAUUAAAACCUUAUUAAACACAUCCCUAAACUUAUAAAUAUUCUAUUAAUUAUUUAUGAGCCCAUUUCGCUAAGACAGAGGCCCGAUUAUGUUUUUUUCUGAUGGCCGCGAAUUUUUGGUCAUUACAAUAUUUCUCAUCCAAUUCGGUGUCAACCUACAAUCCACAUUAUGCAUAUAAACAAGUCGUAUUAUGGCAUCCAAAACAAGCAAAAUCAACUCUUAAACAUAUAGUAUACUUACAUACAACCAAUAUGCCUUUAGGCACCUCAAAUGACAAUUAUAAACAUGUUAAUCAUGUAAUCCAUGUAACCAAAAAAUCAACCAACUUUUAUGUAUAAUUACAUUAACACACAACAUGUAAACCAUUUACCAACACUUGACAUUUGGUACCAAUUGUAUCAGUUAGUCAAUAGCAUCAAAUACAUAUACACUUACUAUAGCAUAGUAUCAAAUCACACCAAGUUAUAAAACAUACCUCAUAUGCAUAUUCAACUACUAUUUUACCUUUCAUCAUUCAACCACAAAUCAUUCUACACAUCAACAUUAUAAGGCUAAUUAUGCACACACCAAAAUAUCAAAACACCAAAACAUAAGUCAAAUAAGUGGCUUAUCUCAACAAAACACAUAUAGGCCAACAUUUAUCCAAAAUAAUCUAUACAUGCCAUUAUAACCAAAAUCAAAACAUCCGAACGUGCUGAUAGAAUUGAUGGAUAGUGUGAUAUAACUCCAACAAGCUUCCAACCUAAUUGAGCUUCCGAUAAUAUGUGAAAUAAAUGAUAAACAACUACGUAAGUAAUGAAUGCUUAGGAAGCUCGUACAAACUUUAAUCAUAAUAUUCCAAUUCAAUAAUAAACUUUAUAUAUUAAAUAUAAAGCUAUAUCAAUGCCUCAAGAUUUAUCAACUACAUAACCACUAACUCAUAAAUGAGUAAGUCUAUCAACAUCAUAUAUGUAUUCAUUUCUAAUUUAAUAGGAUUUUAUAAAUAUUAUACAUCAUCAUUAACCCUUUUAUAAAACUACGAAUAACUUCCUUUACUUAUUUUUCAUUCUAUUUACUAAACAUAAACUUAAAUAACAAAUCAAUUAACUAAUUAAUAUAUUUAUUCAUAACAUGGGUAAGUUCAACCAUAACAUACGUAAUUUCUCAUAUAUAAGUACAUUUUUCAACUCAUCAAUCCCUUUUUCAUCAUAUCACAUUUCAAUUAUGAACUUAUCGUUUCAUUUGUAUAAUACCAGACAUAAGCAUAUACAUCAAUUAUAAUCUCAAGCUUGACAUAAGCCUAAUCACCAUCAUACACAAGUUAGUGCAUUUAUGUAUGCAUUUAUAUAUAUAACUCAUUUUCAUGUUUCAAAUCACUAUCCCAUUUUCAAUACUCAUACAAUAUCAUCCAAUAUCAAUCAUAGUACCGUUUUAUUCAAUUAUCCUAUUAACACGACUCGGACUUGGACGGAUACACAGAUCCAACCAACACACCAGUUUGGCACCCAGUUCCUUAUUGGAUAAAUUUGAAGUAAUAUGUACCUAGCGCUAUAUACAUUUGACACCUAGUGCCUCAUCGAUUAAACUAAAGUAAAUUGGCACCCGGUGGCUCAUUGACUCGAAGUCGAAGAAAUCCCUGAACUCUUUUUAUCCUAUGGCAUGCCAUCUAUAUCUGACUCAGCCCGAUACAGUUAAUAGAGUUUAAUUUCACUUCCAAAUACAACCAAUAUCUAAUUAUCAUAUUUGCACCUAUAUAUAUUCCUUUCAAUUCAAAUAAUCAACACAUUCAUAAUUUAUACACCAAUUCAAUCCAUUUCAAUUAACUAUCAAAUGUCAACCUUUUUAAUUCAUACAUAUUAGCACAUCAUUUCAACAUCAUUUUGUACUAUACUCAAAUUGCACAUGCUAACAUCUUUUAUUUGAUUAAUAAUGUCCUAAUUCACACAAUUGCUGUAUAAAUAGCUAUUCACAUAUCAAACCAUAAUUAUUUAUAAUUGGCAUUAGCCAUUCAAUAAUUAACAAAUCUUUCAAAUUCAUUAAAAAUUUUAUUGUAUUGAGAUUUUCCAUAUGAAAAAAGACCUACGGAUAAGAGUACAUCAUCAACAGAAGCUCAUAGAGCUGGUCCACCAGAACACGCUAACAGAAGAAGAGCUGAUCCACCCAAUCACUCCAAACAGAAAGUAAAACAUGAGAGUUUGCAACAAAUGCUGAACUCCGGUUUAUAUGCCGAUAUCUCCCUCCAAUACCAUCGUACACCAAUUUACGAAUGUACUCAAAUCCCGCGUUCCAUUCAAACCGAAACCCAAUUCAAUAUUAUAAUUCCAACAAUAAUUUAUUUCCAACAAUAGAAUAAAUAAUAUCAUUCAUCAAUUUAUACAAAAUGUUAAAUUUUAACCGUACGAACUUACCUGGCUAAAUUACAGAAAUACGAAGGUUCAUGGGCAUUUUGGUAAUUUUUUAUUUUCUUCAAAUUUGCACCCGAUCUUGAUCUAAAUUAAUAAUUCCAUUCAAUUUAUUAAUUUAUACAAUAAAACAAUUCAUUUCAUGUAAUUUGGUCAUAUUUUACAUUUUACAAAAUUACCCCUAAAGUUUUACUUUUAUUCAAUUUAGUCCCUAAGCCCAAAUCAUGCAAAUUAACUAUUUUUAAUGCAAACCCAUGCUAGCUGACUAUUCAUGGCAUCCAAUACAACCAUUUUUGUAAUAAUUUCACAACAAACCCUUAUAUUUUUACUAUUUCAACAAUUUAGUCCCUAAUCAGGAAAUUCAUCAAAAAUCACUUAAUAAAGUACUUAUCUAAAAUUCAUAAUUUAAUAACUAAAAUCAUAUAGAUUCAUCAAUUGCAACUUCCAAGAUUUUUAAUAAGAUAAAAAACUAAGGUAAGGUUUAGUUGGACCUAAUUGUAACAAUUUCAAAAAUAUAAAAAUUACAAGAAACGGGUAAUAAUUGAACUCACAUGAAGCAAAAUAUGAAGAACCAACUUAAAAAUUUCUCUCCUAUGGCAGUUUAGACCGAAACAAUAAGAAAUGUCUAGAAAGUUUUCAAUUUUCAAUUUGUUUCAUUUUAAUUUCAAUUAAAUUACAAUUUUGCCAUUGAAUGACUUUAUUUUAUUAUUUUCCUUCCUUAUGCCGCAUCACCCUUUUAAUUUUGGUCUAUUUGCUUCUUAAGUCCUUCCUCUUUUUAUUAAUCAAGAUAUUUAAUCUCUUAAAUAUUACAAUUAGUAAGUUUUACACUUUUUUCAAUUUAGUCAUUUUUAAUUAAUUAACUAUCGAAACAUUAAAAAUUUUCAAUGAAACUUUAAUACUACAUUAAUGAUACUCCAUAAAUAUUUAUAAAAAUAUUUACGACUCGGUUUAUAGAAAUAAGGUCCCGAUAUCUCACUUUCUAAAAUCACUUUUUACGAACUUAUUUGCCGAAUUUGGUGGCCUUGAACUGAACAUUAUAAUCUCACUUAGAGACGAGGUGAGGCUACGCCAAACUAGAGCACUUAACUAGUGAGCCUCUAUUGACGAGAUGGCUAUCAUCUAUCACUCACAUACUUUGUAGUCCAUCACAUCAAGUCACAUAGCUAACCUAACAAAGAGACAUCACCUACCUAAUGAGAAGGCCUAUCUUGCCCUUGAGGGGUAAACCAAUAAAAGCUCCAUUAGACACAUAUUUAAGCUUAGGAAAAUCAAAGGCCGGCCUUACUUAUAACUACAAAAGCCCUUCACCAAAACAAUGGGAACUUUCCAAGAAAGUGACAUAUAGCCCAACCUUCUACCACUAACUCGACUUGCAAUAGAUACACUUUCCACUAUGUGAACCAUAAUUCUCUUCUUCCAUACUUCCUUUUCCUCAACAAAUUUAAUUUUAGGUGUGCAAGUUAGUUGAAAAGUUUAAUUGAGAAACAAAAUUUUCCAUUCCUAUACCUAGACUCUUUCUAUAUAACUAAUAUCUUAUUUAGACAUCAAAAUUCUAUAAAAUAUGUAUAUAUAUGAAAAGUUUAUACAUUCACGUUAUAACUAUCUAUAUUUUACAUGUAUUAAACACAUGGAGAUGUGAGAAUAAAUCAUAAUUUCAAUGGUGAAUAACUAAAUAAAUUAUUAUGUAGGUUUAUUCUUCUUAUAAAACGUUUAAAUGUACGUGAGUUUUGGAAAAAAAACUCCUUGAGUUACAACUAUAGUAGUCAAUAUUGUAUCCUUAUCGGUUAUAUCAGUUGGUAUGCAUCAUUCUUAUCCUUGAUUAGUAUCAAAUAAUCCAAGUUAUUGUUUAGUCAAAAUUUGAUGCAUUUCGAUUGUUCUAGUGUGUUUUGGCCAAUAUUAAUCUUAUUUUAAAUAUUUUAAAAUUUUUAUUUAAACUUUAUUUUAUAUAAUAUUAAAAGUAGGAAAUGGGGUGACAGGAUUUAAACCAAUGUCUAAAGGAUGUCUAACGAAAGAUUUAAUCAUCACUCUAUACAGGUAAAGAUAAAAUCACAUUUAAACUUAAAAUACAAUUAUUAAAUUAAAUUAUUGAACCUAAUUAAUAAUUUUAAAAAUUAUAUUUGCAUAUAAAUAUAUUGUAAUUGAGAUAUAAAUGCAUAUAUAUAUAUAAUAUAAUUUAUUAUAUAAAAAAUAUAUGUGAAAAUAAAAAUAUUAAUAAACUUGAAAUUGUAUACUAAAAUAAACUGAUACCAUUAAUAUCAUGUUGAUUGAUAUAGAAGUGGUUUAAUUGAAAAGUACAACCAUUUAUAGGCGUAGUGGUCGUUGAAGUUAAUAACUACAACUUUUUGUAGUUUACAAAUUAUAAUUAGUGAAAUAAUCACCGUUCAAAUAAAAAGGGAAAAAAACAAAUAGGCCCAACAAGAAAAUACAAAAAACCCAUUUUAUAAAAAUCCAUUUUCAGCCAGAGUUGAAAAUUGUCCAUGUUUAUCAAGCCUAGAAGAGAAGAAAAUUCAAGGCCCUAAAACAAAACGUCUUCUUUUUUUCUUCUUCGGCCCGUAACGAAAUUAUUAGGCAAAGAUUGGAACAUUAGACCCGACACGCCUAUUUGGAUGUUAAUAUGAUGGUUUAUUUUGAGUAUAAUUACAAGGAACAUAUGUUAAACCUAAAUUUUUAUGUCUCAUAUUGGGUAAUGCCUUUAAAUUCAUGUUAUUCACACUUUAAUCCAAUAGAACAAUCAUGUAUUCACAUCACAUUUAGCCUUAUGGUUUCUUGUUGGUAGCAGAUCGAUACCUAGCAGCAUAUCGGUGAAAUAAGGCCAGUGCAUUGCUUGUUAGCUGUGCAACGUUCAUUACUUUACCUUUAAUGGUGGCCUUCAUUUUACUCAUCCUAUGCCCCGGGAACUCAUCCACGCAAUUGCUAGCAUCGGUUAGGGCAGCGCUAAUCCAAGUAUCAACAUUAUCUAUGUGCCAAAAUAGGUCAUCGAUCAUCCCCGCUUUCAGAUCAAACCGGCGGAGUUCUCUGUUUGAGUGGCUAAGCUGGUUUAUGCUAUCAUCUAUUUGUUGCAAGCAAUCUCUCAGGGCUGGACACUCCUUCGAUUUUAUUGACUCCAGCUCUUUUGCCACCUUCAACAUGUACAACCUUGUUGAACGAGCCUUGUAUAGGCUCACUGUUAAGGCAACUUGAGCCAGUUGCUGCUCGUUCCGAACGUUGGAGUUGGCGUAGCGGGACAGACAUUUAAUGCAUAGGGCCGGAUAUAGAGUGGUUUGACACGAGACCUCAAUGAAGGCCUUGGUAUCCGGAUGUUUAAAAUGUCUGGCUCGAGCCAUGGAUGAUUCAACCGUGCUGAGGUUAAUGUAAUAGAAGAUGAAGAGAAAGAAGAACACCAUGGAGAGGCGGAGUUCGGCCAUUGGUAAAAAAUGGGGAAGCUGAUAUUUGAAGGGUUUGAACUAAGACUUGAGACAAAGAAUGAAUGCAUAUGGAAAGUAUAUAAAGAAGAUUUGUGGCAUGCGAAGCCAUUGCUAAGCUUGCAAUUUACGUGAAGUUAAAAGAGCAAAUAAACUUGGUGUCAAUUUAGCGAAGCAAGUAGAAUAAAUAAGAAAAUGUCUCCCAGAUCAUGUUAAAUCGCCGUUAAGAGCGCAUUAUUUGAACCUUCCUUUUGCAGUAUAUUAUGAGCAGGGAUUUAAAUUACGGUCGCGGUCGCGUUUUCGGUCGCGUCGCGUUUGUCGCGGUCGCGGACAUAACGGACGCUAUUGCGGUUAUUGCGGAUAUCGUGGUCGUGAAUUUUUUUAAAAUUUGCACAACUUAUUAUAAAACAUAAGAAUUAUAAUUAUAAUUAUAAAAAAUCAUUUUUUAUGAUUUUUAGAGUUUUAAAUAUUUGGACUUUGAUUGCUUUUUGCUGUUUAUUUGGACUUCAUUUUUCUUUUUUUUAAUAACAUUAUAUUGGGCUUUUAUUAAUAGAACAAAAUUACAAAAAUUCUAAAAAAGGGCCAAAGCAGAUGGCCCAAAGUAAAAAAAUCUAAAUAUUUUUAAAGUAAAAAAAUCUAGAUAUAAUCCUAAAAAAAGGCACCGAUUCCUUGCCCAAUCAGUUGAAAUCUGCCCUCUCUUCUUCCCAUAAUCCCGUCAUUUCAUUUUCAAAUUGACCAUUUCCUUUUUCAAAACUUUUCCUUCCGAACCGUUCCAUUUUCUUAUUGUUUUGAAGCUUUCUUCCUUCCGUUCUUCCUCUCCUGGUUCUUUCUAGUCUGGUUCACAUAGCUAAUCGUAUCUUCUUUGUUCUUCAGCGUACUCAGGCCCUCAGGGAGCUCCAUUUCCAGGCAUACCUCCUCUUUUUUGUUUUUUGUUCUUUUUCCCGUUAUCUUCUUUGUUCUUUGUUCUUUUUCAUUUUUUUGAUUGAACUGUGUUUCAGUGUUUCUGUUGAUUUUUGUUUAGAGGAGAUGAUUUUUUUUUAAUUUGCUGUUAACGGGAAAUAACGGGAAUAGCGGCCCGUUAUUGCCGCAAUUGGCCGUUACCCGUUAAAUUGCGGCCGUGAUCCACCAUUAUCGGUGUGACUCCGCUUCUUACCGCUAUUUUCAGCAAUUGCAGUUUCGGACGACGCCGCUACCGCUAUAUAACGGCCGCUAUUUCGGUAACGGACCGUUAUUUAAAUCUCUGAUUAUGAGACAAUGCAAAAUGUUGGUUUUUUUUUUGGUUGAAAUUUUGGGUUAUAUAAUUAUGAGUUAGGUUUUUUUUAGUAAAAACAAUGUUAAAUAGAUAAAAAUAUUUUGACUUUAUAGUUUGACAAAUCAAACAACAAAAGUAAGGGCUGCUCUGGAGAGAGGCGCUUACCUCCAGUGCACUACAUUUAACUUUUUUUUAAUCCCAUCUUAUAAUAUCUAAUUUUAUUAUUACUUUUUUUACAUUAACGAUAAGUAAACACACUAUCUAUUUAAAGGAACUCUAAGAAAAUAUUAUUAUUUUUUGACUUUUUUAAGUUUUAAUUAUUUUAAACAUGUAAGUUUUGAGAUUUUAAUUUCUUACCCCACAUUUUAUCUACAUAUGCCCAAAACACUAAAAUAAAAUUUUUCAUCACACUGUUUAAAUGCAUUUUUUUCUAAACCUAAAAUUUUCUUUAACAUCAAAUACUAAACUAAAAGUAUGAUUUGCACUAGACUUCUGACAAAAAUGACUGGUUUAUCGGCGAUGCCUAUGGCCGACCGCAACUAGUUAAAGCUUCUGUGGCCAACAUGAUCCUUCGUUCAAGGGACCCAGCUAAGAACAUGCAUCUAAACUUCAAAAAUUAUGGUUAGUUUAAGUUACUUGAUUUUAUGGCACUCAUGGAUCAUGUGAUUGAGUGGUUUCUGCUCAAAAUCAAACCCACAAAAUCAAUCAAAUGGUAUAGCUUUUCCAAGCUGAAUCUUUAAGGCUCGAAUCUCUUCACAUAGAAAUACUAGCACAAUCAAAUUAAUCAUAUGAGGUUUAGAAGGGAAAAAAAACUUUGAUUGGACUGUGAUUGAUCUCAAGCAAUUCAUAAACAUAUUCAAAACUCUUUAAUAUUUUUAAGUAAUAAUAAAAGAAUUUUAAUUCAAAUUCAAGCUCCAACAUAAAUAACUGGGUUUGAAAUUAAAUUAAAAAAAUAAGAACAAAACUAACCAUGUAAGCUAAAGCUGAGUCCUGGGUCAGUUUUGAAUAACAGUAGUAUACAUGUUAAAUACAUGCAAUAGAAUAGAUCAACAUCUGUUAUCUAGGAUAGCAGCUUGUACAUAUCUAUGCAGUCACAUGAAAAGAACAAGUAAUACCAUUUAACAUGAAAACGGAAACAUUGAUGAUCAAACACCGUUUUUGAGAUGAACAACAGCGUUUUCAUCACCAUAACCUCUUUCUUACAUCUGCUCUUCAGUAAUCUAAGGUCCCAAUGCGGCGUAGAGACAGAUGAUGCUCAAAUCAUGGACUGUCUGCUGCAUUCUUGCAGGCAAUCAAACCCAGAAGAACAGUUGAAGCACACAAAGACAAAGGAACUUUGUCAACAAACAGUGAGCUCCUAUGUCGUAAUACAAUUACUACAGUUGCAUGACUACAGCAAUAACAACAAAUCACAAAGACAAACAGCACACUAUAUUAGUCCAUACGUGUAUUACUCAUCAAACUCUUAGAUUUGCAUAGUGGUGGUAAUUUACUCGUUAACCUUCAUUCCGGAAAGAUAAACUCGGCUCUGGAUGACACUGCCACCAAUCCAAAAGCCAGGCAUGACCAUGAGCCCAACCUUAGGCUUCUCCUCGCUUUCAUCCAUUAUCAAAUUCUUCACUACACUUUCCAUAUAAACCUCUGAAUAUUCACUUCCCCUUUUAACUUGAAAGACUUUCACGUUAGGGUUGAAUGAGUAAGCCAGCCGAUGCAAAAGCCAAAUAGAUUUAGCCAAUUUUAGAAAGGCUUGGUAAAAUGGAGUCCUAGGAUGCCCACCUCCUGUUACAUAAUUACGCUGGUCUAAAUUUCCAAAGAACGAAGCUUCCAUCUUUGGAUGAACAACCAUCAGGUACUUGCUCUGGGAAAAUUUCCCGAAUAAGGAAUCAGGAUUCUGGCCCAACAUGUCCAAUGGAUCCAUCUCCCUCAGAGCCAGAUAUUGCUGGAAGAAGCUCUCUUUAUUGACUGUAACAUUAUCCAAUUUAAUGGAGAAGCUCUCCUGUUGAAACCCACUGAACAUCCUCUGGCAAAUGUGGGACUCAAAUGCAUAUUUCUUGUGAGCUCUCUUGGCAUAAACCACAUUGGGCUCAAUUGAGUCAGCGGCAGCAUCAAGGUCCCAACCAGCAGCUUUCAUCAUGUUGAUUAAUGGUUUAGAAAAAUCAUGAAUAGCUUUGUAAGCAGAUUCAACAACUGAUGUGAAGAGCUCAGGGGUCAAAUCCGCAGGAAAGAAUCCAUUUUCUUCUCCUGAGCCUUCAGAUUCCUUCAUAGACAAGCCCCUAAGCUUUAUAUUCUUUUCCAGUUUCACUCUCUUCUGGUUUGCAUCUUCAAUUUGCUGCAGCAACUGUCGAAUCUCAGAAUCCUUGUUCUGAAUUUCAGACUGAAAUUUCUUAACCAUGACCUCAUAGGUUUUCAGCAGGCUCUGUUGUUCUUGGAUCUCAGCAGCUAAACGAGAAUCUUGAGGAGAAACGCACACUGGCUUGGGAUUCUUUUCUCUAUAGAAGUGCUUCAGUUCAGAUAUAUUCUUCAGCUCAGAUAUUACAAGUUUAUCAGCAGCUUGAAUUUUUUCAGGGUCAUAGGGAGUAUGAGCAGUUUGUAGCUGAAUAUAAGCUGACUUGAGGGAGGAGAUGUUCGUAAAUAAUUUGGAUAUUAGAGCUUCCACAGCUUCUGGGUUCUGGUUCAUGCUCUCUUCCAUAGGUUGAGGGUGGACUUUUUGAUUGCUGCUAUCACGGAUAUGAGUAUCUUUUGCCCCAGUCGGUAGCAUAGUUGUUACCAACCAAGGGGAUAAUUGAAAUGGAAUCUUUCAGAAAGGCUACUGCUACCAGAACACCUGCAAAUUUGGACAACAUUACUAAUGUAAGUAAACCUUAUGCAAGUUUCCACGAAUAUCAUAUAUGAUGCAAAGCAUCAAAAUACAAAAGACAGAUGGCUCUCAGCAUGAUCUGCUAUUCUAGACAUGGUUAAGAUUUGAACGAGUUCUCAAACUGAACAUAAUAUACCAACACGGAGCAAUCUCUAUAUUUAUUAAACUCACCAAGUUCUCAGUUAAAAUCUAACUUCUGGUUUAACACACAGCAUCACUUGACUGAUAUUUCUGUGCUGUAUGGUAACUUGGAAAUUAUAAACAACAAAGGGUGAUCCCUACAUUUAACAUAUAUUUCAUACACAAUAGGAACACAAAAAUACAGUUGAAAUUUCAUAGUGAUCCAAGUCAUCAGGCACACAUCUUGGUAAUUGAAUACUCUACGGGGACACAAGUAGAUAUAUAACAAAAGAGUAAGGACCUGUACAUACCUGAAAAGAUCACAGCCCCUCUCCAAGAUAUAUCCAGUAAACAUAAUCACCUUCAACCUGAAAGCAAUAGUAAUGAAUAAUUAAAUUGUUUCCAAGAGCAUGAUAGAUUAAAACAUAUGCAACAAAUAAUUAAUCAUUAAUCAUUUUGGAAGUUCAUCUCAUAAGGUACACUACAACCCUAAAAGCAAAGUUUUAAGAAGAAAAUGAUAAAAUUCUGGAACCACUCAGAAUUCUUCAUUUGGGUGAGAAAACGAGGUAAAUAACACAUUCUUAAUAAGCAAACCGUUCAGCUAAACAAGAUUCCAGUAAUGACAACAAUAUUUAGGUUAAAGAGAAAAUAUCCUUUGUUUAAAGGGAAAAAGCAAGCAACUUAAACUCCAAAUCUAUGGUUGUACAGUAAUAUAAGACCUACACUGACCAUGGUUAACAAGGUAAUUUUUUGGUUUGGUAGUGAUUAGCUUUGUCGGGUGGAAGAAGAAAUUUACCUGAUCGGAGACGGAGCCAGACGAGAUGGGGAAUAUUUUCGGACAAAAUUAUUAAACAAGUCAGCGACAGAGAAGCAAAGCGUCGAAUAGGUAACCUUUUGCUGAAGUUUUUCUUUUUUGGGGGUAGUAGGCCCACGGUCCACCACUAUAGAACAAAGCACACCCUAUGGCUAUGAUGACUGACGUGUUAUCUUGGAAUUCAAAAUUGGUCUUUCUAGUUUCCUUUUAUCUUCAAAUUAUAAAUUACAAAAAAAUUAUAAGAAGCUUGUUAGUUCAUAAUUUUUAAUUUCUUUUUACAAGGAAGUGAAUCAAGUAGGUCAAAAUAAGGAGAUUAAAUUAGCUGUAUUUUGAGUGUAUGAAAAUACUAUAAUCAUGGUUCAUGUCACGCCUAAUGAUCAUCCAUCCCACUAAUUAUUUCGAGUUAGGGAAUAUGUAUGUGUUAAGUAUUAAGGGACUAGCUCAAAACGAGAGAGGCCCUAAAUAUGGGGACUGCCUAAGAGAAAUUUCGGCCUUCUCACUGUAGGUCUGGUUUCGCUGGUUAAUGCAUUGGGGGCCCAUUUUAAAGCUAGAUAUGGAUAUGCCUAUGCCUAUGCCUCUUGUUUAAACUUCUCAGUUUCCUUGCUAUUGUUAGAUGUGUGCUUGCCUAAUUGGGGUCGAUCUACCUGCUAGAACUCGAACACCCGUCUAAAAAGCUAGUAGAGAUUGAGCAGAAAUAUAAGUUUAGAAAAUGGGAUUCGAAAAUAGGCCCAUUUUUUAAAUAAAUCAGUCUCAGGUAGAAUUUUUUUAUUCAAGUCCGAUCUGAAUUAGUUAUUUUCUUGUUGUUUUGCUAUCAUAUUGUUAUUAUAUUACUGUUGUUUUGCUACCAUAUUGUUAAUGUUGUUUUGUUGUUAUAGUCUUAUUUAAGUAUAAAAAUUAUUUAAUGUAUUUUUAAUUUGUUGGUAAACAUUUAUUUUAUUAUAUUUGAUGUAUUAUAUAUAUUUUUAAAAAAUUUAAUACGUGUGGACUGAAUCGAAUUUAAGUUUAAUAUUUUUAAUAUGGAUUGAGCAUAAAUAAAAUUUUAUAUUUAUUUUUUGGGCUAAACCCGAACAUAAAAAAUAAUCUUAAAAUUUUGCAUCGUCCCGUGUUUAUUGUGCCAUAGUAACAGUGUUUAACGUGCAUGGUGUAACCAUGAGGAGUAGGUUCUAGACAUUCAUGGCCAGUUAUUGCAGGUCGCUCGCUUGAAAAAUUGUAUUUGCCGUGUAGCUUAUUUUAUGCAUUUUUAUUCAGCUUGUGUGAUGAUGUAAAACUGUAGCAACCAUCUGCUUUUUGGGCAUAAUAAAACCAACUACUUAUCCAAAAAUAAUAAUAAAGUCAAAUUGUUUUAAUGAAGGACGAAAUAGCAUAGACUGAGAAAUCCUCGCAUUCUUUUGAACCACCAAUACAGCUAGGGCUUGGAAGAUUGAACCUCUAAAUGGAUGAAAUUGAUGUAGGAUAUAGAUGGAACUGAAGAAGAGGUACACAAGCCAAAAGGGGAAUUAUUCUGGGAAGCACUUACAUAUGUUUGAUUUAAGUAAAAAAAAAAUGAGAAUCCAACCUAAAACGUUCAAUAUCUGUUAGCACCGCAAAAUGAUAUUAGCAGUUGCAUUUAAAUACUUAAAUGCCACAUUAAAAAUAAAGUUAAAUGUGAAACAUGAAGAUACUAUUUUUCGGACUUUUUUUCUUAUUUUGAAAUAUGACUUUUACAAGAAUAUUGAAUUCCAAGCAAGUUAGAUGUUCUUGACCAACUCCACCCAACUAACUUGAAUUUUACUUCCCACCANNNNNNNNNNNNNNNNNNNNNNNNNNNNNNNNNNNNNNNNNNNNNNNNNNNNNNNNNNNNNNNNNNNNNNNNNNNNNNNNNNNNNNNNNNNNNNNNNNNNNNNNNNNNNNNNNNNNNNNNNNNNNNNNNNNNNNNNNNNNNNNNNNNNNNNNNNNNNNNNNNNNNNNNNNNNNNNNNNNNNNNNNNNNNNNNNNNNNNNNNNNNNNNNNNNNNNNNNNNNNNNNNNNNNNNNNNNNNNNNNNNNNNNNNNNNNNNNNNNNNNNNNNNNNNNNNNNNNNNNNNNNNNNNNNNNNNNNNNNNNNNNNNNNNNNNNNNNNNNNNNNNNNNNNNNNNNNNNNNNNNNNNNNNNNNNNNNNNNNNNNNNNNNNNNNNNNNNNNNNNNNNNNNNNNNNNNNNNNNNNNNNNNNNNNNNNNNNNNNNNNNNNNNNNNNNNNNNNNNNNNNNNNNNNNNNNNNNNNNNNNNNNNNNNNNNNNNNNNNNNNNNNNNNNNNNNNNNNNNNUCUCUCUCAACAAAAUUAACGCCCUUGUAAAAGUACUCCCCAGGUCUUCUUGGUGGAAGUGCAGAUCUUGCUUCUUCCAACAUGACCUUGCUCAAAAUGUUUGGGGAUUUCCAGAAGGACACCCCUGAGGAACGCAAUGUUCGGUUUGGUGUUAGGGAACACGGAAUGGGAGCUAUCUGCAAUGGCAUUGCCCUUCACAGCCCUGGCCUGAUUCCAUACUGUGCUACUUUCUUUGUCUUCACUGACUACAUGAGGGCCGCCAUUAGGCUGCCUUGCCUUGAGUCAGGCUAGAGUUAUCUACGUUAUGACCCAUGAUUCCAUUGGUCUUGGGGAAGAUGACCAACUCACCAGCCAAUUGAGCACUUGGCAAGCUUCCGUGCAAUGCCUAAUGUUUUGAUGCUCCCGUCCAGCUGAUGGAAAUGAAAGGCUGGAGCAUACAAGGUUGCUGUCCUCAAGAGGAAGGCACCCUCAAUUCUUGCCCUUUCCAGACAAAAAGCUGCCCCAGUUAGCUGGAACUUCCAUUGAGGGGGUUGAAAAAGGUGGCUACAUCAUUCAGACAAUUCUUCAGGCAACAAUCCUGAUGUAAUUCUGAUUGGAACUGGUUCUGAGUUAGAGAUCGCUGUUAAAGCUGCUGAUGAACUACGGAAGGAAUGGAAGGCUGUAAGGGUUGUCUCCCUUGUUUCAUGGGAGCUCUUUGAUGAGCAAUCAGAUGCCUACAAGGAAAGUGUUUUCCCAUCUGCUGUAACAGCUAGAGUGAGUAUUGAGGCUGGAUCAACAUUUGGGUGGGGGAAGAUAGUUGGAUCCAAAGGGAAGGCAAUCGGAAUUGAUCGGUUUGGGGCAAGUGCACCAGCAGGAGAAUAUACAAGGAAUUUGGCUUAACUCCAGAGGCUGUUAUUGCUGCAGCCAAAGAACUUGCUAAGCUUGGUUCAAAAGUCUCUGAGGAAACUUAAGGUUUUCGAUUGAAGAUGUCGCUGAAGAGCUGUUCCAAUUGUGACAGUCUCUUUUGUUUUGUUUCUUUAAUAAGAAACAGAUUCAAAUUGUCUUUUGUUGCUUAUGAUUCAUCAAUAGCAGCAGUGAGCAAAGGGAGGUUAGAGUUUCUUUAUGUUUAUGGAUUUGUAACUCCUCCUGGGGACUUCUCCGGAUUUCUGCUUUGGCCUAAGAUAUAAAUGAGUUUGUAUAAUUUUGCUUUUCAGAAUAAACAGUUUGAUUCCCCCACACUAAAUUGCUUAUUUUCUACCCUUUACUUGUUUGACGUAUUUUAUUGAAGUAUCAAGUAAAUAAUAAUACGACCCUACCCGGAAAACGAAAGGUGGUGGGUGGUUGGAAUUUGUUGGUAGGUUCCAGUCAUUAGAAGCGAAACUUAAUGAUUCGGAAAUGGUUUCAAGCCAUUCAAAAGGCUUGGGGAUGUUUGUGGUCGUUGGAGAUCCUGUCUAUCUUCUUGUCUUUAUGACUAAAAGUUAUUUGACAAACAAUGGCUUGCGAAAGUAGGAAAUUUCAGUCUCUUAUUUUCCAGCCGUAUCUCAGUUUAUUUCCAUGAAAUUGACUGUCAAGUCUGGUAUUGGCAUGGGACCUAUUUUAAGAACAUGGUUUUUGGUUUUAUGCAUGAUUUGGACAUGAAAAAGCUACUUCAGCAUAUUCAGCAUAUAUCCUGAUUCCAUAUUAUUUUUCUUCAGCCGCCUUAUUAUUUUGAUGGUGAACCGUGGAAGGUGAAGGUCCACCUACAACACAACUAUUGGAUUUCUUUUGGCUGUUAUGCUCUCUUGCUAUAAAACAGAUCCAAGGAGAGGACUGAAAGAAUUCUAAUAUUGAAAUUUUUUACAUAUACUUGGAUUCAAUUGUUUUCGUUAAUCAUCUUUCAGAGAUCUUUAGUUGUUAGGAAGGCUAAUAAAUUCUUUCAUUCUUUGCACUGCUUCUGGCAAGCCCUUUGCUCCCUAAGGAAUGAAACAACACUUACAAGAAUGAAACAAAUUUGAUUUUAAAAUGAUGCUUACUUUUAUUAUUAUCAGUAGUUCUGAGCAAUAAGUGAUUUCUGGGCAUGAACAUUAUAUUUGGAUAUUGAAAUAUGCAUAUUUCUUCUUCUUCUUCCUCCCAACUAAAGACUAUUUCCUUGGUUCUUUUCAGCAGCAAAAGGAGACUGAAAGAAUGAUUGCUGUAUGCACAGACACAACUCAGAAGGUAGAUUCUAGCUACCUUUAUUCUUAUACAAAUCCUUUAGAUUAUGCUCGGAGCAAGAGUUGAAGAAGGGCCAGAUUAUUGUGUAAUCACUCCUCCAUCCGAGAAAUUAAACUAGACAGCAAUCGUGAUGAUCGCUGAAUGGCCUUGGCAUUCUCUCUUGCAGCCUUCCCUGACUUGAUUUGAAGUUGUCGACAAAGAAUAACUGAGAGAGGUUCAUCCCACUGUCAUUAAAACAAGAGAAUAAAGCAAAUUCAGCCUUGCAUUUGAUGUCAGCUUUUAAUCUUUGAUAGUCUCCUAUCAUGGGCAAGUUGAGUUUGCCAUGAUAGCUUCCUAAAGUGUAACUCCUUUUUCUGCUUAGAGCGAUGGAUGACAUGGUGUUUAAUUCUUGCCAUGAAGACUGUAAUAUUAAACAGAAUGAAACUCAACUGAGGAUUGAUUCAUUGAAUAUUUCAAGGGCUCUCACCAUUUUUUUCUUUGAGGCCUGCAACACAGAUUUGCCUUCCAUGUCUAUGAAAACAGGGAAUUUUCUUUUAUAUUUUGCACACAUACAAUUUCAGUUGAAACAUUAUUGUGAGAACUUGGAAAAGAAGUUAGUAUAAUCUAUGGAGCGGCAGUUUAGAUUGCCGUAACAAUAAGAGGAAGAAGCCGACAAUGGCAGCGGAUUCAGUAACCAGAAGGGAACUUGUUUGAAAGGGAUAGCUACGGUUGAUCAUGGGAUAAGCGUAUUUUCCAUAAAUGAUAGAAAAACAUGCACUUUUUACUAGUUCCUGGUUACAUUAACUAGCCAGGCAUGGAACUUGUUGCCUAUUUGCCAGCUCUAAAGUAAGGACAACUUAAAGACAGCUUCCUUUCCACCAGAUCCUCACAUGGGGUUGGUGGAAGCCGUGAGGAAAUUCAAUGCUAGAAAUUGUCACAUGUUUUUCAAGAACAAGGAUGAAGAUGAAGAUGAUGGGUGAAGGGGCAAUGCGUAAGGAGGUUUUUGGUCAGAGUUUGGUGUAAAUCUUGAAGCUCACUCCUCUUUAAUUUUGAUGGGCUUGUAAAUGAAGUAAAGCUUUGUUUGAACAAGCUUAGUGUAAUUCUUUCUUCAGAUUUUAACAAUGUGAAUUGCUAUCUACAAUCCACAUGAUGCUAGCUUAGCUUACAUAAAUUACAAUCCAAGAUUUCUAUAGAAAAUUCCAGAGGAAAGUUGGUUGCUUUUGCCUUACACUGCAAUAAUAAUAAUAAUAAUAACUACAGUAUUUGUAGUGGCAUUAUAAUGUAUUUAUAUUUGGAGACACUUUGACAUCGAUUAACAUUAGGAAACAAAUGAAUCAGAAUAAUGCUGCAAAAAAAAAAACCAUUUUUAAGUUAUUAAUUGCAUAUUUAGGAAAAAUCAUGCUGAUCAUGAAUAAGAUCAUCUUAAAUUGUUGAGAAAGUUUUAAGUUUUAAUUGUCUCUGUUUUUGCUUUGUUUUUUUAAUUGUCAAAAGAAAUACAAGAAGAAAAUGUUUAGACUCCCUAAUUUUAACCAAGUCCAUUGAUUUCUUUAAAUUAAAUACCAUUUGUUUUUAUUUAAAAAAACCCUCUUUUGUUCUCUCUUCUUUAAUUUUAGAGCCAUUAGAAGAGAGACUAAAUAAACCCAAACCAACAACAAACAAACAAAACAAACAAACCCUUCCUUCCAAAGAUUCCCCAUUUCAUCACAAAAUAAAAAGAGAGCUUGCACGAGAGAAGUCCACCACCACCCCCACCCCCAGCCCAAAAUCCACCCCCAAAAUAAUAGCAAGAAGUCCCCUUUCAGCCUGUACCUUAGCCGUCGCCGCAGCCGCAGCCGCCACCGCCGCCGAAGCAGAGUUAUCCUCAAACGAUAGAUACCCAUUUCUCGAAAUCCUAAUAAAUAAAAAAGAAAAAAAAAAGGAUAUUCCAAAGUCGACGUCUUUUUCCAAAUAACCUCAGAAAUGUCAAAACAAAUGUCUCAUCUUGACGACAUUCCAUCAACGCCGGGGAAAUUCAAGAUGGAAAAAUCGCCGUUCGUUCACAAUCGGCUAAGGUGGCAUUCCUCUCUUGCAAAGCUCACAUUUUGGUCAUUUAUCUUCUUGGGCCUGAUCUUGAUCUUCUUCUUUCGAUCUCCCUCUUCCAAUCCCCUUCCGCAAGAUCCUUCCCGACGCUCUCUCCGUACGUACAACUGGGGCGGACCCGCUUGGGAAAAAAGGGUUCGUUCCUCUGCUCGUGUCCGUUCCCACAAUGGCAUCUCCGUUUUGGUUACUGGAGCUGCCGGCUUCGUUGGAACCCACGUGUCGGCUGCUUUGAAAAGGCGCGGCGAUGGUGUUCUUGGACUUGAUAAUUUCAAUGACUAUUAUGACCCUUCACUGAAAAGGGCUCGGCAAGCACUUCUGGAACGAAGUGGGGUUUUCAUUGUGGAAGGAGAUAUCAAUGAUUCGGCUCUUUUGAGGAAGCUUUUCGAGGUUGUUGCAUUUACGCACGUUAUGCAUUUGGCUGCUCAAGCUGGGGUCAGGUAUGCAAUGGAAAACCCUGGCUCUUAUGUUCAUAGCAACAUUGCUGGUCUUGUUAGUUUACUUGAAGUUUGUAAGUCAGCCAAUCCACAGCCUGCAAUUGUGUGGGCUUCUUCUAGUUCUGUUUACGGUCUUAAUACCAAAGUUCCGUUUUCUGAGAAAGAUAGGACUGAUCAGCCUGCUAGUUUAUAUGCUGCUACUAAGAAAGCUGGUGAAGAAAUUGCACAUACUUAUAAUCAUAUAUAUGGACUUUCUUUAACUGGUUUGAGGUUUUUCACGGUUUAUGGUCCAUGGGGAAGGCCGGAUAUGGCAUAUUUCUUUUUCACUAGGGAUAUUUUGAAGGGGAAGUCCAUACCAAUAUUUGAGGCAGCUAAUCAUGGUACGGUGGCUAGGGAUUUUACCUACAUUGAUGAUAUUGUUAAAGGGUGUUUAGCAGCACUGGAUACUGCCGAGAAGAGUACCGGAAGUGGAGGGAAGAAGAAGGGUCCGGCUCAACUGAGGGUAUAUAAUUUGGGGAAUACUUCGCCUGUGCCAGUUUCAGAUCUUGUGAGUAUCUUGGAGAGGCUGUUGAAAGUUAAUGCAAAGAGGGAUAUUACGAAGUUGCCACGAAACGGGGAUGUUCAGUUUACUCAUGCCAAUAUUAGCUUGGCUCAGAGAGAGCUUGGAUAUAAGCCCUCAACUGAUUUGCAGACUGGUUUGAAGAAAUUUGUCAGGUGGUAUCUUAGUUACUAUAAUGGUGGGAAGAAGGCUGCUGGGUAAUUCAUUCUUUGAAUUGCGGUACGAUCCUCCAAAUUCUUGUUCAUUAUCAUUCGAAUCCUUGUUUUUAACAAUACUCUGUUCGUUAGGAAAUUAUCGUUGUUUCAUACAUCUUUAAUGAUGCCAUCGUAUAAGGAAGGAUAUUAUGUCCUACUUGGGAGAAGUUUUGUGAUAACUGGACAUUGUUUGCUGGCCAGGCACACGUUGUAUCAAAAGAACACCAGAUUUUAUUUUUUUUCAUUUUUCUGUCCCUUGAAAUGUAACUGUUGUAGUUUUUCCGUUUAGAGCUUAUGAACUGAUAGAGCAUAUGUCAUUGAUAAUAAAAUAGAACUCAAUAAUACGACCGUUGGGUUGCAUCUGGAUAUUUACUUUGUGACUUUUCUUCUAAUGUUUACCAAUCCCCACCCCCCAAAGCAAAAGAAAAAAAAAGAUGCCCUCUAACUUCAUUGUACUUUUGUAAAAUUAAUAUGCUGAUGUUGAUUCCUUGCUGUUCUCUUUUGCCUUUAAGAUAAGUAAUUUUUUCUUGACUUUGACACCUAAAAAAGCCAAUGGUCCAAGUUUUGUUUAUUUCUUCUUUUUUAGUUAAUGCUAGAUCAUUGCUAAUUGCACAUUUUCAUUCAAUAGCAUAGAGGUAUUGCUCCUUUCAUAUUUUUUCUUAGAGCUUGAUAUAAAUGAAUAAAUAUGAUAGGGUUCCUAAGAUAUGUUUGAUUAAUGUUUAAGAGCUGGCAAUCGGCUGUUUAACUUUAGGACUAUGAUUUUUCUGUUGCUGCUUGAUUUAUGGAUUUUUUGAGCUUUGUACACAAAGUAGUGUUAUCCAACUUGGUCCAUGAUCCAAGAAUCAUUUAGGUUUACAAAUAGUGGAACACUAGGCAAUCCAAGACGAUUUUAUUCAUGGCGUGGUCCAUAAAGAACUAAAAGAUCCUUAUCAAUAGAAGCAUCUGCUUAAAGCUAUCUUUUGAUAAUUUAUUUUAGCUUUGGCAUUUUCAUGGAAAGUGGUGUCUUCGUAAGUGUUGCAGCGGUUGAAAACCUCAUUUUACACGAUGUGAGCAUAUAUGUAGCUAAAAUGAAGUCGCAUGGAUUGUUCAUCAAAGCAAGAUAUGGAAUACUGGGUCAGACACAUCUGAAUCAGUAGUUUUUUUCUCUUAUUAUCUAAGAUCGGUUAUUGUGUCUUGUGGGGUUGAUGCCAUUUGUCUACUUUCAGAAUCAUAAAUGUUUUUAGUGUUCCACUGGCAGUGAAAGAUAAUUAUGGGUUCUUUCAUUGAAGAAUGUACUUUAUUAAGGAGGUUGACGAAAUUCUUACCGAGACAACUCUUUAAUAAACAUCAAGCCUAUAGUGCUAGUUUAAAGAAUUUGAUGGAGUGUUAGAUUAAAUCAAAUAUGUUGUCUGCUAAACUAAAACUUUCCGAGGCAUCUAUCGAGUUAGCUUGGCCAAAAUGACGAGGCUCCAUAAUACUUCUUUUGUACUUAUCUUACCAGCUUGAUUUGUGUUGAAUUUUGCUGUUUUCUGUGUCAUGGUCAGUAGUGGAUAAGGAAAGUUUUUUCAUGUACGAAGAAGUCCAUUGAAUACAUGAGAAGUCAGAAUGGCGUUGAGGCAUGUGCAGUUGUCUGUGUGUAAGCUGUUGUUGGAAUGGGUGUUGCGGAAUACGAGAUGGGAUGAAAAGGUGGUGGUGGUCUCCCAAAGUGGAUAACCUUGGCCUUUUUUUCUGUUGUCCCAUUGUUCCGAAGCCUCAAAGCUCCAGGAUUGGGCGUUUCCUUUAUCCAUCUUGAACAAUGGAAAUACUCAAAUUUCAGGCUCGGUUUGCAUAUCAUAAAUGAGACAAAAUACCUCCAUAAGGGUAAGAAAGUAAUUUGAAGGAUUGAAAUCCUAAUUUAAAAUCGACAAAGAAAAAAUUGCUGGGGUCAUUUUGCCUUUGAAGCUUUCUUGGGCUAAUCUACAUAAAUAAUAGGCUUAAUUAAAAACUAAACCAUCAAUGGAAAAAAAAAGCCCAAUAAUGAAUCACUAACAGAAGGACUAGAAGAAUAAAAACCCUAGCCCAAACUUCCGCUUUGAUUCUAGGCUAGGGUUUCUUUGCUCUUAGCAAUUAGCAGGCAAUACAGAAUCAGAGUGAAGCAGCUAAGCUUGGAAUUCUUCCAUCAUGGGUCGUAUGCACAGCCGAGGGUUUGUAUCCUCUUUAGAAUCUCUUUUUUUGUUUAUUUUUUCUUUUCUUUCUAAAUCUUUUAUCAUAAACAACCAUGUGAUUGUCUGGUCGAAUUGUACUGUAAUUGCUUCUGUUUUUUGGCAUGACUGUCUGUGCAGUAAGGGGAUUUCUGCAUCUGCCCUGCCUUACAAGAGGACUCCACCUAGUUGGUUGAAGAUCUCCUCUCAAGAUGUGAGUCACUGUUUUAACCAUGCCCUAAGCUUUUGCUUCUGCUUUAGUUAGGCAAAUGAAUGAUAGUAUCCUUUUACCUUCUUUAAAAGAGAUUUCGACUUUUCGUUUCGAAAUUGGUUAUAUGAGAAGUGGAGUUACUCCUUUAAUGCCUUAUGUCAGUUGAGUCCUCGAAGAACCAGAUGCUUUAACAAAUGUAACAUGGAAUAGUUGUUAUCCUCAUUGGCUGUGAUACAAUUCAAUGCAAUGUUAUGCUCUGCUUGAAGUCUAAAGUUUUUCUAUAGUAAUGCAUACAUUUUAAACUGGUUGCUUUGCUUCAUGAAGUUAAACUUGUCUGGAUUUAUGAAGUAAAACUAAAGAUAGGUUCAAUAGAAAAUUGAAGUUUGAUAUUGCAUGUACUUAUGUUUCAGUAUUUUGUUUUGACUUUUUUCAACUUUGUGAAAUGUGCAAUCUUAAUAGUCAUUUAUUCUUUCUGUUGGUUACUUGACAUAAGCCUCAAGUUGUUUUGAGCUCAGGUUACUAUAUUUUUGUGGAAGAUAUUGGUUUAUAUAUCCCACAAAUGUAGGUGGAAGUUGUAGUCUUGAACGAAUGAAAUAAUAGUAGUUGUUAAUCAAGUCUUCCUCAAACCCCUAUCUUGAUUUCAUCUUUUAGGUUGAGGAUAACAUUUGCAAGUUUGCAAAGAAGGGUUUGACCCCAUCUCAAAUUGGUGUCAUUCUCCGAGAUUCUCAUGGGAUUGCUCAGGUGAAGAGUGUUACUGGCAGCAAGAUUCUGCGCAUACUGAAAGCCCAUGGUGCAUCUUUAUUCAACAUUUUCUGCUAUUCCAUUUUCCUUCAGAUUGGAAGAUUAACAUUCAACGCAUCCCUUUGUCUUUGUCAGGUCUUGCUCCUGAAAUACCCGAGGAUCUGUACCACCUGAUUAAGAAAGCCGUUGCCAUCAGAAAGCAUCUUGAGAGGAACCGAAAAGACAAGGAUUCCUAGUUUAGGUUGAUCUUGGUUGAGAGCAGGACCCACCGACUCGCCCGCUAUUAUAAGAAGACAAAGAAGCUGCCACCAGUGUGGAAAUAGUGAGUGUUUCUGUGGUUAUUGCCUUUUACUCUCUACUCUCUUGCCAUGAAAUUGGUUUUAACUCGUAAAUUUUAAUGAACUUUAUUUUUUUUCCAAUCCAGUGAGUCUACUACUGCCAGCACUCUUGUGGCCUAGAUAAAUCAAAUUUUGAACUGUCCUCCUGUGCUUCGAUUGAUAUUCUUCUGGAUCGGCUAGUAGGAGUUGGACUUUUUGUAUUACGUUCUAUUAAUGCCGUAAAAGAACUAGUCCACUUAAUUUGAAGUUGAGAUACUUAAUGUGUUAAAUCUUAUGUUUAGUAUAUUGGAAUAAUUCAUCUUUCAUUUCAUUUUUUCAUAUUUGAAAAGUUUUUUCAUAGAGGUUUUUUCUUGGAUUUGUUUCACUAGGUAGAAUUGCUCCACACGUGAAUCAGUGGAAGAUGACGACCACAGAAGGGAGGAAAAAACAAAAACCCAUUGGAAAUUUACUUAAAUUAAUCAGACGGCAUACAGAUGAGAUCUUUUAAUACGCUAUCAAAUUAAGACAGCCUGGGAUGUUGAUAAAAACUAGAUACCUCCUGGCUUGCAUGCUUACAUGAAAUAAGCUCCUAGUUAAAUCUAUAAUUGACUUGCAGGCUUCGAGGUUGUAAGGUUCCAAACUAGCCAUGAUGUACGUAAGGUGUGACUUCUGAAUUGGAUGUUAAUAAACUAUCCAACAAUGAAUAUAUCUCCAUAACUUGGGGAUGCGACUUAUCUUGCACAAAGAAUUCAUGAACAGUUCCCUCAAGUUCAAUCCGGCUGCAACCAGGAAUUUUCUUCAAAUUUCUUUCUUUCAUCAUCAACCUGACACUACUAACCGCGUUCCACAUACCCAGACCAGCAUACAUGUUGGAUAGAAGUACAUAAGAGCUUGAAUUACAAGAGUCCAGUGUGAUUAAAUGCUUACCCGCUGGUUCUCCAACAUCAAUGUUCUCAUGGUUUUUGCAAGCACUGAGCAAACUUCUCCAUAUCACAUCAUUGGCUUCAAUAGGCAUUUCCUCUAUAAAUUUUCUUGCUACAUCUAUCUGCCCUGCCCGGCCUAGGAUGUCUACUACGCAUCCAUAGUGUUGCAGUUUCGGUACCAUCUUGUGAACUCUUCUCAUGAUAUCAAAGCAAAUUAGGCCUUCCUUCACCAAGCCAGCAUGGCCGCAAGCAUUCAGCACCCCAAUGUAUGUGAUAUCAUCGGGUUCCACACAAAGCUUUUCCAUAUCCAUGAGCAAUUUGAAAGCCAAUUCCCCCAUGCCAUGAAUAGCUAAUCCACCAAUCAUAGCAUUCCAAUGAUCAACAGUCUUAUAUUUUAUACCCUCAAAAACCAACACAGCAUUCUUUAUGCUCCCACAUUUUGAAUACAUGUCAAUAAGAGCAACGCCAAGCCUUCCGCCCAAAGAGAACUUUUUUUGCUUUAGAUAAUGAUGUAGUGCUAACCCUCUGUCGACAUGCCCUAAUUGUGCAAUUGCUGAAAGAGCAAUCAACAAUGUGGCACUAUCAGGUUGCAAACUACAAUUCCUUGGUAGAUGAUAAAAUAUUUCCAAAGCUUCUCCACAAUAUCCAUUUUGGACACAACCAGCCAUCAUGGCAUUACAGACAACAAUAUCUCUUUCUGACAUUUCAUUAAACAAAGACCUAGCUAGAUCAAUCUUACCUACUUUAGCAUAUCCAUUGAUCAUAUUAGCCCAACUGACGACAUCCCUUCUCGGCAUCUUAUCGAACAAUAUCUGGGCAUCUUCCAUGUUCCCACACUUUACAAACCCAUUAAUCAUUGAAUUCCAAGAAAUCAAAUCUCUAUCAGGCAUUUUCUCAAAGAGUCCCAAAGCCAAACCCAUCCCAUCUUUCAAUUGCGUGUAACCACUAAUCAUGGAAUUCCAAGUUAUCAAAUUCUUAUUCUCUAGUGGCAUAACGUCAAACAACUCCUUUGCUAAAUCAAUCAUCCCCCUUUUAAUAUACCCAUCAAUCAUCGAAUUAUAUGAAACAGAAUCCCGCAUAGACAUUCUAUCAAAUAAUUGACGUGCAUAUCCAAUAAACCCACAGCGUAAAUAAUAAGAAAUUAAACAAUUUUGUAAAAAUAAAUCAGACCCAAAAUUCAGCUUUCUAAGCAAACCGUGUACCUGCAUUCCUUCCCUCAAUAAACCCAAUUGAGAGCAGGCUUUAAGCACCAAAGACAACGAGAAUUUAUCAAAAGGAACCCCAUUCUCAAGCAUCAAACAGAGAAUGAUAAAAGCUUCUUGCGCCUCACGUCCAUGAGAAUAUGACUUUAUUACGGCAUUCCAAAGAAAAGGGUCCUCGUCUUGUUUAGGUGAACGAAAAGCAAGGUACGUAAAGAAGACAUAGCGAGCGAAAUCUACUAAAGGAGUGAAGGGUGAAGGAGAGAAAGUGAGGACGAUUUUGGUGGUGAGAACUUGGCUUCUGAUGAAACCAGUGGUUAUUAAAUGGCCGUGGAUUUGGUUUACGUCGGUCAGAGUCCUGCAUUUCUGGAGAAGAGCUAAAGUUGGCAGUGUUGAGUUCCAAGGCUGGUUUAGAUUCGCACAGAUAAGCAUCAACUCUAUUCUCUGUGUUUUAGAUUCUACAAUCCCUUGUUAGAAAUUAGUGUGUCCAUACUCUAGAUAUUAUCAUCUUUAGAUAUUAUUUGAACAAAAAGACAAACGCUUCAGAUAUUAUCAUCUAUCAACGGUUUUCAACGGCCAAAAUUCAUGCACUAUCCAGCUACGAUGGAGUGGAUUGAGUGCAAAACGACGUCGUUUGUUUCUUUCAAAAGAAAAAUGAGCCUGGUUAAAGCCCACAAGUACAAUAGCAAUUAUGAACAAUCAAAGUAACUUUUACACAACCAAGAAAGAGCCAAGGAUAGACCAUAAUGAAAUUCUGCCCUUUCUUUUCUUUCCAUUUCACUUGUAUCGCUAGUUUUAAUGCAAAACAACUUUAAAAUGAAGAGUUUCUAGUGUUCAUUUACUCAACUAUUACCAGAAUCCCAAACAAAUACAUAUGUAGCAGGACAAAAUAUGCUUUCAACUAAAUUGAGAAAAGAUCCAUGCUUCGGAAUUAUUGCUAGAACCCUAUGAGCACUAGAGUGCAGUGACCAAAGCGGCAUAACCAGUAUAUGCUCAUACCUGGUUCAUUCUAUAUUAAUCCUAACAACCUUCUUUGUUCUACCCCCAGAAGUGGUUCUUGCUUCAGUGUUUGCUCCUUGAUUUCCCAUGUUUCGGGCCUGCUCUCUAUAUGGAAGUCUCCAACUGUCCUUCACUGCCACUCCCAUUUGCUCAUUAGUUCCAGAUCCUACGUUCGCAUUGGAUAUUGAAAAAAGAAAAUGAAAGAAGUGAUGCCAAACUCAUAAUCCAUGAAAAUGAUACCUUCUUGUUAACGAUAAAUUUUCUAGUAAAACUAGAAUAAAUGAGUUUAUAUGCUCAAAAGAAAAAAGAAUAAACAAUAAGAUCUCUACCAAUAAUCGCUCAUAAAGGUUAAAAGAAACAUUUACCAGCUUUCGCAGGUGCACUAAAUCCAUCGCUCCAACCAGUCAAAUGACCCUGACUAUUACCUUCCCAGGCCUUUUCAAACUCCGCAAGCUCGUCUAAUAAGUUGCAAUAUGAAAAAUAUCAGUUCCAUUCAAGCACAAUGUUCUUGAAUAAUCACGGUAAGCAAACCAGGGAACAAACCUUCAUUCAAGUUGUGUAAUGUUUGCGUUGUGUCCACCUUACCAUCUGAACUCAGCUUCCUUGUAACAGAAUGGCCCUGCAUGAAGAAAGGAACAUUCUCAAUCCUAGCAAGAAUUAAAUGCACAAAUUAUUGCAAGUGAAGGUUAAAUCUUUGUUCUUCCUUUAUCAUUUCUAAAGAUCUCUCAUAACAGUGAAAGGUAGCAAACGAAAGUGAACAAAUACAUGAAAUGCAGUAGAAGCAAAACUAACUCCGAGGACAAGUGGUAAGGAAAUAAACUGAUUCCAAAUUACGGCAUGAAAAUAUAUCUGAUGACAAAAAUCAGUUCUAAAGUAGAGCUUAAAAAUAAGUCUCAUUGUGACAAUGAAAUAGAUAACUGCAAAUCAACUAGGUAUUUUGAUAUUGUACAACAAGCUGUACAUUCAAUGAAUUCUGAAGUUCCUUGGAGGAUAUGCCCUUUCAGAACACACCCAAAGUUGCAGUUAUUCAAUACGAUAAUUGACAUAUAUAACUGCCCUCUUUAGCGUCCCAUUUUUUAAUUGUUCCCAAGAAAGGCUAGUGCGACCACCAAUGGAAUAAUUACCUUAUCGUGAAUUACUCUAGAAAUCCUAUGUGUUGCUUGACCAGUUGUUGUAUCUGCUUCUUUUCUCUCCUCAAUCACCACCUGAAAGACCAACACAUAUGUUAGAAACAAGAAGAGUUUUAAUUAUAAUUGAGCACUCACUACAAAGAGCUACUUACUCCAUCACUGCCUGUCUUCCUGCUUCUUGUAUUAGUGUAAUAAGUUCCAUCUACACCUCCAUAUGUAGCUCUGGAGGUCUGAAAACUAAAAUUAGGAGCUUGUGCCUUUGAGCCUUUCACCUUGUCAUACUCAUUCCUAAUAUUCAAAUUCAGAAUCUUCCCAUCUGUUAAAUAUACCACCUCAAUCAUUAUGACAUACAAAAAUACAGGUCUUAUGCACUCAUCCAAAAUAAAAUUCCAUUUACCAUUAUCACUAUCAUCUAGGUGCUCAACGAAUGGCUCCUUGCCUGAACCAUCAUGCUCAGUAUUGCCUUUAUCUUUUUCUUUCUCUUCCUCACCAUCAGAGUUCAGUUCUUCUAUAACUAUUCCCUUUCCUCCAUUGCCCUUUGGUGCUUCACGAGAAGUUGUACUUUGAUCAAAGAUGCUAGGUUCAAAUAUGCUACUGAACGGACGACUGAAGAAGGGGUCAUCAAAAGGAUCUUUACCUCCAAAGAGGCUAGACAUCAUACCAUUAUGGGAUCCAAAGCUACCAAACCUUCGGAAAGCAUCAAAUGGCUCACCCCUAUCAAAGAGGUCAUUUGUGCUUUCUCUUCUCCUCUGCAUUUGUCUGCUGUCUGAAAAGAACAUAACAAGUUUAAAAAAGGAAACAUGCUGAUAAGAAUUGGCAAAGAUGGCCUUGAGAAAAACAUUGUAAUAUAUUUCAAAAGAGAAAAUUUCAACACCAACAAUUAAAAGUUCGAAAAUGAAACAUUUUUGAGAUAUACCAAAAGAAAACUUUUACCAUCUAUCUAUUAGAGAGGAUACACUUGAAUAAUAAAAUGAAACCAAUCUAUCAACUCCAUCAACCAUCAUCUAACUAACAAGUCAAAGAGAUAGAGCUCUACCAUAUUUGAUCUCUUAAAUGCAACUUAACAGCAAAAUAAUUCAAAAAUAAUUUAUAGGGCAGCUGUUAAUAAAUUAAUCACAUUUGUUUAAAAGGAGAUGCUAGUUCCUUCAGAUUGAUAUUAAACUAGCUAACUAAACAUGCAGCUAUAAGGCUUAUUUACGUUCCGUUCUAUUGCCUAAAAAUACAGGGAAAAAACUAUUCAAACGAGAAACUUUCACACAUGUAAUCCUUAAAUUACUGAAGUGCUCAUUUCCUAUAACAAAACCAUUUCGUUAUUAAAAAAAAUUCAUCAUGAUCUCGGAAUUCACAUGAUCAUAGAUGAAAAAGAAUCGAAAUUCAGCUUCAGGUAAUCCGCAUCCAGAAUUUGCAUGAAAGCUAUCAUAAUUCAUAAAGAUAGACAAUUUUAAAUGAAGAAAAUAUCGAAUAGAGCAUGAACCUGAUUCCCUAACUUCUAAAUGCGAAUUCAAGAAAAAGAGAGAUGAUAUUACCAGGUGAAAUGAUUGGAUUUCAAAUACCGGAAGAAAUAUUUCAAAUGAAGCACAAGGACGCUUCAAGGUUUUUUCUUUUUUCCUUUUCUAUUCUCUUUGUGUCGUGGUCAAAAUUGCUCUCACUACCUCUGAAUUCGGGACUAAAUAAGAACGUAUGAGAAGGUGACACGUGUCUCACUUUCUUCUCCUAGUUAAAGCUAGAAUGUUCCAGGUUUUAUUAGGAUAAUGAUCUUAAUUUAUUGGAUUUUGUUUAAAUUUAAGAGUUAUCAAAAUGGAGUUUGUAUCCAAUUUUUUAAUUUAUAUUAUUGCGAAAAUAUGAAAUAUACAUAUUCGUGCGUAAUCUAAUACCGUAUUAAAAUAUUAGUCAAUAAAAAUAUAAAUAACGUAAUAUUCUUAAUUAAAAAGGAAAUUUGUUGGAUUAGCGUACCACCAUAGGCUAGGCUAGCUACGUUUCAAUGAAAAUUUAUGAACUUACAUUACGGUAAACAGAUACAAAACCCUUGCAAAAUUAAUAAUAAAUUUAUCAAAUCCGUAGGCUGAUGAAGAGAACUUAGAAAUUAUGGAAACAAGAACAUAGUAUGCCACAGUUGAAUAGAAAAUGGACAUUAUCAUCCACCAAAAGCAAUCUCUUUAUUUCCAAUCAGUACAUACAACAAAUCUACAAUACAACAACGUCAAAUGUUAACAUUUCAUAAGCAAAGCCUACUGCUCUCCCUACACCAUUUUAAUCAUAUGCUGCUUGCUUUCCCUGCUUCAUAUUCUCUCUCUUCCUCCCUCUACUCUUUAUUUCUAGGUGAAGAAGAUGCCUGUGGGAAUCAAUGGUUAGAAGCCGAAACCCAACACUGAGAGCGACGCCUGAAGCUUCUGUACCGACAGAGAGUUAGAAGAAAAAUUUCCUGCCUGUGGUGGUUUGGUUUUUACUUUUUAGAAUUCCUGGGAAUCGAAAUCAGGCUUUGAUGGAUAUUCAAGACCCUGGAGUGCUGGCAUCCGUCGUAAAUCCUCAUCUGAAUAACCGGGAAUGAACCAGUAUAGCUUGUCUGUUCCAAACACCUAUAUAUAUACCAAAACCAGAACUUGAGUAAACUGAUGACAGCAUGCCAGAAAAGCCAGCUACAAGACCACAUACUCCAGUUACCCAGUUACAGUGUAAAACUACUAACUUAUAACCAAUAAUUCAGCACAAAUACUAAAAAAGUUGGCCUCCAACAAAAAAGUACCAACUGCCACGAGGACUUGUCGAAGAAACAUUAGAAGCAAAACUUUUAAAAGAAAUUCCAGACAACCCAAAUGAUAAAGGACAGUAACAGGGAUUAACUGAUUUCAACCAGAUCAAUCAUCGAAUGACCAAACAUCAAUGCCUUUUUUGUGCAAGAAUUGCAUGUAAUGGUAAAUAGCGAUGUAUUUGUAAAAAAAAUUAACCUGCUCAAAAUUUUUCUUUCGACCAAGGUCAUAACGCCAUUUUGGAGUGCUUUUCUUCUCAUAUGCCUGUUUCAAAGACAAUAACCAAUUUUUUAACUUUGAGUCCAUUUAUGCUGCAUUCUAAUCAUCAAGAAGCGCAAUACACCACAUGAUCUAGCUGAAAGAUGGAUCUAAAUUCUCAUUGAGGAUAUUCAGUAAAUUAGGGCAAGGGGAGAGGGGGGAAAUUAACACACUAAUGAUUUUCAGCAUGUCUCCCUGUAUUAUGGCACGGUACUAAAAUAAUAAAUAUAAUGAAAAAUACUAAAAAAACCCAACUAUUAUGACAUGAAAUUGAGCUUCAAUAUGAAGAGAAAAUCACAGUACCUCAAUGGUAGUGGUAUUAGCUGAAACCAAAGAUAUGUGCAUGAUCAAAAACCCCAAGACGCUCAAUGCAAAUGCCAAAUUCAAAACUGUGACAAGAGAACAUAGUCAUACAUUUGUACAAAGUCGCAGAAGUUAACUUGGUCAGAAGAUCAGUCAAAGCAACACUUACCAAAGGCAAGGAAAGUGGUAGCAAGGGUGCCGGGGGUUCCGGGAAUUUCUCCAUCACUAAAAAAUGCUAUGAAAUGUGGCAACAAGGCCAUAGUCACAAGACUAGUCUCGAGGAACGCGUAAAACUGCAGUGAUGGGAAUACAUAGUCAAAGCAAUCCAAGAAAACCGAAGUAUUUCUCCUUAACAUCUCAUGAAUUGCAAUCACAAAAUAUAUUACUAUAAUCAGAAUGUUAGAGCAAAAAGAAACACUCCAAGGCACAACUUAUGUUUCUAAAAGAGACUUGAAAAUAGGAACCAAACUUGUAGGAUUUCAAAAAGGACAAAAUGUAUGUACAACUAAUUCAAAAAUAAAGCAGACAUACCAAGAAAAGAAGAAAAUACUUGUAAUUUUGUGCACCAACACAAUUGACAACCCACACACAAUGAUGGUCCAUCUUUAGCACACACCGCCCACCUGAAACAAUGAUAUUAAUACGAAACUGGUCACCAACGAUAACAACAUUAUUAGCAAAUCAAGAACAAUUAACGGAGAGUUUUAGUAAAUGAAGAACUUACAAACAGAACAAUGAUGGCAGCGGGGUGGUUUCAGCUGGUUGCAUUUCCGACAAUAUCGAAUUCUUUGAUUUAAUGGGUCUGGCUGCGAACCAUUGAACUCUGAACCAUUCAAUGGGUCAGCCUCUCCUCUCUCCUCGUCCAAAGCCGGCCUCCAGUUAGGUGGCACACUACCCGGGUCAGUCAAAACAACAGAAAAGUAACUCCAUAACAGCAUUACCAACUGCAGAAUCACAUCCAAAUUUCCACAUUUAGAGAAUUAGUUUCCAGAAAACAAUUAAUCGUCCACAACUGUUACAUUCUUAUAGAAAUGCAAUAACAUUAAUCAUUACCCCAGAACCCCAAAUACUGAAAUUCUUAAUGAUUCAUAACAACUAAGGCAAAAAGGAAGAAAAUAUAAGAUCUAGAAAGACCACUAACUAAUGAAUAAGCAAACACAAAACUCAAGCUUGGAUCUUUUCAGAACCAUGUUAAUGAUUUUAAAAGAAAAAACAAAAAAAGCCGCGUUAUUUAGUUGAAUUUAAUUAAUUUAAUUUCAACGGACCUGAUGUCUAAUCUAAUUACAAAACCAAUAAAAAUAUGUUAAAUGUCAAGAUACGUAAUCCAGAGGAAGAUAUGUAAAACCUAAGAAAACCCCAGUAACAAGUUUGGAGACUUACGAAACAAUGAAAGAAGAACAAGAUAACAGCAGCAGUAAGGGAAUUAAAGCCACCAUCGUAUAAAGCUGGGCCAUAAUUAGUCAAAACGACAGAGUAGUACGUGACACCCACGACCCCUAAAACCAAAAGGAUCAUGAUCGAGCCCAGAGCCCUCAGAGCCGUGCAAAACUUGAAUACAUUCCAAGCCAUCGUUGCUCCGGAUCUGUGCAUAAUACCCAGCUAACCAAUAAGAUAAAUAAAACCCUUCUGAUUCACAGUGCUUUGUAACUCUUUAAAAAACUAGGAGUCCUAAUUAAGGUUGUCUGAAUGACUUAGAAGAUGAAGCAAUCUGAGGUUUUCCAAUUGAGAACAGUGGAGAAGAAAACUGGGAUUACAGUGAAACAAGAAAAAAGAAAAAGGGUUUCUUUCAGAAAAGAAAUGAAAGAAAGAAACUUUUUCCUUUCUGCAAUAUAUUGUGAGAGUGGGAUUGUGAAUCUAGAGUUUAUGGGAUUUGGUAUACACCGGAAUUUGGGUUUCCAGGUAAGCUGUGGAAUCCAUAUCUAUCUUGCUAGACUGAAGACCAGUAACAGAGGAUUGAAGAAAAUAUCUGGUAUUUUCCUUUCUCGGACUAAGAAGGCAAUGGGUAAUUGGGAAAAAAUUAAUGUUGCAAAAAAUAAAAAUACUCAAAAGCUAAUUACAAGUGAAAUGGGAUAAGCGAGAUGUAUUAAUUGUUUGAUUGCGUCAUAAAUCAUAAUCCUUAACUGUGGAUUAAUUGUAUACAUUACUUAAAAUUUAUUUACAUAAUUUUUUAGAGAUUUGUACUUUUUCACAAAUAAUUUUAAAUAAUGGUAUUCUAAAUUACACCAAUUAAAUAUUGUAUAUUGCACAUUUAGUAAUUAAAUGUUUUACAAAUGAAAGUAAUUGCUGACAUAUAUAUUGUAAUGGGCCAAUUUAGCCCGGGCCCGUAUAAACACAAAACCAAAAUAAUAAAAAGUUCAUGAAUGUCCAAUUACAAGCUCAAUAUUCAAGACCCUAAAACCAUCCGCCCAAAUUUGUCAAAUUUCAAUGGCCCAACAACUAAUAUUAAACCUAGUCCAUAAAUACAAGGCCCAAGUGGCCCAAAAUCAAAACACUUUCGGAAACCCUAGGUUCCUUAGGUGCGCGCAGCCAAACAUUCCCAUGUACGGCCUCCGUGCGCUCACAGCCUGGCUCUGUACCCUUCGUCCUCACCGCCAGCGCAACACCGUACGACCACUGAGCUCCAUACCUGCGCACAAAUGCGAAAGGGACAACACAACAGAGAGAAAAAGCAAGAAAUUUGUAUUUUUUUUCUUUUUCUCUUUUUCAUUUUUCUCUGUUUUCGGCUAUAAAGCCAAGAACAUGGCCAUUGUAUAAAGGUUACGAACAAAAAAUUACACACAAAAAAAAGCAAUCAAAUACAAAAAAGAAUCAAGGUGAUUUUCCGAUUCAAAAAAUCUUGGAUUUCUUAUAGUUUCAUUCGUCUGGGUUUCGUUGUUCUGAUAUUCAAAAGCAAAAAAAAAAAGGGAAAAAAGGGGCUUACCUGGGAAAUACGCCGCAGACCUUCUGCUUUGUUGAAGUCGAAGCCAGGAGGAGAUCUUGAGGCUAAAAAAUCAUCCUCUGGGCCUAAAGGGGCAGGUUGUUGCCUGGGGAAUGGGAAUCGGUGGCUUGAGGGGUGAUUUAGGGUUCGUCUGAACGAAGGAGAUAGAAGCUUUAGUUCUUUUUUUACUUUGAUUCGUUAAUUGGGGGGGUUAGAUAUCUGAUGUAGGUUUUUUUUAGGCUUAAUUAUGCAGAAAUUGAAACGGCGCCGUUUGAAUGGGUGAGGAUCCGCGUGUCAACCAGAUGUGCAGGCCGAAUCUGCGCCUUUUUGUUCAGAAUGGGAAAUUUGUGCGAUAAGUCCUCCCCUUUCACGCGUACAUUCAAUCGGACCCUUUUUUUCUUUUUUCUUUCUUUCUUAAAUUAGUUCUUUAAUUUGCACGCAUUUUCAGUUUAGUCCACUGUGUAGCGCCGCGUUUUGGACUCGGGGAUAUUCCCAAUUCUAGUCCUCAUACAAUUGUGCGCAUUACAUAUUGGCCCUAUAAACUAUCUCAUUUGUAAAUUAUCCUUAUUAUUUUUAAUUUGAUUCCAAUUAGUUUUUCUUUUUUUUCCUUUUUUCAUUUUAUACCUUUUUAAUUAGUGUUUAUCAUUAUUUAUCAUUUGCUUACUUUUUUGUGGUAAUUAUAUCUUUAUAUUUUGUACACUAUUUUAUGAAAAUAUUUUUUAUAUACACUAUUAUACACACAUAUAUAUAUAUAUGUGUACUUUGUAUUAAAGUUAAUUUUAUUUCAUAUAUAUAUUAUUAACCUCAUAUUAUUUUUUUUUACACAUAUAAUUCCUUUUAAAUUUAUUCUUAUAUAUUAUUUAUACGCAAUUAUAUAGAUAUAAAGAUGCAUAUCUUAUAACAAAGUUAGUUUUAUUUCAUGUAUACUAAUAUUUUCAUAUUACUUUUACACAUACAAUUCCUUUUAAAUUUAUUCUUAUAUCUUAUUACAUGAUCCUACAUAAUAUAUCUUUUAAAUCAUUAUUAUGCAAGUAUAUAUAUUUAUUGGUACCUAUAUUUGAUCUAUAUAUAUUAUUAAAUCCAUGUAUUUUAUACAUAUAGUCUUCUUUAUAUAUAUAUAUAAACAUGUUCUUAAGUCUAUUAUAUAAUUUAUUAUAAAAUUAAUUUAAGCUUGUAUGCAUUUUUAUGUUUUUACAAAUAAUUAUUUUUAAAGUUAUUUAUGUAUAUAUGUUUUAUAAAUCUAUUGUGUAAUGACUCGAAUUUUACCGAUACUGAAAAAGUGUAAUUUCGGAUAUAUGUUUAUGAAAAAUAGAUUCGUAAAUAUUUAUUAAAUGUAAUACCCCAUACCCAUACCUGAGACCGGGAUAGGAUACGAGGCAUUACCGAGAUUUUCAGAAUAAUUUCAAUUAAUUUAUAUUAUUUAGUAUUCAUUUUCAUGUUUCAUGUAACAUCCUUUUCAUAUAUUCAAUUCAAAAUAUCAUAUAAAAUAUGAUACAAUACUUAAAUUUUCAUAUUUACAUGCUCAUUCAGGAUAUACGAACCUACCUGACUAAAUUACAGAAAUACCAAGAUUUAGGGGCAUAUUGGUAAUUUACCAUUUUUCCAAAUUUCACCCAAUCUUAAUUUGAUAAUUUCAUUCAAUUCAUUAAUUUAGAUAAUAAAACAAUUCAUUCCCUUCAAUUUAGUCAUUUUUUAUAUUUUUACAAAAUUACCCCUAAAGUUUUACUUUUAUUCAAUUUAGUCCAUGAGCUUAAAACAUGCAAAUUAGCCAUGCUAACUGAAUAUUCAUAUAUAUUUUCCUCCUCCUCCUCUCCAUUCCACAUCCUUAAUGUAUAUAACACACUUGUAAGUAACAUUAUCUAUAAUUUUUAUUAUUUACUUUUAUGGAUAUUCAAGCUGUUCAUCUGUGUCAUAGCCACUAAAUUAUUUAUAUCUGGAGCUAUAAAACUCAAAAUUAAGAUCUGCUAAUUUUUCCUGAAACUAGACUCAUAUAUCUUCUUACCAUAAAAUUUUAAGAAUUUUUGGUUUAGCCAAUAAGUACAGUUUAUUCUUUAAAGUUACCCCUGUUCUGCUGUCUGACAGUUUCGACCCUUCUUCACUAAAAAUUAAUUAUCUCAUAGUACAAAACUCAGAUAAUAUUCCCGUUAAUUUCUCCUGAAAAUAGACUCAUUAGGGAUUCUAAAAAUAUAACUUUAAGCCUCUAAUUAUUUUUAUCCAAUUUUUGGUGAUUUUCCAAAGUCAGAACAAGAGAACCCAAAUUCAUUCUAACCUUGUCUCACAAAAUUCAUUAUAUCUUAUAAUUUACAAUUCAAUUGCUUAUACCGUUUCUUCUAUAAGGAACUAUACUCAAUAAGAUUUAAUUCCAUAUUUAAUUCAUCCUCUAAUUCAAUUUCUAUAAAUUUUGGUGAUUUUUCAAACUUAGACUACUGCUGCUUUCCAAAAUAGUCUUAGUGCAAAAUGUUGAUUUUCUACUUUUAAUUUCAAUUUAAUCUAACUAAAUUCACUUGCUUUUCUAUCUUAAUUCAUACUUUACUUCUACUCAAUUUUUAGCCAAAAUUAGACAUUAUUAUCUAUUUUUCAUCAUAAAGCCAUAAUUUCAAAAUUCUUUCAAUUUAGUCCUUAAAGCAUAAAACUUAUGAAUUACUUUACAAUUCAAUCCUUAUAUCAUUUCUAACUUGAAUUUCUAUCAAUUUAGCCCUUAAUUCAUCAUUUUAUUUAACAUGGAUAAUAUCUAAAAAUCUAAUAACUUUCAAAAUAUCAACUUAAUUUCAUCAAAACUUGGUUCUGAAACUUCUAAAACAUCAAAAUUAAAUAAAAAGGGCUUGAUUGACUUACCUAUUAAAGCUUAAAGCUUCAAACCUUAAUUUUCCCUUUUCCCCCUUUUUUUCUUUUCUUUCUUUCUUUUUCUCACCUGCUCUCUGUUUCGUUUCGUUCUGUUUCUUUUCUAUCCUCCUUUUUUUUUAUUCCAUUUGUUUUAUAUAUAUAAUAUAAUAACAAUAAAAAUAUACUAAAUAACCAAUAUUUAUUUAACAUUUGUAUCCAUUUAUAUCCUUACAUUUGCCUUUCUUUAAUCUAUUUAUUAUAUAAAUAUCUUUUACUUAAUACUAAUAUAUAAUUUAAUAAUACACUUAUAUGAUAAGUAAAUAUACAUGUAUUUUACAAUUGUAUGUAUAUUAAUAUUACACAUGUCACCAUAUCCAUAUACACCAUACAUUUGUCUUUUCUUAAUUUAUUUCAAAAUAUAAUAAUAUAAUUAAUUUAAUUUAUAAUAUAAUAAAAUAAUAACAUUAAUAAUAUAUUUAUAAUUUAAACAACAUAAAAAUCAAAGAUUUUUAUGUUUUGCCGCCUCAUUCUUUAGAAUAGGCUUAAUUCCCUAUUUAGUCCCCUUAUCUUCUUUAAUUCUGUAAUUAAACUUUUACACUUCAUUCAACUUAAUCCUUUUUCCUAAUCACUCUUAAUUAAGUCCUAAUCACUCUUAAUUAAGUUAAAUUCACUUAAUUAAACUCUAAUUAACCACUCAUUUUACUUCAUAAAUUCUUUUAAUAAAUAUUUAUGAAUCCAUUUUUCAUAAACAGAUAUCCGAAUUUGCACUUUUUCAGUAUUAGUAAAAUUCAGGUCAUUACAUAUUGUGUACAUUUCCUAGGAUUAUAUUUUAUCAUGCAUUCUUGCUAUUCUUUCAUACUACAUAUAUUAUUUAAGUUUUAUUUUAUUGUGUGUAUUUUAACAAAUAUUUUUAACACUUUGUAUAUUAUGUAUUUAAAAAAAAAAUUCAUUCUAUAACACGUUUUCUAAUAAUUGCAUGUAUAUAUCUAGUUUAUCUUUACAAAUGGUUUCUAAUUGAUCAAUUUACCAAUGCAUAUAUCAUGUUCAUCAUUAUUUUAAAAUUUGUCUUAUACCAUAGUCUUUUUAAUUAUCAUUUUAUGUCUUGUAUUGAUUAUAUCAUAUUAGGCUUUGUAUAUUAUUAUGGCAUACUAUCGUGUGUAUUGUUUUGUCUUGUUUUAUUGUAAUGUAUUGUUAUAUUAUUCAUUCAUUAUUUUGUAUUGUUAUAUUAGUAAUUCUCCGUGCAUUAUUGAAAUUGGGUUAUACUUUGAGAUUAAUCAUAUUUAAUUAUGUAUUUUGUUAGCCGAUUAAAUAAGAUAUAUUAGGGUUUUUUACCUCAAUAUUAUAAAAAAAAAUUAUACACCAAAAUAGGUUGUCAGCCAGAUUAAUAACGAAAAUGGUAUGUUUUUUUUAGGUCGUGCCUAUCUGACAGGCACAACCGAUUUUUUUAAUAUUAAUUUUUUUCGUUUAAAAAAUUAUUAUUAUAUAUAUUUUAUUUUUCGGGUUAGUAAACAACCCGUGUAUAUGAAAGCAUACAUACAUGUUGUGCCUUCUUGGUAGGCACAACUGGUGGGGCCCACAUGCUUAAUUUUUCCUUAUAUAUUCCCCCGAAAAUCAGAUGAAGAACAUACAGAAAAUUUAGCAGCAAAAUAGAAGUAAGAAGAGAGUGAGAAGAAGGAAAGAAAGGAAAGCAAGAAGAAGGAUAAGGUAUUUUAAUUUAUUUAUUUUUAAAUAGAAUGUAGAAUUUUGUUAGAAAUUUUAUUAUUUAAAAGUUUGUUAAAUUAAUAAUUUUGUUAGCUUCUGAAUGAAAAAUUUUGCAUUAAAAAUUUUAUGUAACUUUUUUUCUAUUCGAAACUAUUUUGAGAAUUUUGAAUUUUUUUUAACAGAUCUAGUAUUGAAUAUGGAGAAUCAGUUUUUCGUAUGCGUUUAUUUUGAUGGAGAAAUUUUGACAACAAGCGUAGGAUGUAUAUUUGAAUGUCGCAAACAAGUAGCAAUGAGAUUCAAUAGAAAUAUCUCUUUUGAUGAUAUGAAGGAAAAAAUUAGUGAAAAAAUUUAUAAACAUUGUGGGAGAAGGAUCUCGAAACUUUUCUACAAUUUCUCAGUUUCGACGGAUCCCAUAAAAUUCACCGAAAUGGAACUUGUAGACGAUGAAGACGUGGAGACAAUGGUCGCUCUUUAUUGUGGGACUUGGAGCAACCAAAAUGCACCGAUUCAGUUAUUUGCUGAGUUAGCUGAUGUGGAGGAAACUGAAGAUGCCACUCCAUUAGGUGAAGAAAAUGGAGUUCAAGAACCGUGUAUGGUGGUUCCGGUAUCAUACGUUGGUAGUCAAUCAACUAUUCAUGGGAUCGACAUUGAUCUUAAUGCUGCACCCGAGACUGUUGUGGUUGGUGAUGAUGUAUACCAUAGUAGUAAUCAUUCUGAUCAUGAAGUCGAUAGUGAAAGUGAUCCCGACGUGGAUGAGGUCCCGGAUUAUAUUGAUGAUAAAGGCGUGAAUGAGGAAGUAAAUGUUAAUGCUUCUUCAGUCGGGAACCAGAUUCGUCGUAUUGUGAUACAUAAUAAUCUUGGGGUACACAUGUCUCGAAUAGACCCUGAUGCGGCGCAUGUAGCCGAGUUCCCAGAGUACCCUAAAAUACAAUCUGCUCAUCGGAUGGCCGUAUAUUCUGAUCCUGAGGAGUUGUUCGUGGGCCAGAGAUUCGAAAAUAAAGAAGAGUGCGUAUUUUCCAUUAAACGGUAUAGUAUGAAUAUAUCAGUAGACUAUAAAGUCGUUGUGUCUAAACCGACAUUAUAUAUUAGAAAGUGUUGGAAGUCAGCGGAAGGCUGCAAUUGGCAGAUACGAGCUGCAUUUAUCCAAAAGUAACAGGUGUGAGAGAUACGAAAAUUUGUUGGGCCUCACACAUGCACUUCAUCACGUAUGACAGAAUAUCAUCGAAAACUUGAUUCCAAAACUAUCUGUACGUGCAUCAUGCCAAUGGUUGAAGACAUGCCGACCAUUAAGGUUUCGGUACUGAUUGCCGAAAUACAGGCACGAUUCCAGUAUCGAGUGUCAUACCGGAAGGUAUGGAUAGCUAAACAAAUGGCAAUGGAGCAAUUGUACGGAGAUUUCGAUGCAUCAUAUAAUGAGUUGCAGGGAUGGAUUACCGCUAUGAGGGAGUACGUACCAAGGACUGCUAUUGAGUUGCAGACACGACCUUAUUAUGGCCCGGAUGAGUAACUACAACCGAGAAAAAGAAUUUUCCAACGGAUGUUCUGGAUGUUUGAUCCAUGUGUACGUGCAUUUCCCCACUGCAAGCCAUUUGUGCAAGUAGAUGGGAUAUGGCUAUACGGUAAAUAUACACAGAUUUUACUUCUUACGAUUGCUCAGGACGAGAACAAUAACGUGCUCCCGAUUGCGUUUGCCAUCGUAGAUAAAGAGAAUAUGGAGUCAUGGGAAUUCUUCUUUACAAACCUGCGAAGGUAUGUUGUUAGUAAUGAUAGUAUUUGCAUCAUCUCCGAUAGAGGAAAAUGAUUAAUUGCUGCCAUUAGGCGUUCUGGUGUGCCAUGGAGAUCUGUUUACUGCAUACGGCACAUUGCGUCUAACUUUCAUCGAGAUUAUAAGAAUGCAGACUGGAAGAGACAAGUUGUGAAAAUGGGUAAAGAAUAACCUUAUCCUUUUAAUAUAUAACCUAAUGUUUUGUGAUGAGACUGUAACUUAUAUUUUCUUAAUACAUACACAGCAUACGAGCUUGAGCCACACAUUUUCCGGUAAAGGAUGACUCGACUUGAGAAUGACAUGGAAGGUCAAAUGAACACAUCUUUCCGACAAUGGUUGGGUACCAUGGAGCCGUGGCAAUAGGCUCAAAGUUUUGACGAGGGCUUUCGUUACGGUCAAAUGACCACAAACUUGGUGGAGGGCAUCAACACUGUGUUAUUGAAAACACGACAUCUUCCGAUCUCAUCUGUCUUCUCGGCUACAUUCUACAGGUUGGCUACCUUGAUGCCAAGAAUGGGUCAGCAACAAGUCAACCAGAUAAAGGCAGACACGUGUUUGUCGAAUAUGUCAGGGAUGCAAUGGUUGCAAACCGUCGGAUGGCGAGGUCGAUGAAUGUAGAAGUAUAUUCACGACGUAAUGAAACGUUUCGUAUUACAGAGACCAUCAGUCGUCGACCCGGUAUACCACCUAGGUCCUACGGAGUUGAUCUCUGAAAUAGACGGUGCGAUUGUAGGAGGUUCCAGACACUUCAUUAUCCUUGUGCACAUGUUGUAGCAGCUUGUGCUAAAGUCUCACUCAAUGUAGAUCAAUUUAUCGAUGAAGUGUAUACCCUCGAACGCACGUUGCGUGUAUGGGAGAAUGAGUUUCUCGUACUUCCUGACCUAUCUACUUGGGAGGUUCCUCCGACGACAUUUGAGCUUGUCCCAGACAAAGGGUUGCGUAGGAACCCAAAAGGUUGUCCGCAAUCAUCUAGAAUCCAUAACGAAAUGGACAUUAGAGAGAAAUCCGAUGGGAAGUUGUUUGGAGUUUGCAGAUUACCAGGUCAUAAUCGGAAUAAAUGCCCGUUCCGAAACUACCAUAUUGGACAAUCGUCGUGAUCAGAUAAAAAUUAAGAUUUUGUGUAAUAACCCGAAAUUCACGGGCACCGAAAAAGUGAGUUAUAGGGCCUCCGUCUUAGUGAAAUAAGUUCAAAAAUAAUUAUUAAAAAUAUUUAUAAGCCUAGUGGUGUGUCUAAUUAGGAUCUAAUUAGUUGAAUUUAGCUUAAUUUAAAGUAAGUAAUAAAAAGGAUUAAAUUGAAUAAAGGGUAAAAGUUUAAUUAUAAAGCAAUAGAAAAUAAAAAGGAUUAAAAUGGCAAUUAAGCCAUUGACUACAAAUGAGGCGGCAUAUUGGUGAAAUAAAAUCAAAGAUUUUUUUAGGUUUUAUAUAUUAUUAUGGUUUUAUAUAAAAUUAUUAUAAUUAUUAAUUAACAUUAUGGUUUUAUAUUAGAUUAUUAUUAUUAGCAUUAUUAUUAAAUAAAUUAAAUAGUAGAUAAUUGUAUGGUAAUAAAAAUAUACAUGUGUAAAAAUUAUAUUGGUACAUUUGUAAUUUAAAUACUUAAUUACUUAUAAUUUAAGUAAAAAGAUAUUUGUUAAUUAAAUAAUUAAAUUAUUAAAUUAUGAGAUUUUUGUUUGAGAAACAAAUUAAAUAAUGAUAAAUGUAAUAAAAUUAUUGGUACAAAUGUAGAAUUAAAUAUGUGUACAAUUGUAAAAUAUGUAAAUGAUGUUAAAAUAGAUAUUUAAAAUAAUUAUAUUAUAAUAUAUGCUAAUUAAAUAAGUAAAACAAAUAAAUAUAAAAGAGAAAUAAAGAAACAAAAGGGAAUAGAAACAAAAUUGAAAACGGGAAGCAGGGGAGAAAAAGAGAAAGAAAAAGGGAAAGAAAAAUAAAAGAGAAAACUAAGGAUUUGAAGCUUGGAGUUAAUUUGGUAAGUCAAUUAAGUCUUUUUUAGUUAAUUUUGAUGUUUUAGAAGCUUUGAAACAAGAUUUUGAUGAAAUUAAGUUGAUAGUUCAAGAGUUCAUAUGUUUCCAAAUAUGGUUCAUGUUGGAUAAAUUAUGGAAUUAGGGAUUUAAUUGAAUGAAUUCUAAGUUAGAAUUGAUUAAGGGAUUAAAUUGUAAACUAGGCUAUAAGUUUUAUGUUGAAGGGACUAAAUUGAAGAAAUUUCGAAAUUAGGGAAAUAUGCUGGAAAUUUUAUAGUUAAAUAUAAGUUUAGACAAAAUUUGAAUAGAAAAAGAGAGUGAAUUGGAUUAAGAAAAUAAUUAAGUUUAGUUAGGAUUAAAUUGGGAAUAAGGUAGGAAUUGUUUAGAAAUUUAAUUAUUUAUUAUAAUUAAUGCUGUAAAUAAUAAUAUAAAUUACUAUUAUUUUCGUAGCCAGCAAAGAACCUGAAACGUCAGCAUCGAAAGGAAAGAAGAAAGUCAUCGAGGACUAAAACGGGAGAAUUACGGUGUGUAUUACUAUAAUUCAAAUUUUAAUUAUUAUUGAUUGCUGAAAUUUUAAUUGUUAUGUAUGGUAAGUAAGACUUGAGGUAAGUAUGUGAUUAUUUGAAAAGUGUAUUGAUUGAAAAAUAAAUAAAUGGUGACAAUUGUAUGGUGUUGAUGGUAUACACUUGUGUGAAAAUUAAUUUGUAUAUGAAUUAAGAUAAUAGAUAUUUGAAUUGAAUGAGUAUUGAAAAUUUUUGUGUAAAUGAAAUUGAAAUUAGAAAAAAAUAAAAUAAUACCCAAUUAACUUGUCGGACUAGAUUUGGUACAAAUGGCAUGCCAUUGGAUUUGUGAUGUGAUGAGGAGAUUGUAGUUCGGCCGAGAAGAUGUUUCUGUUAUUAUAUACUUCGAUUUAUCCGAAGAGGCACUUAAUGCCUUACUGGUGUGUUAUGGAGGAUUUAAAAUAUUUUGGGUGUGUUUGGGUUGGACAUUCUGGUGUGUUUGGGUGGAAAUCCGCGUAUCUAUCAUAGUCCGAGCUUUGUUAAUAGGGUAAAUAAUUGAAAUGAAAUUUUGAAAAUGAGAUUAUUUGUUUUAGCACUAUUGAAAAGUACAAGAAAGAAUGUAUGAACUAAAUUAUGAAUUGAGUUAGUAUGGGAAAAAUGAAUUAUGAAUUUAAGAUUUAUGAAGUAAAAUAAUUAUAUAUAAAAGUAGUUUAAAUAAUUAUAAAAUUUAUGGUUGAUGUUUGUAAUUUAUUAAUGUUAAAUAGUCUUGAUUUAUAGUAAUACCACUGAGUAUAUCCAUACUCAACGUACGGUUGUUUCCGUGCACAGGUUAGUAGAAGUCAAGUGUUCCGGCUCAGCAUCCAGAACAAUCCCGACUCCAACACAAAUUUGGUGAUGUAUAUUUUUCUUUUGGGUAAAGGUGGCAUGUACAUAGGUGUUAUUUAGUCACUUGAAUAUGUAUAUUACUUUGGGUAGUGAAGGAUGAAUUAUAAAAUUUAGAUGGUUAAAUGAAAUGGUAAGGAAAGUACAUGAUAUUUUGAUACAUGAACAUUAAGUUGUUAAAUGAAUGAAGUUUAUAAUCAAUUUUGAAUGAUGCUAUGAUAGUUAUUAAGUUAAAAUUUUGUUAAUGAUAUAAAUAUUAGUUAUAUGAAUGUGAAACAUUGGUGUUGGUGAUUUUGGUUUGAAUUUGCAGGAGGUUUAGGUAAAAAUAAGCAGAAAUGCUGCCGAAAUUUUUUUAUAAAAAAAUAAAAAAAUUUGGAAUACUCGAACAAGUCCUGUUCUACUUUUAAUACGUGUUUGAACUUCGAGAGUCCAAGAUAGGGACUUAAUUAUUAUAUUAUACUAUGAAAGUUAUAUUAAUUGUAAAUUAUUCGUAAGUUGUCUGAUAUGUCCGGUAAUGCCUCAUAACCUCAUUUCGGCGACUGUUUGGGGUUAGGGGGUGUUACAUUUUGUUAAUUACAUGUUGGAAGAAAAAGUCCCGCCGAGUAGUAUUAAAUGGAUUUUUUAAGCAUUUUAAAAUUGAUUGUUUUUAAUACUCCUCUUUUUUUGCAAUUAUGUACUUCAACCCAAACAAAUCCAAAAUUCACCUUCGAAGCACACAAUUUACAUACUUACUCCGGGUGAAGCAUGACUAUUUGUGUUCAUACAUACUUAACUCGGAUUUAUUAUGUAUUUCAUUUACUAUUAUAAUAACGUUCUUCAACCGGGGGAAUGAUAACUAUCCUUUGUAAUUAAAUGAUAAAAACUCAUUACAUAAAUAGUCAUUACAUAAUUUACCAAAAAUAAAUUAAAUUUAUAAAUAAAAUGCCAAAAAAUUUAUUACAUAAAAAAUGAAGUUAUUUAUAUUACAAAACCCCUUAAAAUUGAUGGUUUGAUGGUGUGGUUCUAGGGGUAUAUUUUUGUGGAGCCCGACGUUCACGUUGCGGACGACUACGACGAUCAACGUUCUCUUCAUCUGUAUGUGGGGGUGUGUGAAACAUAGACGAAAAAUCAUAUGUCUCAAACGCCAUCGAUGAACUUGAGCCGAGAGGAGUAGAAUAUGGAGGUGAAUAUAGGCCGGGAGGAGUAGAGUACGGCGGUGGAUACGGCUCUGGAGGAGUUGAGUACAUAGGUGGAUACGGGCCGGAAGGAGUAGAGUACUGAGAUAAAUAUGAACCGGGAUGACUGGAGUACUGAGGUGGUAGUGGGCUGAAGAUAUCAAACUCUGAAUGAUAUCCGUGGCCUGAGGAGCCCGAGAAAUAGUCAUCGCCCCCUAAAUCUAGAUGAUAAGAACUACCUCCAGAGUGUAGUUCCGGCUCUGGCUCCUGCUGUGGCUCCGACUCUGGUGCAUGAUUCGGAUCUGGAAGAUGUUGCGCAAUUCAUGUCGUAUGUGGGGGGACUACCAUCGACUGCCCACCAAACAAAAAUGGUUUCCCUAUCUCACAGUACCACUGUAGGUACUGUAACGAAGGCUGAAGAUCCAAGCCAUGAUCCAUCUGAGGUGCCCUCUCAAACAGGUUGUUCCACAUCGUAACAUAUUCUUCAUGUUCAUCUCCCCAAUCAAGCCCAUGCCUCCCCCUCUUGGUCAUCCCAUGGAUAUCCCCCAAUCGUACUGGUGGACUCGGGAUAUAUUGAAUGCAACUGAACUGCCGAAGUACUCGAUCGCCAUGAUACCAUUCCACUAUCUGAAAAUUAAUAAUGGGUGUGCUAAUGCACCAUAAGUUUGAGUGGACACGGGCAGACGAGGGAAUAACUGCCAUAAUUUCUAGAAUAGAAUACGACAUCCAAAUGAACUGCACAAUUAACCACAUUUUUUGUAUUAAUGUAGGUCGAGUGAAAUAAAAUAAUAAAAUAAAAUUGAUAUUGAAAAAACUUACCCCCUCUCCAGAAUGAUUCUCGAUCAUCAGGUGGUAUAUCGGAACCGUGUAUGACCUUCCGAUACCCGGAUUUGUGCUCCAUCUAAGAAAAAAAUUGUUAGAACAACAUAAUCCGAAAAAAAAGUCAACUAAUUGUUACAAUGCAUAAAAAUUCAUCACCUAUUAACGAGUGGAAAUUUAUAUGAUUGGUGACUAAUUGAUGCCAAGAAUGGCAUCCGGUAAAGUGCCCACGACUGCAGCAGUAUGAGGCAUCCGCCUAUNNNNNNNNNNNNNNNNNNNNNNNNNNNNNNNNNNNNNNNNNNNNNNNNNNNNNNNNNNNNNNNNNNNNNNNNNNNNNNNNNNNNNNNNNNNNNNNNNNNNNNNNNNNNNNNNNNNNNNNNNNNNNNNNNNNNNNNNNNNNNNNNNNNNNNNNNNNNNNNNNNNNNNNNNNNNNNNNNNNNNNNNNNNNNNNNNNNNNNNNNNNNNNNNNNNNNNNNNNNNNNNNNNNNNNNNNNNNNNNNNNNNNNNNNNNNNNNNNNNNNNNNNNNNNNNNNNNNNNNNNNNNNNNNNNNNNNNNNNNNNNNNNNNNNNNNNNNNNNNNNNNNNNNNNNNNNNNNNNNNNNNNNNNNNNNNNNNNNNNNNNNNNNNNNNNNNNNNNNNNNNNNNNNNNNNNNNNNNNNNNNNNNNNNNNNNNNNNNNNNNNNNNNNNNNNNNNNNNNNNNNNNNNNNNNNNNNNNNNNNNNNNNNNNNNNNNNNNNNNNNNNNNNNNNNNNNNNNNNNNUCGCCCUUUGUCAGCCCCAGCAACCCCACCGCCAAAUUCCUCGAAGGUAAGGACUGCUCUCUCGGUAUAAUUCGUGUUAGAAUUCAAAACCAAGAACUCAAGUUGUAGUUUGCUGUAAUCUUGAAGAGAGAUAAUAUUGAGAAGCAGCGAAUUAGCUAUUAUUGGGGCCAUCUUCAGUUACAGGUUCUUGUUUUUAUACCCUAUCAGCAUUUCUAAAACCUUUGAAUUUGGGUUCUUAAAAUGGCUAACAAAUUAGUGAAUAGUGAUACAGUGGCAAGCGGCCAGAUUAUCUGGGAGUUCAGAAAAAUACGCCAGCUCUGGCUCUUUGCCCUUCUACCAAGAACGGUAUUUCAACAUCUGAGAACGUCAGCGAUAUCACCCACUACACUCCUCCUUGGUAAAGCUCUCUCCAUUGCCCCCCCUUAUUUUGGUCGAUUAACCGUAAACGCAUGAAAAAUGUGAGUAGAUUUUUUUUUUUGAUAUACAUUGAUUUUUGUUAUCUGAACAGGAACUAUAAUGGUGGGCGUACUAGGAAAAAGCCUGUGAGUCGAGAAUGGCAAUGGAAGAACUUCUCCAAUGGGUAAAUUUUCAACUGAUUAUAAAAAUAUAUACAUAUAUAUACUCUGUAUUUUAGUGACUUAGUCUAUGGCUACCGCAUAUUGUAGAUAAAAUCAACAAAACCAGACAAAUAUACUCCCAAAAUUGUGGAGAAGAAAGACGAUUAUGUGCUGGUGGAAUACGAAAGUCCCAUAAUAGGGGUAAAAUUCAACGUCUUUUUCUUCUUCUUCUUCAAUACCAAACAUAACGCACACGAGACGACUUGCAAAAUGGGUUUUAACUGAAGAUUCAUGUAUUUGUUGUUAACCAGAUUGUGGAUGAUGUGGAGUUCUGGUUUCCACCGGGGAAGAAAUCAAUGGUGGAGUAUCGAUCAGCAUCAGGGAUUGGAAACUUUGAUUUUGAUGUCAACAGAAAAAGAAUCAAGUUAAAGUUGUUAAUCUCUUAAAUCUUUUACCAAGUUUUUAGUCGUCAAACAAACUAAAUGCUACCAUUGUUUUCCUUACAGGCAUUGCGAAUGGAGUUGGAAAAGAAAGGAUGGGCUUCUGAACCAUCAUUUUGAAGGAUAACUAAUCAGAAGAAACCAACAUCGUACUGUUUGAUUUAUGUUUCACAGAUACCGUAUUCCCAGCAUCCUCAAUUCUUAAAAUUAUAUUUUUCACCCAUACUUUUUCGGGGUCAAUUGCACUAGAUAUCCCAUGUAACACUCUCUACCCGUAUUCAUUGUUGGAAUAGGGUACAAGGUAUUAUCGGAGUUUACGAAUUAAUUUUUUUUAACUCAAUAUAAUUCCUUUAUAGAUAUCGAACAUUCGCUGUAAUUUUAAACUUAGACCAAUCUAUAUCAAUCAAUCCAAUUCAACAUAUUUUCAAGAUAGAUUCGUGCAUAUUUAUAAGAUAAUCUCAUCACAUACCAAAACCAAGAUUUGUUAGCCAUACUAAUGGAUGACCUUACAAUUAUUUCACAUUAACAUUUACUUUAUUAACUUAUACAUACCAUUGAUUUCCAAAAUAAAGUUUCUUUAUAUACCGAAAUCUUGAGGUUGAUAGUGUGAUGUGUCUCCGACAGAAUCUGACCUCUAAGCUCUUAACACUAUAAAAACAGGGGAAAAGGAAAAAGGAUAAGCACAUUGUGCUUAGUAAGCUCAUGUAACAAUAAUUAUACUUACCUAAUAUUUCAAUACAAUGCAAUAAACAUUCAAAUACCAUUCAAUGCAUUAUUACCCUAACAUGCACAAACUCAACAUUCAAGUAAGUACAAUAAUUUUCAUGUAUCAAUAAUAUAUACCAUGAUUGAUGAGCUCAUCAAUACCAUGAUUUCCAUUCCUUUGUUAUUUUUCCAUAUUUAUCCCGUUGCAUUUCUCGAAAUUUCGAUGGAUUUUCACAGGUACACUUUUAGUGUAAAAUUUUGGGUCUAUCAAUUCAUAUUAAUGUACGUACAUUUCCAUUUUAAAGAGCACACUCCCGCGAACCUCAUUCUUACAGCGGGAUUACCAGUCGAAGCUAAAUCCCCUAUAAUAUAAACUUAUAAAGUAUUGUUGGGAUUACAAGUCUAGGCUAAAUCCCCUACAACGAUAAUUACUCUAAUGAGCUUGGAUCUGAAUUACCAGUUUAGUCUAAAUUCAGACCCUAAUUUGGAUUACCCGUCCGGGAUAAAUCCAUUUUCCACAUAUUCUUCGGGAGGACUAUAUCAAGAUAGGAUCACCCGUCCGGGCUAGAUCCUUUUUACCGUCAAUUUCUUUUCAAAGAUCCAUCAAAUUUUCCUUUCAUUCAACCGGGAUUUAUUCCCCUUUUAUCAAAUAUAUCAAUGUUUCAUCAAUUUUUAUAUAAUGAACAUUCAAAUCAUAUUCACAUCAAUAACAUAUAUUUCAAGCAUUUAAGAAUAUAAUUCAAGUUACACGAACUUACCUCGAUACUUGUUCGUAUACAAAAAUUUACUAAUCCCAAUCUUUUUCUUUUCCUCAAUCUAGUUUCGUAUUUGAAUUUUCUGAAUUUGGUGCAAAAAUUAUGAAAUACCAGUUUGAAUAAACCUUUAGGACAUUUUUGGCUGAUGAUAAUGAAGAAAAUAUGAAGAGAAUUCUAGAUAUUCCAAAUUGGUCCCAUUUUUAUUUUAGUAAAUUUUGUUAUUUUUCCCAUUUUGCCCUUAUUUCACCAAUUCUCCUGAUUUUUCUCAACUUAUGCAGCCCAAAAUAUCUCCUUUUGGGCUUAUUUGCAAUUUAUGUCCCUCCUCAUUUAACAAUUGAGCUAUUUAAUCCUUUUAGUAACUUUUACAUCAUUUUCAAUUUAGUCCUUUUUACUUAAUUAACUACCCAAACGUAAAAAUUUUCUAACGAAAUUUUAAUACCAUAUUACUAACAUUUUAUAAAUAUUUAUAAAAAUAUUUUUGACUUAUUUUUACGAUAUUGAGGUCUCGAUACCUUGUUUUUACCCAAUUUCUUCAAUAAUUUCUUUUUCUAACUAACCACUAAAUUGGUAAAUUUUUUCUAUCGAUAUUUUCAUACGAUUUUCCUAUCAUAUCAAUAUUUAUGCAAAAAUAUUAAAGUAAAUUUCUCUUUAAAUCGAAUUUUUGGUUACGAAACCACUGUUCUGAUAACCUUGAAUUUAGGCCAUUACAUCCCAAAUUACGGCAAAAAGUUUUAAGUUGACAUGUUUUGAAUUCAUCAGGUCAAAUUUUAAACAUAUAUACCCUAAAUAACUUAGAUCGGACUUGAAAAAGAAAAACAAUACAAUGGGCAACAAUGUGUUUAAAUUUUGAUUAACUUGUUUUAAAUAUGCUUCUUGUUUGAUUCGAGCUAAUAUUCAACAUUCAAGUUGACGGAAAUACUAAUAGAAGUAUUUGAUCGAUUUUAAUACUUUGAAAACUUAAUUAUAACAAUUUAAAGUAAAAGAGUGAAUUUAAAUUUAGAUAAUAAUUUGAGGAUGUUUGAUGUAAUUAAGUAAUUAACAUUAAUUUUUUUAUCUGGACUAUAAUACUAAAGUGGGCUUAGAGGUGCUCAUGGGUCGUGUCGAAACCAUUUUUAAUUUGAAAACAAAAUGGGGAUUGGCUAUAAAAACGAAAAUGUGGAGCCGCCACCAAUCUUUUUUGUUUAGGUGUGAUUGGAUCACCUAAGAGUUCGGUUAUUUUAAUAAAAUAUUUCUUUUUACUAAAACAACGAUUUUGGCCUACGUAAAUAUGAGAAAAUGGGUUCGGGAGUCGGUUGCGUAUGAGGAAGGAUUAGCGCCCUCAUUACGCCCAAAAUUGGUACCAAAUCGAUUAAAUAUUGUCCUUAUAUCUAAAAAAAUGUUUUUUGAAAUGUGGUUCCUUUUAUAAACAUUUGAAUAGCCCAAGUUGGUCGUCAAAAUUCUCUUGUUUCAAAGGAAUACAGCAUCACAUCCAGCACGAUAGGACACGAUCCUUUAUACCCUCGAAAACACUAUAAAUUUCGACUCCCAAAAGUUUAUAUGUUGAAAACCGCAAAAGGAUGCCCAAUUAUUUAGUCCAACGAAAAAAAUCGAAACCUAACACAGUAGGGCACGAUUCCUCGAAUUUCUAGACAUUGGACAUUGCCUUAUUUUAGAAUUUAGAGAACAUGAGUGAAAUUCUAAACGAAUAUUCGAUUAUUUUGAACAAACAGGAAAUCGCAACCUAGCACAAUAGGGCACGAUUGCCCGAAUUGCCAAACAUCGAGUAUUACCUUCGUUUUGAAGAGUCUUUAAAGACAUGAGUGAAAUUCCAAAGGAAUAUUCGAUUGUUUUGAACAAACGGGAAAUCGCAACCCAGCACGAUAGGGCACGAUUCUCGAAUUGCCAAACAUCGAGUAUUGCCUUCGUUUUAAAGAAUUUUUAAAUGAAUAAUUAUAAAAAUAACUUAAAACGCGUUAAUGCAACUUGAAAUAAAACGAAAUUAAUCUUAAAAAUUUGGGCCUUAUAAAACCAAAUUUCAUAAACCAAGUGGACAACAAUGAUAUGGGAUAAGAUGCUCACAUAUGAGAUACAAUCAAUUAACAAACUAAUAAUUAAGUAUAACUAACCUAAAAAAAUAUAACCCAAUUACGAUCAUGCAUGGGAAAUAAUUGAUAUAAUAAUACAAUGACGAAAAUAAUAAUAUAACAAUUCAACACAACCAAAACAACACACACAAUAAUAUGCCACAAUAAUAUACAUAGCAUGAUAUAAAAUAACCAAUGCAAGAUGUAAAAAAAAAAAACAAAGUAGCAAUUAGAAGCCAAUGUGGUACAAAACAACUUUAAAAUAAUAACGAAUGAACGAACACAUAAUACACGUAAUACAUGAAUUGAUGAAUUUAAAAUAACCUAUAAAAACAAACUAGAGAUAUAUACAUAAUUAUUAAAAUACGUGUUAUAAAAUAAAUAUUUUAAAAUCGAAUAAUGUACAAGGUGUCAAAACAUUUUACAAGGUAAAUACAACAAAGGAGAAUUUAAUAAUAUAAAUAUGAAUGGGUAGCCAAGAUGCAUGAUAAAAUAGAAUUUUAGAAAAUAUACUAUAUACACAAUGGAUUAAAAGCAUACACACAUAUAUAUAUAUAUAUACUCUUAAAAAAAAAUUACAUGUAAAAAAAAAAACAUAGACAUGAUAAUAUGCAUAGAAUUAAAUUAAUUUUAUUAUAAAUUAUAAUAGACUUAAGAACAUGCUUAUAUAUAUAAGACUAUAUGUAUAAAAUGCAUAGAUUUAGAAAUGUGUAUAGAUUAAACAUAGGCAUCAAUGUAUAUAUAUAUACUUACAAUAAUAAUGAUUUAAAACAUAUAUUAUAUAGGAUCGUGUAAUAAAGUAUAAGAAUAAAUUUAAAAGGAAUUAUAUGUAUAAAAUAACAUGAUAUUAAUAGUAUGCAUGAAAUAAAAUUAACUUUUUUAUAAAGUAUGUACAUAUAUAUAUAAUAGUGUAUAUAUAAAAAACAUAAAAAAAGCAUAUAAAGUGUGAAAAUACGAUUACCAAAAUUAUAGUAAAUAAGUAAGUGAUACAAAUGAUACGAUUAACACAAAUGAACAAACACGAAUAAAAUAAAAAUAACAUGAAAUGAAUCUAAAAAGAAAACUUAAUUGAAAUCACAUUAAAAUAAAUAGGAUAAUUUACAAAUAAAUAAAACUAUAAAACAGACUUAAGGAUUAAAGCUUGAUACGCACAAAUAUCCGAGGACUAAAGAGGAAAUUGUCCCCAAAUUCUAAAGCGCAGCGUUUAACUGUUGGUUAAAUUAAAACUAUGUUCAAAUCUUAGGAACAAAUUAAAAAAACGAAAAAGAGUAAAGGGAUUCAAUUGAAUAAUAGCGCGAACAGAAAGGACCUAGCGUGCAAUUAUCCCUCCCCGCCAAAGAUACGCAGAUCCUAUGGCAAAGAUUCGGAGCGGGUCGGGUUAAUCAAUACGACGUCGUUUUGAGCCUGAAUAGUCCUUUAUAAAGGCCCAAAAUCAAGCCAUUCGGCCGACCCUAGCCUCAUUCCCUCUUUACCAGCAAACCCUAGCCCUCUUUUAACCCCAUCAUUGAUCCACCACCAAGAACGGCUACCGCUGGUUUUGGGGCUCCGACUAAUCGAUUUUCAGCCUGAAAAUCCCUUCUUGACUUCAAUUUGAACAAAGCAAAAGAGGAUCAGCGGCCUAUUCACAAGGUAAGAUCGCUAUUUUAUUUCGUUAUACUAAAAAAACAAAACGAAAAGAAAAAAAAUGAAACAGAUUCGAAGAACAAAAAUAUAAGGUGCUUGAAAUCAUCUUUCAAUAAUUUUUUAUUGCUCUUCUAUUCUCUAUGCAUAUGUGUGUAAAAAAAAUACAAUCGAUUCCCCCUGGCUUUAUAGCCGAAUGUUCAAAAUAAAAAAAAUACAAUUUUUCUUUAUUUGCUUUCGUAUUGGCUAUUGUUGCUGCUAUUGUUUGUCUGUUUCUUUGCAGGUACGGAGGCCCGUUGGCGCGGUGGUACGUGGCGCUUGACGUGGGGCGUGACUGGUGGAGCGCUGGAGGGUACGGAGCCAGGCUUUGGGCGCAUGGAGGCCGUACAUAGGGCGUUGGCUGCGGCGCACCUAAGAAACCUAGGGUUUCUGAAACUGUUUUAACCUUUGGGCCUCUGUGCCGUGUAAUCUUAGGCUAGGAUAUUAAUUUGGGUAUUGGGUUAGUGAUUGGGUCAAAGUCUGUAAAUGGACAUUUAAUGGACUAUUAAGAUUUAGAUUUUUUUUUACUUAUUUGGGCUUUAAUGUAGACCCGGGCAAAUUGGCCCGUUUACAGGUCUGAUUGAGUUGGACUUAAGUAUAAUGUUAAUAUAUUUUAUGCUUGCCUAAGGCCGGGUCGGUCUAAAAUAUGGGCUUAAAAAUUUGUCCAAACCCGCCCAUAUUUGUAAAAGACUAACCCAAAUCAUUUUAGGUAUGCUCAUAUUAUUUUUAAGAUUUUAAAAAAUAUAUUUAUAUUAUAUUAUUUUAUUGAAUUUUUUUAUAUAGUCAUCUUAAUAUUAUUUUAAUAUUUACAUUAGAGUAGUAAUAUAUAUUUAGUAUAGGCUUAUUUUUUUAAUGUGUUUUAAAUUACAUAAUAUAUAAAAAUAACAUAAUAUAAAGUAUUACAAACUUAAAAUCGGGUCGAGCUCAGGCUUUAAAUGUUCAAGCUCAUAUUUUAAAUAAAUCUAUUUUUUGAGUCUAAUAUUUUUAUUCAAAUAUUUCUAGAUUUUGAACGAGCCUUUAUGCCUGAGUAGGUAACCUGAUCCAUAACCAAGUGUAAGUGGGCCUUAAACAAAAUUUGGGCUUGGAUGAAGGUUUCUAAAAUCAUAAUGGCUUUUAUGUAAUUUGAGAUAGAUAUGAAGAAUAUAUAAGCAGUUAGAAUAAGAAAAGUGGAAGAGAAAAUGUUUUUUAUUAGCUCUUAAUUCUCAACCAAUGCCAACAACCCGGUUUGGCGGCAUGGAAAUUGAUUCGGAAAUUAAAUUUAAAAAAUAUAUAAAAACAAGGUGAAAAGACAGAGGUUGAGAUUUUGAUAGGAGGGAAGAUGGCCAUCGCAAGUCUCUUGGGAUGGCUCGUGACCUUCUUCUUCCUCAUAUCUCUUCUCGCCAUUAUUUGUUAUCAGGUCAUUUUCUUUCUUUUUAAUAUAAUUUUAAUUUUGAUAACAAUCGUUUGAUAAUGGCAAAUUUUGCAGCUUAUGUGCUUUAUUGAUUUGGAAAUUGAUUACAUAAAUCAUUAUGAUUCGGCGGUACGGAUAAACAAGGUUGUGAUGCCGGAGUUCAUAAUCCAAGCCGUUUUCUGUUUGGUCUGUUUAAUUACGGGAUAUUAUUUUUUUUUCCCGUCUCUCCCAUAUUCAUACUAUAAUUUCAUAUUGUAAGUUUCUAAAAUCCUUCAAAAAUUAUCCUCAACUAUUUUUAUUUCUUUUUUUUUUUUUGAAAAAAAAGGGUUUUUGGAAUUGAAUGAACAGGUAUAGAAGGAGAAAACAUUUGGUUGAUGUAACAGAGAUAUUUAAUCAGCUCAAGUGGGAAAAGAAACAACGACUAAUCAAACUUGGCUAUCUUAUUAUCCUUUUAAUUGUUUUUAUAUUUUGGUAAUUAUGAUCUCACCAAAUUACAAAUAUUAUAUAUUUUUUCAUUACUCAUAAAAUUGGUUUAAAUAUGUUUCAGGUUGAUUUGGACAGUAGGAAAAGAUGAUGAUUAUUAAACAGGCUUUGGAUCAAAUAUUCUUCCAACCUUUGUUUUUCCAAUUUACCGUAAUAUUUUUUUAUUCACAAUUUGUACAAUGUAUGAGCAUUGGGUUAUUAUAAUACAAUGAGAUUUUUAUUUUUUUAUUUUUUCAACAACUUUGUGAUUAAUAUAUGAAUGCAACAACCAUACUUUACCUAAAUUAUGUAAAAACUAAUUUAUCAUUGACAUUAAAAUUACUCCGAAAAAGUAUUUUUAAUAAGUUUAAGAAUUUUUGUCGUCACUGUUAAAGAUUUUUUUUAGGUAACUUCAUUGGAAAAAUAACUUUUUUUUUGAACUUUUUUGUUUCACACUUGUGAACUUAUUCAAUAUAAAUUUCAUAAACUUUAUUAUAUAAUACCAUAAUGAUAGGGGGUGAAGAUUGUAAAGCCUCGACUUUUAGCUCUUAUAUAUAUACACACAUCUAACAUAUCAUUUAUCAAUCAACAUAACAUCAUAUAAAUACCAAACAACAUAGGCGCGCUCAUCACAAGAUAAACUUUUAUUUCAUUUUAUACAUCAUCACAUCCAUAUCAUGAACUCUUUUCAUACCUUUCCAAGUUUCAACUCAUCAUAAACACAUUCUUACUCAGACACAUUAGUGUCACUUUCAACACUUUCUGAAAUAACUCGCUUAAAAAGUAUUUCUGUCUAUAAGUAAAAUAAAAAUUUGAUCGGAUUAUACGCAUCACUCUAUCACAGAUUUAUAUGGCAUGUAUCUCUAAAGACUUUACAUUAUUUUCUUUUGAUCAUGAAUUUCAUUAUUUCUAUAAUUCUAUAGUUUCUUUUUGCACAUAUUUACCUAGUUUAUCAUUUAUAUCCAUUUUCUAUCCUUUCAUUUCACAUUUUAUUUUCAAUUCAAUUUUCACAUUUGCCUCUCAGAGCUUUUACCAACGGGAAUAGAAGAUAAUAUCAUAUGAAUCUUAUUAUCAAGUGUUUUAUCACAUAUAUUAGCUUGGAAAACCAAAGAAGGAUAGAGUAGUACCGCUUGUGAAUCAAUCAAACUUGCGAUAAUUUCUGUCUAUUAGCAUAUUUAUCUAACCUUUUAAUAUAUUUAUUAUAGCAUCCAAACAUUAACAAUUGCAUAUGCCUCUGAAAAUAUCAGUACAUAUAAAAUACCCACAUAAUAUCCCAAAAAUUUACUAUAAUAUACCCAAUUAUAACUGCUAUAUUCAAAUAUUUUUGCAAUUUAUUCACCAAUCUAUUGACUAGUAUAGUCAUCAACAAUUUCACAUCAUUCAGUUCACUCAAGAAAUUAAUUUGGAAGGAAUUUUCAGUCAACCAUUCUGUAAAUACCAUAUUUGAACAAAUCGAUUUUCCAAUAAAUAACUUCUUUAUUUAACAGUGGUACUGUAUAUCCCAGCUAGUUUUCAGAAAAAUUUGAUGUCUCUAUUCAGAACCCAUCUUUACCUAUUAACGCAUUCUCAGUUCCGACUGUAUUAUUAAUUGUUCAACCAUUGAACUUUUUUCACUUUCCGCUUCUAAAUUUAAUCAAUAUAAAUCUCAUGAAUUUCAUUGCAUAUAACUGUAUUAGUAAAGGGGUAUAGAUCGUAAAGCCUCAUAAUUUAAUUUUCAUGUAUUUACUCAUAUAACAUUUAUUAUUCUCAAGUAUUAUAAAACAUUUAUCCGUACUUUUACGAGUACUGCUUCUUCAUAACUAACAUUUUUACUCAGGGAUAAUCCUUUAUCUUGUAACGAAAAUUGUUUAAUUUUUUUAUUUAACAGAGGCCCAGUAGACUAGAUAGAACACUUCGGAUAUACAGGACUUAGACAGAGGUGCAUUAUUAUGCACUAAUGAACAGAGAGCACUGAAGUGCUAUAUAGAGAGCACAAAUGUGCUAAUCAGAGAGCACUGAUGUGCUAAAUAUUAGAGAGCACUGGCGUGCUAGUAAUCAGAGAGCACUGGCGUGCUAAAUAUCAGAGAGCACAAAUGUGCUAAUCAGAGAGCACUGGCGUGCUAAAUAUCAGAGAGCACAAAUGUGCUAAUCAAAGAGCACUGACGUGCUAAUAUUCAGAGAGCAUGCUGAAGUCCCUUAACAUCCUAGUAGUUCUAAUCUUGUCUACUUGGGCAAAUUAUUUCAUACAUGCAUAUUAGUUUUACACCUUUCGCAUAAUAUUUUUACAUGCUUUACAAUUUAAUCCUUGUACCAAUAAUUUAUAUGCUUAUAUCUUCUGUAUCUUCAAUACAUGUAAUAUAUUUCAAAAUUCACUAUUCAUUCAUAAUUCUCUAAUAAUCCUUAUCAUGUACUUCAUAUAUCACAUUUAUAUAUUUUGUAAUUUAGUCAUCAGCACAAUAUUUCAUAUAGUAAUAUAAUUUACUUUUAAUAAUACAUAUAACAUAAUAUUCAUCAUCGACAUGUAUUAUAAAACUUUUAUUCUUGCCCCCUUUUUUUUUUAUCGAUUCAUCAUAAUCAACUUUCUACUUGUAUACUUGAGUAUCGUUUUUAGCAUUAUCAUAAUUAACUUGGUUAUAAAACAUCUCUUUCUAUAAGUAAAACAAAUUUCAUUAGAGUCGAGAGAUAUCACACUAUCACAUAUUGUAAUGACAUGUGUUUUUAGACUUCACAUAUACUACGUUUGAUCCGAGAACCGACUAAACCGUAGCUCUGAUAUCAUUAAAUGUAAUACCCCAUACAAGUACCUGAGACCGGGAUAGGAUACGAGGCAUUACCGAGAUUUUCAGAAUAAUUUCAAUUAAUUUAUAUUAUUUAGUAUUCAUUUUCAUGUUUCAUGUAACAUUCUUUUCAUAUAUUCAAAAAAAAUAUCAUAUAAAGUACGAAACAAUACUUAAAUUUUCAUAUUUACAUGCUCAUGCAGGAUAUACGAACCUACCUGACUAAAUUGCAGAAAUACCAAGAUUUAGGGGCAUAUUGGUGAUUUACCAUAUUCCCAAAUUUCACCCAAUCUUAAAUUGAUAAUUUCAUUCAAUUUAUUAAUUUAGAUAAUAAAACAAUUCAUUCCUUUCAAUUUAGUCAUUUUCGACAUUUUUACAAAAUUACCUAUAAAGUUUUACUUUUAUUCAAUUUAGUCAUUGAGCCAAAAACAUACAAAUUAGCCAUGCUAGCUGAAUAUUCAUACAUAUUUUUCCUCCUCCUCCUCUCCAUUCCACAUCCUUAGUAUAAACAACACACUUGUAGGUAACAUUAUCCAUAAUUUUCACUAUCUACUUAUGUGAAUAUUCAAGCUGUCCAUCUGUGUCAUAGUCACUAAAUUAUUUUUAUCUUGAGCUACAGAACUCCAAAUUAAGAUCCUAUAAUUUUCCAUGAAACUAGACUCAUAUACCUUCUUACCAUAAAAAUUUCAUAAUUUUUGGUUGGUCCAAUUAAUACAGUUUAUUCAUUAAAGUCUCUCCUGUUCUGCUGUCUGAUAGUUCCGACCCUUCUUCACUAAAAAUUAAUUAUCUUCUUGUACAGGAUUCGAAUGAUGUCCUCGUUUGUUUCUCUUGAAAAUAGACUUAUUUAGGAUUUUAAAAAUAUAUAUUUAAGCCCCUAAUUAAUUUUAUCCAAUUUUUUAUGAUUUUCCAAAGUCAGAACAGGGGAACUCGAAAUCAUUCUGACCUUGUCUCACAAAAGUUAUUGUAUCUCAUGAUUUAGAAUUCCAUUGCUUACAUAAUUUCUUUUAUAAGAAACUAGACUCAAUAAGCUUAAAUUUCAUAUUUUAUUCAUCCUCUAAUUUGAUUUCUAUAAUUUUUGGUGAUUUUUCAAAGUUAGACUACUGCUGCUGUCUAAAACAGUUUAAGUGCAAAAUGUUGAUUUCCAUUUUGCCCCAAAUUUCACAAUUCAUACAAUUCAGUCCUUGCUCAAUUAACCCCUCAAUUAAGAUAAUUUUCUCAAUUAAUACUUUUUCUACAUAUUAUAAGUUAUUUCAUAACUAUUGAAAUUCAGAAUUUCCAUAUGAAACUCUAACUUCAAACUCUUUUACAAUUAGGUCCCAAACAUUCACUUUCUAUUCAAUUAUUUCAAUAAAAUCAGCAUAUAAAUAAUUUAAAGCUCUAAUUCCAUGCCAAAUCAUCAUAUACUUCCAGCACAUAUUCAUAGCAACUUUCAAUUUCUUUCAUAGAAUCAAAAACUAAUGAAUUCAACAAGUGGACCUAGUUGUAAAAGUCACAAAAACAUAAAAAUUUCAAGGAGAAAGCAAGAAUUAAACUUACAUGAAGCUAGAGUAUGAAAAUCAGCUUGAACCCUCCUCCAUGGCUGUUUUUCAGCUGAUAAAUAUGAAGAGAAAUGAAGAGAAUUCUAGAUAUUCCAAUUUAGUCCCAUUUUUAUUUAGCUAAAUUUGGCAAUUUUCCAAUUUUGCCAUUAUUUCAUCCAUUUCCUGAUUUUUCUCAGCUAUCGCCGCCCAAAAUAUCUCCUUUAGGACUAUUUUCACUUUAGGUCCUUCCUCAUUUGACAAUUGAGCUAUUUAAUCCUUCUAGCAACUUUUACACCCUUUUCAAUUUAGUCCUUUUUAUUUAAUUAACCACCAAAACGUCAAAAUUUUCUGACUAAAUUUUAAUACUACCUCACCAGCACUCCAUAAAUAUUUCUAAAAAUAUUUAUGGCUCGAUUUAUGAAGUCGAGGUCUCGAUACCUCAUUCUCGACCCAAUUUACCUAAUUAAUUCUUUUAAAUCACCAAAUUCACUAAUUCAAAAAUGAUUUUAUAUUCGCAUUUGACUCAUAGGUAUUAAUUUAUUAAAUUUUUAACUCACCCGUCGGAUUUGGUGAUCUCAAAUCUCUAUUCCCGAUACCACUGAAAAUUACCAAUUUUCCAAUUUUGCCCUUAUUUCAUCCAUUUCCUGAUUUUUCUCAGCUAUUGUCGCUCAAAAUAUCUCCUUUAGGACUAUUUUCACUUUAGUUCCUUCCUCAUUUGACAAUUGAGCUAUUUAAUCCUUCUAGCAACUUUUACACCCUUUUCAAUUUAGUCCUUUUUAUUUAAUUAACCACCCAAACGUCAAAAUUUUCUGACUAAAUUUUAAUACUACCUCACCAACACUCCAUAAAUAUUUCUAAAAAUAUUUAUGGCUCGAUUUAUGAAGUCGAGGUCUCGAUACCUCAUUCUCGACCCAAUUUACCUAAUUAAUUCUUUUAAAUCACCAAAUUCACUAAUUCAAAAAUGCUUUUAUAUUCGCAUUUGACUCAUAGGUAUUAAUUUAUUAAAUUUUUAACUCACCCGUCGGAUUUGGUGAUCUCAAAUCUCUAUUCCCGAUACCACUGAAAAUUAGGCUGUUAUAGAAAUAUAUGUGCAUGGCAAGUGAAUUCCAAUAACAAUCUAUGUUAAAACGUGAAGUGAUAAUAUAGUAAAUUAAAGUGUUAGUAAGUUUGUUACAUAAAUAUAUUGAAUAAUCUCUUGAUAUAAAUGAUAUGUUGAUGAAAUUAUAUUAGUAAUAUUGUUACUAUUUUUAAAUUAAAGAAAUGAUAAGAUUUAAAUUCAUGGGUACUUACAAAGCUUUCACAAACUUAACACAUUAUUUUCAUCGCGUAGGUGAAAGAUCAAAUUGAAGUUUUUAUACGAAGUGGUGACCUUGACACAUCUCACCACAUCAUCAUCAAAUUUUCGGAGAAAAGGGGUAUGAAAUAAACUUUACUGUAUAAAGUAUGACAUAUACAUAGGUGAAUUAAUGAAGUAAUAAAGAAAGUGUCUAGUUGUUUAAUAUUUGAGUACUUUAAGGUAUUUGAAAACAUAAUUCACGUUUGAUGAGAAUCAAACAGUCAGUGACGUUGCGACUUAGAAUCCCCAAAGUCGUGGCAUCAACCCGAAAGUUUUAAAACUUUAUAAUUUAAUAUUUAUUCGACUUUAGGUUAGUAAAAAUCUUUCAUAAGCUCAUAUAAUACUCGGAUAAGAUUGUGAAUCAUGUUAUGAGGGUGUAAUAAUCUUAACAGCGUGAACAAAAGGUUAAAUGGAAUGGUAAUUAUUUGUAAGUGCUCCGACAACGAAUGUGACAUCCCAAAACUUGGACCCAACGAUCGGGUCAAGUAUGGGGUGUUGCACACCAACCCAGUCAAACUUUUAAUAAUAAUACUAAGAUUUUUCUCACACGACUAUGUUUGUGGAAACCACAUAUAUAGAAUAUAAAUGUGUAUUUAAAAAUAACAUAUAAUAAAUAAUAAAACAUAUUAUUUGAAACUAAUUAAUAAUAUAUAAAAUAUGUACAAUAUUAAAAUGAAUAAAAUAGAUUAAAUUAUGAGUGUAAUCAAAUUUAAACACAUAAAUACACCAAAUUAAGAAUAUUAAAUGAACACAAUUGUUUAUCACCGUAUUGUCAUCAAUCCUGAGUUAGUGUCGAGUUAAUUUGCGACACUAAUUUAAUCAAAAAAAUUAUUAAUAUAUAUUAGAAAUUCUAUCACACACAUAUUCGUGCAAAAAUCACAAAUUUAGAACUCAAAUGUGUGUUUAAAAAUAACAUAUAAUAAAUAAUGAAAUGUGUGGUUUGAAACUGAUUAAUAAUAAUGCCACAUGAAAUAUGUAUGAUGUUAAAGUUAAAAUAUAUAUAUUGAAUUUAUUUAUCAUGAUGUUGUCAUUAAUCUUGAGUCAUUGUCAAGUUAACUUAUGAUACCAACUCAAUCAAAUACAUUAAUAUAUACACAAUUGAUUGAGGUAAUAAAGUGCACAAAAUAAAAAUUGAAAUAUAUAAAAACAUAAAAUAAAGAUUUAGUUGAGUGGUAAAUUAAAGGUUUUAUUAAUUUAAUUAGUUUGGGUUCAAAUUUUACUAUAUGUAUUUUUAUUGGUUUUUAAAAAAAAUAAAAAUAAUAAAUUACCCUCGAAUAAUAUAAUUUAUUUUAAUUACGAAAAGAUAUUUCUAUAAUUUUGCUAACUAAGUUGGUGACCUAAUUAAGGGUAACACAAACUCAGUAAAAUACUUAAUCAAUAGUAUAUAGAAGUAUAGAUAUAUAACAGAUGAAGGUAAUAAAAUAUGUAUAAUAAAAUUAAAAUGUAUAAAAAUAUUAAAAUAAAAUUUUAAUUGAAUAGCAAAUUAAAAAUUUUACUAACCCAAUUAGCAUGGAUUCAAAUCUUACCAUAUCCAUAUAUUUUUAUUAUUUUUUUUUAAAAUGAAAAGAUUAAAAUAUCAUCUAAUAAUUUUACUUAUUUUAAUUAGUUCCUAAUCGAGUUGGUGAUCUGGUUCUGACUCGAUUAAAAACUUAAAUAAUAAUAUAAAUACAACUUAUGAGGAUAACAAAGUGUGUAUAAUAAAAUUAAAGAUGAGUGGAAACAACUGAUAAUGCCUGGGAGCAGAGCAAAAGCAACAUGAUAGACCAAGAAGGAAGGAAGGUUAAGUUAAUACCAAAGAUCCAAAUGAAGGUGAAGCAGCAAACAAAAAUUUGGGUAUGGAUGAGUGGUGCGAUUAGUUGUGGUUAGAGUAAAAAUAGCGGUGGUGAUGAAAUUAGAUACUAUAUAGCGUAUAUAGCGUACUGAAUUACACAACACCGGUCAUCCAAACUCACUUGAAAUAAAUGAUAAUUUGGGAUAUACAUAUAUGCAUUAUCUGCCAAACUUGGGAUUCAACUCAGCAAACCCGAACUAAAGAAAUAACCAGGUACUUGUUCUUCUUCUUUGUUUUCUUUCACCAACUGCAAUAUAAUAGUAAAAAGAUACGUGCACUCUUAUGAUAACACGUUCACUUUGGUAAUAAAAGAGGAAAUGUGAGCUAUUCUUUUUUUGUUUUAGACAGAAAAGGAUUCAACCACCACCUGUGUUUCCUCUAUAAUACUACAUCAUCAAACAGUGUAUAUAUUACAAAUAUUCUGGAAUUAUUAAAUAAAACUACCUUAUCUACUUAUUAUAACAUUCUCCAUAUCCAAUUCAUCUAACUCAGUCAUGGCUGCAGGAUGGAAUCAAGCAACCUAAUCUAUUCUUUCAAUACCAUAUGUUAUAUAUCUACAGAAUUAACCAAGUCUCUCAUACUCCAUAUUUUUGUAUCCCCACAUAUAUAUACAUAUAUACAGACACGGGGGGCUGUGGGAUGCUACCUAUUCUAUAUACAUAGGUUUUGCUGCAGAUAUAGCAGUGAGAGUGGAGUUGAGAGUAAUUAAGUUGGUGCCAUGCAAAAAAGCCUCUCCGUAAGCAAUUCCUCUCUCCAUUUUCGUGUGACUUUGGCUAUGAAUUCCUCUACUCUCGUUUCCAAAUCAUUAUCUUCCUCAUCUUCUUCACUAUCCUGACCAUCUUCUGUGCCAAGAGUAUCAUCGUUUUCUUCAUCGUAACCAUGAUAAAGUUGUACAUCCUCAACGUCACUGCCCUCAUAAUAAAUUUUUUCUUCUUUUGCGCCUAUGUUGACAAACCCUAAAUCCAGGACAGGAUGGUUGAACUCAUGACCAGCUGCAUCUUGAUGAUCAGGGCUUCCAAUAAUAAUGUUAAUAAUGCCAAGGAUAGCGUAGAACACGGUAAACCGAGCUAAGGGACAAGACUUUGCCACCACGAUGAAGUCAUAGGUGGAGAAAACAAGUUCAUGAUGCAUAGGAGCUGAUAGUAACAAAGCCAAUAAUAUGACCAAAGGAAUACUUGAUAAAAACCAUAAGGCAGGGAACCCACCACCUCCCUCCAUUUUGCUAGUUUUAGCCAUUAAUAAGAGGUUUUUUGUCACUAAAUUAACAACGGCAAGAUUUACUAGCUAUAUAAAGUUAAUCAGAAAAAAAGCUACUCAUCUAUUUCCUGGAAGCAAAGAGGACUGGUUGAUUGCAAUAUUAAAACCAUGGGAAGAAGUUAAUUAUGAAGGUGCAGGAGGAAAUUUCUGAGCAUUUUAGGAACAUUUAUUUAAACCAAAAGAGAAAAUGAAAUAGGUUGGAUGUUGGAAGUAUUUGUGGAAAACCAAUAUAGUGACGAAACAAGAGUGUGCGAAAGAAAAGAAGAAUUUGGUGACUUGAGAAUUAUAAUAACAUUCCAUCUCCAUGUCAACAAUUUUUGCAACAUAUAGUAAAUUGGGUCAUUGUUUAUUAUUUCACUUGAUAUUUAUUUAGCCUAAAACCAGGGUGGUUUGGUCCAUGUCCUUUUCAAUGGGAAACUUCCAAGCAUAUGUCUCCACAUUUAUAAAUCCUAACAACAAACUAUUAGUUUCUCAUAAUUCGCACGCAAUUUUCUUCUUUUUACAUUGCUCGUCUACUCACUACAUUGGCGCCAUGGCGGGGAAAGUAAAACCACAACAAACUUUCAGAGUUGUUUAUGAGUUGGGUAAGUAAAAAAAUUAGGUAUGUUUUUUAGGUUCGGAUUUGGCCCGACCUAAAAAAUAGGCUUAAAAUUUAUCUAAGUCCAACUUAAAUAAAAAUGUUAGAAUUCGAGUCCGGCACAACCCACAUUAAAAUUUUUUAUAUAAAAAAUAAAUUUAAAAAAUAUAACACAUCAAAUACACUAAAAAAUUAAAAUAAAUAUUUCCUAACAAAUGGAAAAGUUUAAAAAAAAAAAUUUAAAUAACAUUAAGAUAGGUACAACUUAGUAGGCAAAUACAUAUAAAAUAGUAGCUAAAUUAAUAAUAAAACAAGAAUGAUACAAUAUCAAAAUAAUAACAAUAAAAUAGUAGCAAUAUAAUAACGAAAUGAUAGCAAAACAAUGAAAAACAGGUAAAAAAUAAAAAAAAUAGCAACAAUAUUUUUUUUAUGAAAAUUUGGGCUGGGCCAAGCAAAAAAGUUUACCUGAGGCUUCACCCGUUUAGAAAAUAAACUCUUUUUUUUUUGUUUAAGCCUGUUUUUAGGACCUUUGUUUUUGUCCAAACUCUCCUACUUUUCGAGCAAGUAUUUAGCUCGGUUUAUAGACAAGUCUAAGUUAAAUGUCUCAUUUAUUUGAUGUAGCAAUUUACUUAAUGAGUUGAAAGUAAUAAAUGUUGUUUUAAGUGAAAAAGUCAUAAAAAAUUUAAAGAGAAAAGAGAGUAAUGACUAUUGCGUGAGACAUUCAUAGGUUAUGCGUCUUAUAAUGAGAUUUUAAAAAAAAUUUAAGGGAGAUACUCAUAAAUUACGUGUCGCCUCUUAAUUGGUAAAUUAUUAUUAAAUCUUUUGUUAGAUCGAUUAUAUGACUUGAUGUGAUGAAAUUACAUGAUAUAUUAAUUACUAGUAACAAUAAUUUUAUUAAAAUGGUUAAAUUUAGUGUCAUUUUGGUAAAAAAAAAAAAGAAGAAGUGUUGGGCGAAGUAAUCGAUUAAUGAGUCGGGCAAGAUAACUAGUAGAGUAGAGGAUGUAUAACAUAAUUAUAAACUGGUACACAGACAUAUUGACGUUUCAUGUUUUUCCGACAGCAAAAGACACAGAUUGAGAAGCAUGUGUUGUUGAACGAGAAUACAUAAGCUCCUUAUUUGUUUUGUUUGCAAUGUCAAACUCCCUACAUCCUAUUCUAUUAUUUUAUUUAUUUAUACACACAGUCAUCCUCUUUACUUUAGUUUUGGAAAUUAAUCAUUUUAAAUAUUUAAAAAACAUAUUUUAAAGGACGCUUUUUUGGUACAAACUGAGUGAGAGGAAAUUAUAUGAAUCUUGAUAAGUUGUCAAUAAAGAGUUUUAAUCAGUGCUCCUUUCAUUUUAAACUAUGAUUAAAAUGAAAAAAUAUAUUGUCAUAUUCAAAAUGGAUCAAGUUGGGUCAAAUUCGGGUCAUGAAUUAUGAAAUCCAAACCAAGCUCAUAAUUCAAUUAAGUUCUUUUUUUUGCACACCCAUUUUAAGAGCUAACCUUAUCUAAACCCUCCCAAAUUCCACGUGAGACUUUGGGCUUUAGUAGAUAGUCUAACAUUUGAAAAAGUCUAAUUUAAAAUGAUUCAUAUUAUUUUCUCAAUUCAUGAAAAUUAUAUUGUAUAUAUUAUAGUUGUUCAAGCAGAAGAAACGUAUAAGUAGAAAAUGGAGGGUCAAGGUUUACAUAUUAUAGUUUAGGGUGUAAUUUGGCAUACUGGAAGAAGCAGGUUAAUAAUGGUAUGAUAAAAGUCAUUGUAGUUGAAUGAAAAAUGAAACCAUAUGAAUAGAAAUGAUAAAAAUGUCACUACUACAUAAUUGGGAGAUCUUUUAAAAUCUAGGGCAACUCUCAUCAAUCAGGCUAAAAAAAGAAGAAAAGAUUGUCUUUGCCUGAGACAUUAAAACCUAGCUGGAUAUUAAUCCUACCUCAUCAUCCUACAUUAAUAUUCAACAACACAUAACACUCCGUACUCUUUGAUGAACGAAAAACAUCAGGGAUUUUAGUCUAGUCAGCCUCCGAGUCUGAUUUUAUAAGAUUAACCUGCUGGCAACGAAAUGUUGAUAUCCGUUGCUGAAUUCCUUGGCUCCUGCAUGGUGGCCGCCCAAUUUUCUCUCCGAAAGGUAGCACCGGUGAGGCUUGGUUUCAGGGCAUUCGAAUUUUGUUGUGGCGAAACAACAUCUAUGCCAUCCUCUUUCUCAGCAUUUGAAGCUGGUGCAGCGACCAUACUCGGGUUUGGUGCAACAGUAGCUGGUAUGGACUCGAUCUUCUGCUUUUUGGGUUUUUGAUCAUGCUGGUUGCCAGGUAAAAAGCUGCCGACAACAACCUGAUAAUUCAACAAAAGAUUAAUCAUCAAUGUGUUUGAGACCAAGAUUUGUCUAGACUCUUAAAUCUUUUCGAAUUGUGAAAGGCAAAGUAUGAAUCAAUUCCAUUCCAGCUCUCUACAAUAUUUUGAAAGAUGUCUCAUGCACUUCUCUCAGGUGUUCAUACAACUCAGACUACGAGCUUGAGAGCCGAUAGACGAGUACUUAGCCAUCACUUGAAGCCCCUCAAAUUAAACAUAUUAUUAAUUCUAAAAGGGGACCGGAAAUUUAGCACUAAGAGGCUUACUUGUACAGGGCUGGCAGCUAUAAGAAGCCCAGCAACUCCUCCUCCUACAACACGGCCAUCAGCACUUGCCAAAGAUACACUCAUUCCACCAGAUCGACUUCUCGUUCCUUGAGUUUCUGUAGGCAUGAAGGAUCCAGACAAGGAAAGUAUCUCAAAGCGACCCUACAAGAAAAUAGGACAGACAAAGUUUUCUAUUAACGAUUAGAAAAUCAAAACAGAGUAAGAAGUUCAUGUUGGCCUUGUUCAGCAUCAUAGUUGGCACAACUUUUGAGGUCAAAAUGGAAAAAAGUUCCAGCUUUUUGAGGUUAAAAUUUUGCUUUGACAACCACCUCCUCUCCCUUCAAACGAUAUGCACUAUCUACUUGGUUUCACGAGUAUUUAUCUUACCUGACAUUUGUAUCUUUAUAAUCAGUGGUUUUCACACACCUAAUAGCAUUAUCCUUCGGAGAAUAAUGCGAACCAUCUUAUAAUCAAUUCCUCCCAAAGCAUUCCAAGUUUUAUGCACUGAUAAUUUCAAAUUAGACCUGAAAAUGUUUUUCCAGGAGGAACUUCAACUUACUCGGCUGCAUUAUAAAGUACAUUCUCAGCAGCAAACGUCUUCCUUAGCGUACGAACAUUUAUAGGCAUAACAUCCUUUAAAAUUAAUGAGUAUAUUUUAAAGAAUGUCUUGUAUCUUAUGAAAUCCUUUGACAAACUUAUAUUAAACAGUACUGCAAACAUUAGAAUCAUGCAACAAAACAUUGAUUCAAUUUCCAUAAUCAAACACAUUACAGAUUAGACUACCCUUUUUGCAUAUAAAUUAGACUAUAUGUUAUUGGAAACUCCUCAUAUUUCAGAAUGUGAUAGUAAUUUCAAAAUUGCCUAACCUCGUACGUAAGAGUGCCCCCAGAAGAAUCGGGUUGACGAAGUGUAACAUUUGAAAUUACUCCAUUGGCAGAUAGGAUGCAAAUAGCUCUCGGUCCUUGUUGAGAAAAUGAUAUCACCUUCAUUGUCACAUCCUUAAACACCACAAAAUCAAAUAUAAGGAAAGAAGUAGAUAAUGAUCACCUUAGAGACCACGAAUAUAGCCUAUCGAAGGUCUAAAGUCUAGAAAAAAAGUUAUGAACAAGGAAAAGAACACUAGCGACCACGAAAAGGAUGGACCCAGAAAGCCUACACAAGUCUUUGGCAAUGAUAGAAAUGAAGCAUAAGAAUGUUCCCCGAUAAAAUGAAUAAACUCCUCUCUGUUUCCUAUAUCAAAACUUACCUCGCCAGCAUUGACUGUGAUAACAUGAGGAGUAAAACUUGACCUGACAGAAGUAGCAGCCCAUUCACCUAUAAAUCAUUUAAGCAACAUCUAUAAGUACAGAAUUUCACUGUUAAACUAAACAAAUAAACAAAUCAUGUGCUGAUAUACCUUUAGCCUGUUUGUCAAACAAACAUAGAUCUACUACAUAUUUUUGCAAAGAAGCCCUUUAAACCAGAUUCCAGAUGGUCAGAGAAAGAAACAUACUUUCAGACCAAACGAUAUUACUAAUCAACCGAUCUUGCUGCUUUAACCAGUUUCAUUUUGUUUAUAUCAGUGGGAGCAUCUUGAAAAAUCCUUCUUGAAAAAUAAAAUCAAAGACAGAAUAUUCCUAGACCUUCUACAGUCACAAAAAAAGGCCACUCAUUCACAGAAACCAGUAACAUCCUCCCAAAUCUGAACAACGGCAUCUCAGAUUAGGUCCCACAAAAAGGUCAACAAGUAUUAUCAACUUCACAUAUAGAAUCUUUCAAAGUGGCAUUCAGAAAAUUCCAAACCAAUCAGGUGUUUUGAAGAAUCUAUAACAUGAUUGAACUCAAACUAAAACAAAACAACAGUAUGCUAAAAUUUGAAUCAAAAGCAAAAACUUUCCACAGAAAAGCUUGGUACCUAAAUUCUCCAAGUCCAUUCCCUUCUGAUGUUUAAUCUGGUACCCGCUACCUCGUCCUCUCCCACGCUUUCCGCCACCACUUGAGAACUCACCUCCGCUGGUCGGGACAGAUGAGGAAAUAGGCAUUGGUGACAAUGCCCUCGCCAUUGUCCCAUCUGGCCCAUAUUUCCUAGGCCUACCUCUCUUUUUCUUUUCUAUACUACCAGUUAACCCUACACUAACUGGUGAAACAUCCUCUGUUGUUGAGCCGACACCAAUCUGGCUAACAUUUUCGGUCCUAGGUGCCAUUUGAUAAGCUGAUGGAGCUUCUGCUCCUAUCACUGUAACACCUGAAUUUGUCUCCAUGCAAAUAUUAAAUUAUACUUAACAGACUCCAAGCCGGUCACCUAUAAAACAGAAAUCUUCAACAAAAAAUCAGAAAGGUAACUAUACGAUACACACAUCCUCCUCCUAUAUUUUGCUCCAUCAUCACUUAUUUCACUUAGAACGGAAGUUGUAAAUUAAUAUUAAAAAAAAAAGAUAUCAAAAUACACCCAAAAAAAUCGGAAAAAAAAAGUACAUUAAAAAAAAAACUCAACUUUCAGUUUAGUUGUGAUGAUCACAAUUUCUUAACACAAACUAAUACUCAACAAAAACCUUACUGUGACAGUAAUAAUUACGUAAUCAACCUAGAGAAUUGCUGAUAGUUGAGCAUAAAAACACUCAUACCUGCAAAGCUUAGCAUUUAAAAAAAACAGAAGAAGAUAAUUUGUAACUCACCAAAUCUUUAAAAAAAAAUUAUUUUCAUCUCAAUCAAAGAAAAAGAAGAAAAAAUCAAAAUCAAAAGAAAGUAUUAUAAAUAAACUUAGAAAUUAAACGAUGUUAAAUGUAGAGAUCAUGACCUGUAACUUCUAAGCACCACACCAGAACAAACUCUUCACUGACACUAUUCUUCUCAGACCUGUUCACAUUUCCCUGUAGCAAAGUACUUCGAAACUUUUUUUUUCUGUCCAACCAACAUAAUUUUCUUUUCCAAAAAAAAUCUAAAAUAUUUAUGUAAAAAAAAACUGUUACUCAAGAUAAAAAAAAAAAGUUCAGAAAACCGCUGCCGGUUCUUUUAUUUUAUUGUCUGAACAGAGACUUUUACUCCGAGAGAACACACAAAACAAAAUGAAAAUACAAAAUAUGAAAAAUAAAAUAUUUUAAUAAAAGUUAAAAUAAGUAUUAAUUAGUAGGUAAAUUGAUAACCCCGAUAUAUAAAAUUUGGUUAAGAAGAAUUUCACGUCCGGUAAUCGAAAAUUGAAUUUGAAACUUGAAUUAAAAUGGGGUAAAAUAGUAAUUUGGUGAAAAAGAUAUGGGAAAUAAAAUAAGGGAGAAAAAGUAAAGUUAAUAGCUUUCCUAAAAUAUUUAUUUGUGUCUUCCAUUUCAAGCUGGAAAGUUGGCGUUGGAGGGCCCACCUUUUUCAAAGUUAUGCUAUUUUUUAUUAAAUAAAUCCGUACUAAUUCUUUUAAAGCAAAUAUUUUAAUUUUAAUUAUAAAUAGCUUUUUUUUUAUUUUUUAUAUAAUAUUAAAGUAAUGAUGGGGUUACACUAUAUAAAUUUAUAUCAAAAUUUUAUUUAACAAACAUUUUAACCAUCAUUUUUUAAAUCUAUAUAAUUAUUUUAUAAUUUUAAAAUAUAAAUUAAUUUUGAAACAUAGAUAUUAUUAAAUACAAAAAUAUUUUAAUUAUGUUGAUAGUUAUACUUGAAUUCUAAAAAAAUAAAAAUAAAAAAAAAUUAUAUUUUAAAUUUACCAAAAGUGUAUAGAGUUACCACAUAUUUUAAUCUAACUAUAAAUGUUGUAUUUCUAAAUUUUUGAAAGUUGAUCCUGUAACAUAUCCGAAAUACUAUUAUACUUGGCUGAUAAAUACUACGGGUAUUUUUUCGACAUUAUAUCGCUGCUAGUCUGCUUUUUGUCUUUUGCAGCAAAUAAAGAACGAACAUCUUAGAUUUUGCCCUUGAGUUGUUGUCUUAAUCACGGUUGUGCCACCGUAGACGUAGAGUGUGGACUUUCUUUUUGUUUUUUUGCUCGUUCUUGUUCUUGUUCUUCUGCUUCUUCCUUUUUUUCUAUAUUUCUUUAUUAUAAGCGUUUCUGAUUUUUCCUGAUGAUAAUAAUGAGGCGUUUGGGAGUGAUGAUCGCGUCACCUGUGGGUGAAAGUCAUAUUGUCUCAUGGUCGGAUAUGAUUGGAUAAUCUCUGGCACACCUCUUCCAUACGUCAUGUAAGAUUUUAUGGCCUAUGUCCAAAAAAAAAAACUGUUUUAAUGGUACAAAGCAAGUCAUAUUUAAAGGGCGAAAUCAGAAAAAAAAAGAACUAAUUGAAAUCAAAAUUAAAUUGCAAGUUUUUUAAAAAUAUAUAAAUUUAUUGUAUUAAUUAAUCUUUUUUUUUUAAUUUUACUGAGAUUAAACUUGUAGUGUUUUUUUAAUCUCAAUGCAGAGUGCUGUGAGGGUGGCUGAGUUACAGUCAUAUUGUUGAGAGGUAUAGUUGUGUGAGAGAGAGGCAUGUUGUUAAUGUAAGUUCACAUGGCUGUCAAGUGUGAAGACAAGGGCCCUACUCUUUGAAUCUUUUUCAAAGAUUAUUUAAGAUAAGCUGUCCCCAACUUACCCUGACCGCUAUUUCCUAAUUUUGGAUUUGGUCUUCCUUCCUCCCCACUGCUCAAAUAUUUUAUUAUGUAGGUUGAAAAUGGCUUUUCUUUUUAAGAAAAAAAAUUAUUUGUUUCUUUUUUUUUUCAACUCAAAAAGGGGAAAAAGAUAUGGUUAGGAAGGAAGAAGGUUGACUAUGAGUUGAUUCAGACUUAUUGAAGAGGGGAAAAAAACCCCAGCUUGUUGAAGGUGUUAUCGCCGUAAGGCCAUAAGCAAAGGAGGUGAAGGAAAACUUGUCGGCAUUGGAUUUGGGUGGCAUCGAUAACUAGAGGACUCUUUAGUUUGGACACUUGAUUGUUAAAACUAAAAUUCUUUAUGCUAUCAGUGUGUUUGGUGUUUAAGCAUGUGUUAAGAUCGGACAAUCAAUUCGCACGACAUUUAGCUAGCUCUGCUACAUUAGGGGUGAUAGUGUUUUUAUUGGUGGCAUCAACCACUGAACUAUAUUUGCUUUUGGAUUUGUAUAGAUAAAUGAUAUUAUUAAUGAAUACAAGUGAAGUCCCUUUUUUUUUCUCAUUCUUCAUUUAAAAGAACGGUUUUCCAUCGGAAAAUAAUUAAAGGAAAAAAAGGCAAGUAUCUCUCUCCACCGAGGGAGAGAGUUUCCUAUUACCGGCAGCGGCUAACGAAGGUCUAAAAGGCCUUCUUUCGGUUUCAGCUUAAGAAUGGGCUUGGUCUUGACCCACAAACCUCUUCCUCCUUUACCAGGAAUGUUUAAACAAUCGAAUUCGAUUAAUAUUUAAAUCAAAUUAUUAUUAAUUGAAUUAUUUAAAAUAUAAAAAUAAUUAAUUGUUAAUUGAAUUGAAAUAUUUCAAUUAAUUUAAUCGAUUAACCGAAAUCUAUAUAUUUUUGUCUUUAGAAACACGUCAUAAAUCUUGAAAUUCAAUUAAUUACCCAGUGAAAAUGACAAAUAAGACAUUAGAAACAACUUUAAAUAAUAUAUAUUAUUUAUUUCGAUUAAUUAUUUAAUUUCGUAUUGAAUUAACCGAUAACUAAAAUUUCAAAAAUUAUUAAUUGAUUUUCGACCAAACUAAAUUGAUUAGAUCAAUUAAUUCAAUUUUAACCGAACUGUGUACACUCCUAAUUAUUAUGUUUCCCUAAACUAUCAUUUGGUCAUUGAACGUAAAAAUUCCACAUAAACUCCAUUUUAUUAUAUAUUUUCGGUAAAUUUAAUUUCUUUUACUCUAAUUUAUUUAUUUAUAAUCUUUCUACUUUUUGAAAUAUAUAUUUUUAGUCCUGAUUUCAACUUAAUUUUUCCAUUAAUUGUGAAUAUCAUUUGGUAUGACUAAUGUUUUUACACUACACAAUGAUGAUGUGACGUAUAAAUGUUGAUGGUUUUUUUAAUUAGAUAAAUAUUAUUUUUAUUUUUAUUUAUUAAAUAUGCAAAAAGUUAUCCAAUUGUAAAAAAAAAUUAAAUUGUAUGUAUCACAUCAUCACAUGUUUACGUUAGAUUAUUUGAUAUAAUCAAAAAAAAAGUUAUAGAAAUGAAAAUAUACAAUCUGAAAAAGUAAAGGAACUUAAAAUUAUCAGUUAAUGAUAGAGAAAUUAAAUCCAUAAAAAUGUAUAAUAUGAAUACCUUAUAUAGAAUUUGACCAUACAAAUAAUACAUAAAACUUGUUAUCAUCGAACAAAGAUUGAAGGAAAAAAUAUUUCAACCACAAAGGGUAAUGUUAGGAGAUGAAUACGGGCGUCGUCAAGGAGGGCUAGCAGGGGCUGGCCUCCUCAAUCUUUCAAGACUUUGUAUAAUUUUAUUGACAAUGGUAAAAUUAUAUUUCACUCUUAAAAAUAUUAUCGCAUUGAUAAAAAGAAAUAUGUAGAAUUGUAUUUGGCCUCUCAAAAAACAGUUUUAAUUUAGUAUUACUUUAAAUUAUACAUUAUUUAUUAGUUAUCUCUAAAUUUUUAAUUAGUCAGAUUUAUAUAUAUUGUAUUUUUGUAGAGGCUGCUAAAAGAGCAAAAAGCAUAUGAUGGCAAGGUCCUUGGACUCUGGUGCAACCAGGAAUCUUCUUAAUUUAGAGAGGGACCUUAAAGUGGUGUGGUCCGGGACAAGAAUAUUGGUGAGUGGAUUACUGGGUUUGCAAGGAGUGUGGGCUCUUGUUUUAUCCUGCAGGCGGAGCUUUGAGAUUUGUUUGAUGGUUUUACAUUAGUAUGGGCUAUGGGAUUUAGACAAGUGUCCUUUCCGUAACUUUUAAUUUUUUAUUUUAGUAAAAUAAUAUAUUAAAUAUCAACUAAUUAGGGGAUAGAAGCGAAUGUGAUUGAUGUUGUGUACGAAUGGCAGCAGAGUAAGGCGAAUGUUAUUAUGUUUUAUAAUUGUUUUAUUAUGAUUGUAUAAUUUUAAAAGUAUUUUCAUUGGAUUCGUUUCCCUUUAAUUUAAUUUUUAUUAUCUAUUUUUAAUAUAUUUAAUUUUUUUAAAUUAAAUAAAUAUCCUUCAAAAACAUAAAAUAUAAACUUUUUUAUGAUAUAUGAUUACAUUUUCACGAUUUUGAUCGUGGUAUAUAUAUAACACAAAUAAAUAUAAAAUGGUAAUUUUUUUUAGAAUGAAGCGGGAGAGAAUAAUUAAGUAAUUACCAUAAUUACUUCAUUCGAAAAGAUUCACCUACCUCAUCUCCCAUCCCCACCUCUAUAUCCACUUUUAAAAAGAAAAUUCUACUAAAUUUGAAGCAGUUUGAAAUCUUUUGAACAAUUUGAGUGUCAAGUUUAAUUUAAAAAAAUCGAAUUUGAUUUAAUAUUAUCUAUUGGACAGUUAAAUCCUAGUUUAUUUGGUAUUAAUAUUAUUAUUAAUGUAAGAAAAAAAUUAUUUAAUUUGAAGUCGGGUGGUUUGAAAUCCAUUGAACAGUUUUAGUUUUCUCAUCCCUAUUCAAGUUUAAGUUAAGAAAUUUGAAUUUGAUUUAAUAUUAUCGUUUGAGUUUUAUCUUUAUUAACAUUAACAUUGUUAUCAGUAUAAGAAAAUAAAUAAUUUUAAGUUAAUAUAUUAAAAAGAAAAAAAAUAAUUUGGAUAAGUGCCAAUCUAAUUCAUUUUGCUUAAAUUUAUAAUACAUUUUUGGAUAUAGUUUUAUUUUACUCAUAAAAACAUAAAUAUAUAGAUCUAGCUGCAGCCUAAAAACUUUUCUUUCCAUCUCAACCAUGUUUUGUUUCCCUCCUUCAGUUGAGGCUCAGCCGCGGUUUUCCUUUUUUUCUCCCACCCCUCUGAUCUCUCAGCCGUUGCUUUUUUUCACUCAUUCCUUCUCACAAACUCUGCGCCUCUCCACUACCCACUUCUAUUUUACGGCUCUCUCUCUCUCUCUCUUUAUUUGUUCCUAGUAAUUGGAUUUUGCCUAGUUAUUAGAUUUCUAUCUGUACCCUAGUAAUAAAAAUUUUGCCAUCUUUUUUUUUCUUUUAUAUAGAAGCAUGUUGGUUUGUGAAUAAAGCUUUCCCAGCUUCAGAGUUUCCCAUGUCGAUUUAUUUGUCAUUAACAUAUUUUUAAAAUUUAUUAUUUCAACAGAAAAAACUUAAAAUGAAGGAGUUGAAUUUUAAUUUGAAUCAGAUGUGAAUAUUUGAGUAAGCUGAAAUUGAAUUUCCAAUAGUGUAAUUGGGGUUUUUACAUUAAUAAUACAAAAAAAAUUACAAAAUAAGGUGGAAAGUAAAUUAUUUACAAAAAUAGAUAGUUUUGAACAGAAAAAACAACAACACUACCUAUAAAAAUAAUAUUUUAAUAAAAUAAAAAAUAUUUUCCAAAGAAGGAGGCGACACCCUUUUUUCUCAUGUCAUUUUACUUUUUUAUAUUUUAUAUUUUUUUAGUGUUAUGUUUAUAUUUUAAUUUUAUUAAUAAAAGAUGCUAAAUUACUUUAUUUUAUAAUUAUAAAUUUUUAAUAUUUAAAAUAAUAAUUAAAAUGAUAAAAUUUUGAUAAAUUUGACAUAAAAACAUUAUUGUAAACUUCCUAAAUAAACAUUUUUAGUGAGUUUUUAUUUUGGUCAUCAUUUUUUUUUAAAUUUCAUUACUUUAAGUCAUUUCACCGUUAAAAUGUAUUUGGUUACCAACCAUAAUUUCAAUAUGUCAUUUUUUUAUUGGUAAAAUAAUAAAUUUAACUGCUAAUAUUUUACAUAUUAAAAUGUAUUUGAUCACUAAAUAAAAUGCCAAUGUGGCCUUCUUUUUAUGGGUUUAAUAACAAAUUUAGCCUCUAAUAUUUCACACAUCCUAUCAAAUUAAUUCUAUUUUUAGAAAAUUCAAUACAUUUCACUCUCAAUGUUUACACGUUAUCAACUCAGUUAUUAUUCUAAAUAUUAAAAAAAUUAUAAUUAUAAAAUAUUAAAAAUAUAAAAUAAAAUGAUUCAACCAUUUUUAUAAAUGUUAAAAAUUUCUAUCACCAAAUAAGAACUCAUUAAAAAUCUUGAGUGAUUGUUUAGGUAGUUUAUCUAGUAGCGGAGUUAAGGGGCUGACAGGGUCUGAUCCUUAAAAUAGAAAAUUUUUCAUUUAGGCUAUUUUAUAAUUUAUAAAAAUUUAAAUUAAUAAUAAUAAAAAGAUAAAAAGAUGAUUUAAUAUUUUAAAAAUAUAAACUAUAAAAAUGGUGACAUUGCAUUUCUACUAUCGUAAAAAAUAUAAAAUUUAAUUUCAGCUUCACCCAAAAAAAAUCUGAUGUUUUUAUGUCAAAUUUACCAAAAAAAUUAAAUUGAUCAUUAUUUUAAAUAUUAAAAAAUUAUAAUUAAUAAAUUUUUUUAAAAAAUAUAAAUUUAAAACAAUUUAAGCUUCUUUACUAAAUAAAAUAAAAUUAUAAAAACUAUAAAAUUUAAACAUAAAACUAAAAAAUAAAAUGAAAAGGGUACCGCGUCCUUAUUUGGUGACACCCCUUUUGAAAAUUAAAAUAUUAAUUUAUUAUUAAAAUACAUUUUUAUAGAAUAUCGCCUCACAAUAUUAUUUUUUAUUGUUCACUUAUUUUUGUAAUUAAUAUUUUCCUUAUUAUUAAUAUAAAAAAACCCCGAACCUGGAAUCAAACUUUUUCAUUAUUCGUAGCUCAACUUGGAAUGGAUUACGCAUUAGCCUUUGUGCUUCAAUCUACCAUCCAAUCAAAAAAAUCAGGUCACGCUAAACAAAGAAAAAAAAAUUAUGUAACAGACAAACAUAGCGAAGUUACAUACAGAAAGAAACCAAACAAAGAGAAAAUAAAGUUUUUUCUGUAUAUUUUUAAAAUUAAAGUAAAUUGGAGCUGAAGCAGAGUAAAGGCACGGAUUAGACCCCUUUUUCUUCAAAAAGAAUAAAAAAGAAAAAUUAUAGACAGAGACAGUAGAAGACAAGAAACCCUUUGAGUUCCAAAAAUGUCAGAUAGAAACUGAAUCCCCCUCCCUCCCUCCCUACCCUUCUCUUUCUUGUCAUCUCCAUCUUCUCCAACGCUAAUCCAUGAAUCCCAACAAAACCCAAGACCACAUCUUCCAUCAACACCAUGCUAUGGGCCCAUCUUCCCACAUCAUCCACUCCCAUUCACAGCCCUCCAUUCCUCUUCACGAUGACCCUUCCUUCUCCCUCCCCGAAAUCGUCCUUUUCCGCUCCUCUCCCUCGGCCGACUCCCCCACCCCUUGCGAUUCCGAUAACGACGAUGCCGCCACUGCUCACCCCCCUCUUUCCUCCACCCCUUCAACUGACCUAACAACCCCUUCCCAUCAAAUUACCAAUCAGCCCCUCGGCUACAUUAGCCCCGAGCCUCACAUUUCCUCUCAGUUCUACACCUUCAACGCUGAGUCUCAUUCCCUCAUGAUCCGUUGCAUCCGCGAGCAGCGUUUGGCCACACCAGCUGAGAUCCGAGCCGCCACGCCGCGCUCCGUCCUCAAAUCCUGGCGCGCCGUCUGGAAGGACCGCAACGAAGACACUGCUUACCUAACUGCCUGGAAGCGGAUCCAGGACAAGCUCACGGCUCACGUCGACCCCAAUUCCGGUAACGAAUUCCUUUGCUUCAAAAACAAUUCCAAUCAAUUCGUUUCCCAUGUUAAUCAAUGGCAAGAUAUCGUUAUGAGUUUCCACGGAGACGCCGAUUUGAAGCACUUAGGGCUUAAAGAAACAAUAGAGAGAAUUAAACAAGUUUGGACUGUAGGUGCUAAGUUCUACGGUAUUCCCGAGAGUUACAUUAGGGGUUGUGUUGCGGCGUGCCCUAUAUGCAAUGCUUCCUCGGGCUCUGCUUCCAGGAGCAAACGCCGCCGUUUUGAGUACACGGAGUCUUUUGACGUGCCUGCAAAGGAGGUACCUCAUAGGUUGCAGCAGUUGGCUGCAAAGCACAAGGUUGUGCUCUGUAUAAGACAGAAGUAUAUAAGGUAUAAGCCCUUUAUGGCUGAGGUGAAGGAUUAUGCUUGUCAUCGAGCUGGGGAGCCUGCAGCAAAGAAGUCAAGGAUUUUGAAGAGGGAACCUUAUGCAUCUAAGAGGUGUGGUUGUGGAUUUAGAAUUAGGGCAAUAGUGCCAAUUGCCAAUUAUAACGAGAAGGAGAAGACAUUUGUAUAUCAAGAGGAAGGGAUGGCUGUCUUUAAGUUGUAUGCGGUACACUCCGGGCAUGAGCCAGGGCCACUAGACGGGAAUGCAAGGAUUAUGCAUAGGGUUGUUGGGCAUAAGGGAGGAUUUGUGAUGGACCAAGAUAUGGUUUAUGGGGUAAGUGAGGAUUUGGAUAGCGAGGGGUUUGGGUUGAUGGGAAAGGAACAAGGAGACUUGCAGCUUGCCAUUUUGCAGCAGGUGCGAGAGUUGAGAGCUGAAAUUGUGUUGUUAGAAGGGAGGAUCAGCAAGAUUCCUCAUCAGUUACUGGGUUCAGUAUCUAGGGAGCUGUUUGAGAUUUUAAAUAAAGUUAGAAGUUUUGGAGAAGAGGGUCCAAAGUCAAUUGGAUUGCUGUCUGACAAGCCUCAUCCUGAUGACUUGUUGGUAGAAGAAAAUGAUUUGGCGCACUGGGCUGAUGACCACCAUGAUCGGAUAUAUGGGGAUGGAAAGGAUGCUGAAUUGAUUGAAGAUGAUGAUGACAGUUUUGGAAGGACACUUGGGGAUGUUGUUCCUUGGGACCAAAUGAGGACGGAUAGAAGGAGUCAGAAGGAUUUGAUGAGUGAGCCUUGUAAGAUGGAUAAGUGGUUGAAAUGCAGUGAUUUUGACGAGAAGAGCAUUCUUGACUGCGAGGAUACUAAACUAACCAAGUCCAUGAGACAUGAUGAUUGCAUAGGGACAGAUGUAGGUCUUGUUGGCAUUCAGGUUGAUAGUUUCUACCAAGAUAACCCCAAAUGGUAUGAUUCUCCUUGUGGAUUAGAUUCCAGCACAGACUGUGGUGACAGUGGAUUUAGACAUGGAGAGAUUGUGUAGAAUCCUGAUGAGCUUGGUUAACCCACUCUAACAUAAACAUGAAUUUAUAUUGUCCUCUUCAUCCCUUCUCACAGCUACCACUGGAUUGUACAUUUAUGUAUACUGAUGAUUGGAGCUUCUCACAAGCUUGUAGGUGUCGUGUUUGGUUCUGUAAAGUAUAGCCAAUUGGGCUCAUCUGCACAUACCUUAUUCAUAACUAUUUGUUGACUGUGUUGUGGACAUUCAUGACUCUUAGUUAGCUUCUCAUAUAUUACCUUCCCUACUUGGUGGUAAUAUAACUAUUAAAAUUCAACUAAUGUGCCUCUUUAGAGAGUUGCUGACAUGUUCUCAUAAUAUACUUUUGUAGUUUAUUAUAACAAGAUUAAGGCUUUGCAACUUAUGCCCUGAGCAUGGCAGGGAGUCAGACCAGGAUUUUGGCCUGCAGACUGAGAUUGUAUGUGAGUUUAUAGUUAAAAUUAUGUUUGUGUUUCUUAUGCCAUCUAUUGAAUGAUUUAAUAAUACUUCUCCAGGGCUGACUUUUUAAACUUGAACUGCUAUCUUAAGACAUGAUGCAUGUUUGCUAUGUGAUAUUUUUCAACUGAAACUAUCAAAAUAACAAAAUUAUGACUUACUAGGCAGUUUAUUAUUGGUGGGCUUUCAUUGCAGUUAAUAGAUGCGGGGAACAACCCUAUUUUGACAAACAGUUGGUGCCUUAUCUAUCUUAAUUUACAGGAUCUCUCAUGCAUAGGUACCAAAUAUGUGUGGUCUUACAUUUCUUUCUCUGCAGGUAUACGCCAUUUUGUUGUAAAAUUAUGGUAGGUUGCCUGUUUUUAUAAUGCAGUUAUGCUUCAAUUAUGUUGAGACUUUUGGAAAGGCAUUUUGGUUCAUCGAAGGUGUCCAUAUCUAAUGGUUUUCCUGCAUGGAAACCAUUUCAAAUGUGAUGCUUUCUUAUGUAAUUGUUUUAAAUUGGUUAAUUAUCCAUUAUCGAUACGAUGCCUUAUGUAUAUGUUUCAAAUAAGUUAAUUACAGUGAAAGGAAAUACUGCUUGCUUUGAUAAAAGUUAUUAGAUGAGUCCAGAUGGUAGAUAAACUCAAGGCUGAUUCAUGUCCCCAGUUGCAUGGGAGAGAAAUAGGUUGAAUAUUUGAGGCUUAGACAGUGUUCUUGGUUCUAGUUGUGUUUCUUUGUGUAGAAAGCAUGAGAAGCGACAAGAUGUUUUGAUUAGAUGACUAUAUAGCAUAUAAAGGCUGGUCUUUAGUUUGGUGGUGCAGAUUUCAGAUUGAACUGAAAACUGGUUCAUAUUUUUUUUAUCUAGAAUCUAUUUUAGCUUUGCAGUUAAUUUCAUGAAUCUUUCUCCUUUUUAACUUUUUUCCCCACAUCACAUGCACGCACUCAUAUAUAUAUAUCUCCUUUUGGAUUGUAUUUAUAACUAAAUUGAGCACUGACUGGAUUAAUAUCAUGAAUGCCUUCCAUUUUUGAAGGACUUAAAUAUACUGCUGUAGAAAGAAAGAAGAAAAGAAAAGAAAAAAAAAAGAGUUCGAUUUCAUUAGUUUCCUUCCAGAAUCAGGAGUAGUUAAGCAGGACAAAGCCCACUAAGGGUUAUGGGAGUUUACAACAGAUGAAUCAGAAGUUUUUAAGUGGAAGUAGAAGGGUGGAAUCGGACACCUGGGAGAUAUCUGGAGACGAAUUCCCUGGUUAAAACUUGAAGCUCCUCGUUCUCUGCAACUUGGUCAAAUGAAUUUGGGAAACUUGUAAGCCCAACUGAAGUCUGUUGUGGCGGAUCAAAGUGUGUGGACAUGUUAGAAGAAGACAUCAAUUCGGAUCCUAUUUCCGAUGAGGAUGGAGGAUGACGCUGCAACGUAGAAAGACGGGCCUGGGUGUAGGCUAAUUCCGCCUGUAAAUUCACUACCUACAAAUAUCAUAACGUAGUUGUUCAACAUUACAGAAACUUGAUUUUUCACGGUUCAAUUCAAGGCUGAUGUACGAUGAAACCGUGUAGAAAAUUUAAAACUAAACAAAGGUUUUCGAUUCCAUUUCCGAGCAAGAUUACGAACACUCAAAUUUCAGGUGCAAAAGAAAAGAAAAAAGAUGGGAUCCCAUUCCUCUUUACUCUAUUGCUUUUAAUGUGUAUGGUUUGAUCACCGUUUGAAGUUAAGACUUGUGUAUUUUCCUCAAAAAGAGAAAAGAAAAUGGACUUAAACGGGAUCAAAUGAAAUAUGAAAUUAUCUAUUCAUUUCCUUUGUGGGAGAUUUUGUAAUCAACAUAAAUAUCAGGCCUACCGUGAACAUUACAAUCACCAUACUAUUUGAGGCAAUUAAGAUUUAGUUAGAGGAAUGGCUAAGCCUUCUGUGUAGCCCCAAUAAAUAAAGAAACAACAUAUGCAAAACCAUAUAAAACAGAGAUAACUACUCCAAAAAAAAAAAAUUAUAUAAAAAAUACUUCAAAUAAAACAAAACAGAGAAUGUAACACAAUACAUUUUCAAUAUUUAAUUUUAUACAAACUUUACGUAAAUUUUUUUCAUCUAAUAUCAUUUAAUUGUUUAUAAAAAAAAAUUAUAUAUCUUUCUGGGUAUUAAAAAUUUGAUGUAAUUCAAAUUAAACAACACAUCUAGCUAACUAUUGUUUUAUCUAUCUUCAAGAAAUUUAGAAUAGUCAAUAUUAACAUGAUAAUGGUAUCCUACCUAAUUAAAGCUUCACCUAUACAUUUACUUAAACCAUUUAUUUAAGUCACAUCCUUAACAGGUUGAUAUUACCCCUCAAUUAAAUCUAAAUUUAAUUAAAAAAAUUAUAAUUUUUUUUUAUAAUAAUAAAUAUUAUUUUGUUUUUAUAUUUUUAUAUAGAUACUAAAGAAUAAGUACAUUUCAUAAUAUUUCAACUCAAAAACUCAUUAUCAUUUUUAGUCAGCUUUUACCAUUUCAAUUAAAACCAUAUUUAAUUUUUAUAGAAAUUCUUUAUAAAUUUGUUAAAUAAUUCUUUUUACCAUGAUGUAGUACUAUUUUUCUCCUUUCGUAUAUCUGCCUAACAUAUGAAAGUGGAAAAAAGAAAGAAUAAUAUUCUUAAAAAUAUAUCUUGGAAAUGAUGGUUAAAUACUAAUAAUAAUUCCCUAAAAAGAAAAAAGAAACCCUCAAGUUGUAAAUUAUUAAUUAAAGACCCUAUUUAAUGGAUGUGAUGCAGAAGAAUAGCUAUCCAUAUUUCAUGUGGAGUUUCUCAAAAGGCAUUUCACGAAGAAGAUAAUCCUUACAAGUAAAAUCAAAGGAAGAUUUGAUUUUGUUGAAUGAAGUUCACCAUGAUCGAACCUUCACAUGGUAGGACCCAUGAGCUUCUUUGAAAGCAAGAACAAAGAACACACCCAUCAAUUAACUACAUUUUACUAUCCUCUCUUUUUUUUUAUUAUAAAUAAAAAGGGAAAUGUAAACAAAGUCAAAUCCAAAACUAUUUGAAUAUUUCUCGAGUUGCUAAACUUAUGCUUGCUGGCUCCGGCAAGCAACCACACCCACUUUGCCAUUCACCACUACGUGUGGCAGCCGCCAGCCGGGGGAAACCGCAGUUAGUAUGACUCUUGGGGCGCAAUUUCAAUUAAAAAAGUGUUGUUAGCCAACGAAAAAACACCACCUUUCCAAGUGAACUACGCCCGAGUUUCAUCACCACCGUUAUCGAGCGAUCGAUGUUUUUUGAGGGUAAACAAAGCUGUGGGUGAUUAGGCUUAACUAUUUUAUAAUCACAGAAGCCAAGAGAAGCCUACUACCAGGUAGGGGCUGUCACUAUGAACGUGCUAAUAUUAGGUAUUUAUUACCAACUUUUUUAUUUAAUUUUUGGUGUUCAAGAAAUAUUUAUUGGUUACAAAUGUGAAAACCUUGACUAACUAGAUUGCUUCCCCUGUCCAAUAUAUGUAUAUAAUAUUUGAGUCAGUUGUCAAAAUUUUACCAAAUGGACUGCGCGCUCCAAGGCACACGUUUGCAUGAACAUUGAACCUGUGAAGAACUUUCAGAGUUUUGGCCUUUUUCAAUUAUGGGGUGUUCUGGUUGGACUUGGAGGCCUAUCCUAUGCUACGAAACAGCUGGUUAGUUUAUGCGAAAUCUGGGUAUAAGAAUUUUUUUCAAACUAGCUAAGUAGCCCUGCUGCAUGCAAUUGCUACCAGCUUAUUAGAAGAAUCUGAAAGAAUUAAGAAAUAAAUAUUUAGAAGUUAACUGUAAAAUGUUUAGCUGCAUGCAUGCCAGCAUGUCUGCCAUGGCUUCCUAUGAUUGAACAGAAUUUUGAACUAAGAAAGAAGAGAAAAGAAAGCAAAAACACUAAACCUAAUGCUGACAAUGAAUGUUAAAAUAGUGAUGCGAUGAUGUCUGGAACUGGGAGAGAAAUAAUUAAUACACAAAGAAAAAGGAGAGAAAAUCUAAAAUGAAAGUAAGAGGGGAGGGCAGACCUGUUGUUGCAGGGUGAAGAGGUGGCCGACGCAGCCAUAAACAGGGUCUCGAACCCUAGCCAAAGCCUCAUAACAGAGGGUAACGACGGCAUCGAGGCGCUUGUGUACGGGUAUCCGCUGCAGCAUCUUGGAAGCAUUGCUGGCACCGUAAACCUUGUGGACCGCAGCGAAGUGAGCCAUCCCUUGGUCGGAGUCAAAAUAGGGUGCAAAUAUGCACCCUUUUACGCACUUUCGCCUAAGGAAUUUGCAGGCACCACAAGGCCCUCCUCCAUUAUUUCCACUCAUCUCCCUCCCUUUCUCUUUCUAAAAGAGAUUAUUUCUGCCUUUUACAAGUAGAAAACUGGGUGUCGUUUGUUUAACCAGUUUUAGAUAAGAAAUAUGUUAAAAGCUUCGCUACUCUUGAGGCUGUGGGUCAUUUACCAAAAAGGAAAAAAAAUUACUGGUAGUUCCAUCCUUUUUCUAUUUCUAAAUAGAGGGAUAGUGUUUUCUAAGCAAUGCAGUUAAAAGUCUAAUUUUUUUUAUAUAAGUGAUAGUAGUAAGGGUUGUCAAGAGAGAACUAAGUAUAAUUUAAAAGUCUCAAAUACAAAUCAUGAUUAAGUAUAUAAAUCUAUACACUUAUUAAUAUAUAAAAUUAUUUAUUUUCAUUUUUAAGAAAUUAUAGAAUUUCAUGUUAGAUUCAUUGACACCCUAGAAAUUUAUUUCAAAUGCUCGUAUAUAUAAGCAGCUUAUGUACAUUUGAAUAUUCUACUGCAAUGGACGUUUGUUUGGAUUUUAUUAAAGUUUAAUUAUGUAGAGAUUGUUAAUUAUUAGUAGUAGAUACUGUUUUAAAAAACGAACGUGGUAUUUUGGGAUAGAAACUUUAAAGCCACGGCAAAGCAAAGUAGAAGGUAAGAAGUGGAGCAGCAGCUUUGCUUGCGUGAAGCAAACAUAAAUACAUAUAUGCGGUGAGUGGCUGGCAGUCUCAACUCAACUAUCAAUUUGUCAUUCCAACCCUACCACAGGUGCGAAACCCACGUGUGACAAACAUCCUUUCUCAUUUCUAUCAUUCAUCGUCUCUCAUCUCCUCGGCUCUGACUACUAGAGCUUUUUUUUCACACAAUUUUGGUUGAAAUCAACGCCGUUUUAUAACAGAUAUAGAUAGAUAGAUUAGUGCUGCUGAUUUUUCACCUUUGUCUUUGAUACAAGGUCAUAGCCUGCAAUGAGUUUAAUAUUUUAAUACCAGGUUGUUGUUUUCACCAGUUUUAUAUGGCGAAAUGAUUAAAACAACGUUAAACCAUAAUAUGUUAUAAGGCUAAUUAUUGUUUCCAGAGAAUCACGUGCUAGUUAUGGAGUUGAUUGAGGUGAUUCUUUUGGGGUACAUGAAAUGAAAAUAGUAUAAAGGUGGUUCGUAAGUCAUUAAUUUGAUUGAACUAAUAUUUGAGUUGAAUUGGCGCAUCAAGGUCCCACUCUGUAACAUGGACUUGGAGGCCAUCCCUUUUUACUUUGCUUAUUAUUGUUGAACACAGAAUUCGGGGAAGAUAUCGUGUGAGUAUGUCUAACGUCUCUCGCUGUCUCACUCUCAUACGUACUUUUCACCUUUUUUGUAAUUAUUUUCUUACUUUUAUGGCAAUGAUUUGUCUAGCUUUUACGGUUGAAACAUCACUUGCCCUAUAAUUCAUCAUGUACCGACAUGGUGGUAAAUUUCUCUUAACAUUGCCAUAUGUAUGUGUAUAUAUAUUCAUACGCAUGGCUACCCAGUCAAGCACGUUGAAUGAUUAAUCGUAGAGAAAUAGUGUCGAGAAGCUUUAAUCAUUAACACAACUCCUAUAAUUAGAGUAUAAAAGACAAGGUUAAGAAACUACCAACAAUUACGACCUUAGCAAAAAGUGAUCAAGCCAGUCGAAAAUUAGGGAAUUGAAGCCUCCUCUUAUCCAAGCUCCCCACGGUUUAAUGGCAAGAUUGAGGCUUAUAGAAUUUUGUGAUCUUAGCUUAGAAUUAUAUCUUAUAUAAAUCACAUGUGGAUAUUCUCUAAAUAUAUUUUGAUUUAAGUCUUAAUAUCUAUAGGUCUUAUUUAGAGAUGUUUUAAUUAUUUGUCCAACACAAUACAUUCUAAUUAUGAUUAUUUGAAUAUAUUCUUUAUAAUUACAAUUAUGAUUUCAUUUGUGAUCUAAAAAAUUAAUUAAUCAUACUUCUCACCUAUAUUUUUUAAUUAUUACUCCUUUCACUCUUAAAAGAAAAUCUUCUCUCUUUCUUAAACUUUUUAUACCAAGCCUUCUAGCUAUAUAUGGUUAGAGCAGCAAAUUUAGUGCAGCUUUUGUAGAUAAGAGGGCUACUGAAAAAUUCAUCAAACCACAAACCAAAAGUUUCAAUAAAAUUUGCAGCCCUGGCUGCUGUUAUGAAAGCUGAACUUGAAGCUAAGGUCUGAGUAUUGCUUGGCAGCGUGGUUAUAGAAGAAUUGUGGCGGAAUGUAACAAGUCUACAGCAGUUCACCUACUGGAAAAUUAUGCGGGAACCGAUCAAUUGGAUAGGCAGCUGCUGCAAACACAAUGGGAGAUUCAAAUCUCGUAGACGAGAAUCAUGCGGCAGAUUCAAGUAGACAAGUACAGAAAUACAAAGUUGCAGACAUUAUUGAAAACGCCAUUAGCUGGUAUAUGGAACAUACUCAUUGAGGAUGUAAUGAAUAUUAAGUAUAUGCUAGGUUGUGAUACUUGGGAUCGUGUAGUUCUCCUUUAUUAUGAAAACUAAAAUAAAAUUGUUGCUCUGACUAUUGUUUAAUGGUGAAUAAACCUGUGAUCUAAAAUAGUAGUGCCACCUAAACAAAGAUUCUUCAAGUGGAGCAAGGUCUGCCGCCUAAACAAAGAACAAUGAGACAUGAAAUAAGCAUAGGCAGAACAAACAUCAUUUCUCAGUAUAACUGGAUAUUCAAAAUCAAACAAGUAAAGUCGCUUUAAUGUCACUAAUAUUUAAUUACUUAAAAUCAUUCCAUUUCAGGAUAUGUUAUGAAAAGAGGUGAGACAAACAAUUCCCAUGCAAAAUAACAAAGCGGAUAUUCCUAAACUACAAUAAUUCAUCAAACACAAUUUCGAUUAAUAAUUCAUUUUCCUCAAUAUUAGACUAAUUUAGACCAUUUAUAAUUUAUAAAAUUUUAAAUUGAUAAUAAUAAAACUACAUUAUAACCCCUUAAAAUGAUAAAAACUUAAUUUAAUUUUUUAAAAUUAUUAAAAUUUAAACUAUUAUAAUGAUACAAUUAUAUUUUUACUAUAAUAAAAAUAUACAAUUUAAUUCAGACUCCCUCAAAAUAAUUUCUGACUCCACAUCUGUUAUACCCAAAUAAAGUGGACAUGAGAAAAAUGGGAUGUAAAGCCCAAAGGCUCCAUUAACAUAUGGAUUUGAUGAACAUUCAAAAUGGGAGGUAUUAUUUGUCUUUCAUUUUUUUUAGGUAUUCGGCUUGCUUCUAGGGAAAGACAAAUCCACAAUUUUCCCUUAAAAGCAGUUUAUAUACAAAUUGGGAUUCCUUUAAAGAAAAUUACAAAUUGAGAAAACUUGUGAGUUAAAUAUAAUUUGGGGGUGGGGCGAGGAAUUUAAUUUAAUUAUUUUUUAUUUUUAAGUAAAUAAGAUUUCUUUUUUUAGUUUAGAGUUGGGCGAAGUGGGCUUAUUUUAAAAUUUAAAUUCGAUUCAAAUUUUUUUAAUUUUACUCCAAUCCUUUCACCGAAACUCAAUUUUUCAAAAGAAAAUUUGACCCUGAUAAAUUGGAUCAAAUUAAAAUCUAUGUAUUUUAUUAUUCCUAAUUAAAAACAAUAAAAAUUUAUAAAGAAUUAUUUUAGGUUAGAAAAUAAUAAAAAUGUAAAAACAGAAACAUAUAUAGUCUUAUAAAGAGGUGGUAAGAUUGAAUUCAAAUGAAAAAAAGGAUUGAUUUGUUUUGAUUUUGAUUUACAUUUUUUAGGGUAUUUUGGUGAUAUUAUUGAUCAAUUUGGUAUUAUUUAAUUUGUAACACCAAAUUCAAUCAAAGAAUUUUUUACAAUAUUUUAUUUUUUUUAUUUUCUAAUGUAUUUCGAUAAUUUAAUUAAUUUUGUUAGUGAUAUUUGACUCAUAUCAUCUAUCUAUAAUAUUAUUUAAAUUUUUUAUUGAAUUAAUAUCAUGAGAAUAAUCUUAUCUUUUAUAUUUUAUAAAAUAAUAUUAUGUUCGGACUUAAAUCUAAGACAAAAUAAUUUCAAAAAAUUUUAAUUUAACUAUUUCAAUCAAAAGCUCAGCUACUUUUUAUGCCAAUAUUUUUAAUAAAUAUAAUUUUUUGUAUUUAUUUCACCUACAUCAUAUGUAUGUCAUAAUCUAGUUAAGUUAAAGAUUUAGCACGGCUUAAGCAUUAAGCCACGAAAUCAAUAAUUUUUGACAAUUAGAAUUGAAUUACAAAAUUUUAAAAUAAUAAAAUUAAAUUUACAAGUUUUUAUAUUAUUUAAGUCAUUGAUUAAAUUGAUGUCACGAGUCAAUUAAAUAUUAAUUCGACUAAAGCGAUUACAAAAAUUUUAGUUUUUAGUUAAAAUAAGUUAUAUUAUUUACAUGUGAUAAGAUUUAAACUUGUAGUAUUUACAUCAUUAAAAAGUUAAUUAAAAGAGGAACUUACAUUUAAAAAAGUUAUUCACUAUUUCACUUAAAAAAAUAUCCUUAUGUUUUUAGAUAAAAAUAUUCAAAAGUUAAAUGUUUUUAUAUAUAUAUAUAUAUAUAUUAAAAAUAGAAGUUUUUUAAAAUAACUAGAAGUGGCACAAUUUUCAAUAUUCAUUAUAUUGAUCAACUUCCUUUUAAAAAUAUCAUUAAUUUCUUCUCCUACACGUCUGAUGGAUUAACACAAUUUUUAAUUCAUAAUUUCAGCAUAGACUUUUAAAUGUUGACUUUCUUUUUUUAUUUUAUUUUAAAAAUAACUUUAAAAAAUUUAUAUUGAGUUUAGACACUUGAAUAUGUAGUGUUGAUAAACGCAAAUUUAUGCGAUUACUUUAUACACAAAAUUAUGUGGAAUAUUGAAGAUUAGAUGAGAGAUGCUAGUUCGAAUCUUAAAGUAGAUAUUAUUGAGAUGGAUAGUCUUUAAUUUUAAAACAUGACCAAUAUGUUAAUUUAAGUUUAAACAUGACUAGUAUACUUGAUUUCUCACUUUGGUCCUUAAAUUUUUUUUUGCUCAUCUCAGUCCCUAGCAUUAUCAAAUGUUCUUAGUUCUACCUAUAAUAUUAUCAGACAUUAUCAAUUCAGUUUUUUGGACGUUAAAAAAAAUUGGCCAACCAAUCAUAUGCUGUUUGAUAUUUUUUUUACUCGUUUAGAUGUUUUUAUACUAAUAUUUUUAUAGUAAUUAAUAUUUUUUAAAAAGUAUAAAUUUUGUAAUUAUAUAAUAAAUUUUACAACCAAACGCGAUAUAAGAAAUUACGUAAAAAAAAACGUAAUUACUACUUUAAAAUUAAUUCCUCAACAAAUCUAAAUCCAAAUCAAAUCACACUGCAAUAUAAACAUAAAGACCUUAAAAUUCUCGAUACCUUAUUUUGAUAUUAAGCUAAAGUGUAAUAGAAAAAAGUAAUUUCAAUAUUAACAUUGAAAUUCCGAGCUAAAAUCCUACCACUCGUGAUUUAUUUUGAUAUGUGGGAUUUGUUAACUUAAGUUUAAUUAAUUGUGCAAUAAUUGUGACUUCCGUCAUCAGUCAUUAAAUUAAAUGUUAAGAGCACAUAAAUCGAUCGUGCUUCCCUUAUCCAGAAUUUUAACUACUAAUAUAAAAUAUUUAUCAUAAUAACAUAUCUUUGAGAAAUUACUCACGCUUGUCAUAUAUAAUAUAAAAGUAUUUUUUUUUAAAUUUAUUGGAUUUAAAUCUCAAGCUUUUCUUAAAAAAAGAAUUAACUUUAUUAUAUUAUAAAUAUUGAUUCAAUUUUGCUUUAUAAACCUUUAUUUUUAGUAUAAUUAAACUUGAAAAAGAAAAAGAAAAAGAAAGCAAUGCAAGAGCCCGGCAGCCAGAAAAGAGAAGGAACUUCCUAUUUCGUAACGCCUCGUCACGAUGCCGCAAUUUACUUUUCAAACAAUAGUAACCGUAGCCGAAGCCCACAGCUAAGAGAGGGGCAUUUCAGUCUAUUGGCUCUCAAACUUGGACUGACCAGAAAAGAGAAAAAAAAAAAUCAAAGCCCGAUCUGGAUCUGAAGACUGAAGCAGCCUCUCUGCUUGGCUGCGUGUACCAAAACAAGUCACUGUUCUCCUUGCCUUCUCUGGGCUCCGUACUCUUUGCACUUCGUUUUCCCGUUUCUUGUGCAAUUAGAACAAACGCUAACCCUGUGGACUCACUGAGUCAACUCGUUUCCAGUCCUUACUCAGAUAAUUCAGCCUGCCACGAGUAGAGACAGAUUAAGGAAAAAAAAAAGAACGGACCCUAUCAUUUUGCUAUCCAUUUCCUAGAUCCGAGUUUAUAAGCGAAGUGCAAUAUCCGACUCGGGAAUGGCUUCUGCGGAAGCCGAUUCCCGGAUGAGCCAAGUGGUAGUCCCGGCCCUUGAGAAGAUCAUCAAGAACGCUUCAUGGCGGAAGCACUCCAAACUUGCUCACCAAUGCAAAUCCCUUCUCGAGAAACUUACCACGAAGUUGCCUUUAUUUCCGUCAGAUUCGGAGCCUGAUAACUCGAUCCCUGGUCCACUCCAUGACGGCGGCCCAGUGGAAUAUUCCCUUGCUGAAUCGGAGUCCAUUCUCACCCCUCUGAUCAACGCAUGCGGAACCGCUUACAACAAGAUCGUCGAUCCAGCUGUUGAUUGCAUUCAGAAAUUAAUCGCCUACGGUUACCUACGCGGCGAAGCGGACCCCACUGGAGGUCCCGAGGCUCAGCUCUUGUCAAAAUUGAUAGAAUCCGUCUGCAAAUGCCACGAUUUAGGGGAUGAUGCUGUUGAAUUACUGGUUUUGAAAACGCUCUUAUCGGCGGUAACAUCUAUCUCACUGCGAAUUCAUGGUGAUUGUUUGUUGCAAAUUGUGAGAACUUGUUAUGACAUUUAUUUAGGGAGUAAAAAUGCGGUUAAUCAAACGACAGCAAAAGCUUCCUUGGUUCAAAUGUUAGUGAUUGUUUUUAGGAGAAUGGAGGCUGAUUCAUCAACCGUUCCAAUUCAGCCAAUUGUAGUGGCUGAAUUAAUGGAACCUGUUGAGAAAUCCGAUGCGGAUGGAUCGAUGACUCAGUUUGUUCAAGGGUUUAUAACCAAAAUUAUGCAGGACAUUGAUGGAGUAUUGAAUCCAGUGGCACCGAGUAAGGUUUCUUUAGGUGGCCAUGAUGGCGCAUUUGAAACUACCACUGUUGAGACCACUAAUCCAACUGACUUGCUGGAUUCUACUGAUAAGGAUAUGUUGGAUGCAAAAUAUUGGGAGAUUAGUAUGUAUAAGACAGCAUUAGAAGGGAGGAAAGGGGAGUUGGCAGAUGGCGAUGUGGAGAGAGAUGAUGAUUUGGAGGUUCAGAUUGGGAAUAAGUUGAGAAGGGAUGCCUUUUUGGUGUUUAGAGCGCUUUGCAAGUUGUCAAUGAAGACACCACCGAAAGAGGCUAUGGCGGAUCCUCAGUUGAUGAGAGGGAAGAUUGUGGCGCUUGAGUUGUUGAAGAUUUUGUUAGAGAAUGCUGGAGCUGUAUUUAGAACAAGUGAAAGGUACCUUUAACGUCUUAUCUGAUUUUUUUGAUUAUUUUAAUCUGCCCUUUGAAAAGUUUCUUAUGGUUAGCUGUUUAAUUGUCGAUUUGCUUUGCUGCUAUGUUCUUGGAAAAUGUGAUAUGCAACUCUUGAUACAGUACACCCUCUUAAUAUUAGUUUGCUGCUAGGCAUUUAGUAUGUGCUAGAGGAUAAACAUGUUCCAAGUAUAGGCUAUAUCCAGAGACAACUAUAAGGCAUAGGCUCUUAGGUAUCGAAUCUUGGAGGAUUGGCAAAAGCAUUAGAGCAUUUUAUUGGGUUUGGAAACACCUUAAGUUGCUUUUCAUGUCGAGGAGUAUUAAAAUAAAUCUUGUUAGUGUGGAAAUUUGGUGAAUAUUUUGAUCUUUUCGUGGUAACCACCUGGGCAUGCACCCAUGAAAAAUUUAGCAAAUUUCUCUGGAUGGUUUUUUAAGGAGUCUUCUUUUUGACCAUUUUUGUUUCUUCACCUCUGUUUAUUUUAGAAAGGUAUGUUGCAUUUGCUUGUUAAUUUCAACAAUCCAUUUUGUUUGCCUUCAUAGUGCAGCACAACCUUUACACUCUGUUUGAUAAGAAGGAUGGAAAUGAGAAAGGAAAGUUGAGUUACAAAAUAACAAAUCUGAUUUUGAAUCCCAACUGUAUGAUUAAUAAAUUUUCCUUCCAUAUCUCUUUCCAUCUUCCCUACCAUUAUUUUUUGGUAUUUGUGAGUUUUACUUUAUUCUGAUGCUGAGAUCACUUUAAGAAAAAAAGUUGAAAGUUAACAUGGGGGUAGUACAUAUAAUCUUGUCCAUCUCCUUAAUUAGAAUUGACAUAAUAUUCUAUUGCUUUCCCACAUUUUUUAGUUUUUGUUUGCUCAGAGUACCUGUCCCGAUACUACCUUUUCCUGAAUUUGAAAAUUUUCUUCUGGUGGAUAUACUUGUGCUGGUACAGGUUUUUAGGUGCCAUAAAGCAAUACCUGUGUUUGUCACUGUUGAAGAACAGCGCUUCAUCUCUUAUAAUUGUUUUCCAGCUUUCUUGCUCCAUUUUCAUUAGUCUAGUCUCAAGGUUUCGAGCUGGCCUGAAAGCCGAGAUUGGAGUGUUUUUUCCUAUGAUUGUCCUCAGGGUCUUGGAAAAUGUUGCUCAACCUAAUUUUCAGCAAAAGAUGAUAGUUCUUCGUUUUCUGGACAAGCUUUGUGUUGAUUCACAGAUCUUGGUAGAUAUCUUUAUCAACUAUGAUUGUGAUGUCAAUUCAUCAAACAUAUUUGAGAGGUAUCUUCAGUACUCUUAUAAUAAUGUCACCAAAGUUAACAUCAAAUGUUUGGUAGAUGUUCAUGACUUCUGCAUAUUUCUCAUUCUUUUUCCAUUAUGGUUCUUUAUAGAAUGGUCAAUGGACUUCUAAAAACGGCUCAAGGUGUUCCUCCCAGUACAGCUACAACGCUGUUACCACCUCAGGAAGCAACCAUGAAACUUGAAGCUAUGAAGUGUUUAGUGGCUAUUUUAAAAUCAAUGGGAGACUGGAUGAACAAACAGUUGCGCAUUCCAGAUCCUCAUUCUACUAAGAGAUUUGAAGCUGUUGAGAACAGUUCUGAGCCUGUAAAUGUCCCCCUGGCAAAUGGUAAUGGAGAUGAGCCUGUUGAAGGAUCAGAUUCUCAUUCUGAAACCUCUAGUGAAGCUUCUGAUGCUUUAUCAAUUGAGCAACGUCGAGCUUACAAGCUUGAGCUUCAGGUAUGUAUGUAGAUGAUGUAUGGUAAAGUGGUCUGACUUUAUCUCAUUUUAGCUAGUCAUCAUUCAUGGGAUCUGAUUUAAAAUUUGUGGCAGGAAGGUAUCUCACUUUUUAAUCGGAAGCCUAAGAAAGGAAUUGAAUUUCUAAUUAGAGCAAAUAAGGUUGGUGACUCCCCAGAGGAGAUUGCUGCUUUUCUUAAAAAUGCAUCUGGUCUCAACAAAACGUUGAUUGGUGAUUAUCUUGGAGAAAGGGAAGAUUUAUCACUGAAAGUUAUGCAUGCCUAUGUUGACUCCUUUGACUUUCAAGGCAUGGAGUUUGAUGAUGCAAUCCGAGCCUUUCUGCAAGGCUUUAGAUUGCCUGGUGAGGCACAAAAGAUUGACCGAAUCAUGGAAAAGUUUGCUGAGCGUUACUGCAAAUGUAACCCGAAGGCAUUCAUCAGUGCUGAUACAGCUUAUGUCCUUGCUUACUCUGUCAUAUUGCUCAAUACCGAUGCUCAUAACCCUAUGGUCAAGAACAAGGUGCAUAUACAUUCUCUAUCUGAUCCGAUUGACUUCUAGUGCAAGAAAAUUGAUGAAGUUCUCCCUUUCCUAUUUGAAAUGUGCAGAUGUCAGCUGAUGAUUUCAUAAGAAACAAUCGUGGUAUAGAUGAUGGAAAAGACUUGCCAGAAGAGUACUUAAGAUCAUUAUUUGAACGGAUAUCUAGAAAUGAGAUCAAAAUGAAAGAGGAUGAUCUGUCCGUGCAGCAGAAGCAGUCAGUGAAUUCCUCAAGAAUAUUAGGUUUGGACAGUAUCUUGAAUAUUGUGAUACGCAAGCGUGAUGAAGACCAACAUAUGGAGACCAGUGAUAAUCUUAUCAAGCACAUGCAAGAACAAUUUAAGGAGAAAGCUCGGAAAUCUGAGUAAGAUCAACUGGAUUUUAACUUUUCAUAUUGUGCUCUCUUAUAUGGAGAGAUUCCUGUUUGACCGUGUAUAGUUAAACUCAUUUUAUUUGUGCCUCUUCUUUUUCUAAAAUAUUUUUAUGCAUUUAUUUAUCAUUUGAAAAGGGCGGAAUUUCAAGGAGUACUUUCAUUUAAUUUUUUUACAUGGUUUAAGCUAAAUUAAUACUUUGAGAUUUUGUAAACAUUAUAUUCAAUUUCCUACAUUUUUGCUUUUACCCUGUCACACAUUUAACAGGAUUUUCUCCCAUGACUUAGCACUAAACAUGUUUUGAGAAAUAUGGUUUUUCCUGUUUGGAGAAGAAAGCUUGUUUUUGAUUAUUCCUUGAUUUCUUUUGUACUUGCAAUUUGUAGGUCAGUUUAUUAUGCUGCUACAGAUGUAGUGGUUCUGAGAUUCAUGGUUGAGGUGUGCUGGGCUCCUAUGUUGGCUGCCUUCAGUGUGCCUCUUGACCAAAGUGAUGAUGAAAUAGUGAUAGCAUUGUGUCUUGAAGGCUUCCGCUAUGCAAUCCAUGUGACUGCUGUGAUGUCCAUGAAGACUCAUAGAGAUGCUUUUGUGACUUCAUUAGCUAAGUUUACUUCACUGCACUCUCCUGCAGAUAUCAAGCAGAAAAAUAUAGAUGCUAUCAGGGUUAGUAUUUUGGUUCAUCUGCACUGAUAAGUUGUUUGUUAGCUUCAUGGAUUCUUAAUCUGAAAAUUUUAGUAGUGCUUAAUUUAUGUUCUCCACCCCCCCCCCCCUUUAUCUUAUCUCAUUCAAGUGCUUGUAAACUGGCAAGCUAUGUGAUGCCGUGUAUUCUCAUCAGCAACUUAUCAUUAUUAUAGCAAUUGCUGAUAGUCAUUGUAACCUUUGGUAUAGUGGUGACAAUGAUGGUGACUUGCCAAACCUCACAAGAGGAGUGCUAUUAGGGCAAGUUUGCCUUACUUAAUGUGAUCAUCCUGAUGUAUUCAAUGAAUGUAUUCUUUAAAGCAAAGGUUUAAUAAGUACCCUUAGAAAGCUCAUUAGUAUGAUCCAGUUAUUUGAGAGAAAAAUUUCACUUGCUUGUAGAUCUAACAUUGAAUUUUCCAUUUACAUUGUUGAUAGGCAAUAGUUACACUUGCAGAUGAAGAUGGAAAUUAUUUAAGAGAAGCUUGGGAACAUAUUUUGACGUGUGUGUCUCGGUUUGAGCAUUUGCAUCUAUUGGGGGAGGGUGCUCCUCCAGAUGCCACUUUCUUUGCCUUUCCUCAGAAUGAUUCAGAAAAAUCUAAGCAAGCUAAGUCAACUGUACUUCCUGUUUUAAGGAAGAAGGGACCCGGAAGAAUUCAGUAUGCUGCUGCUGCUGUGAUGAGGGGCUCAUAUGAUAGUGCUGGUAUUGGAGGUAAUAUUGCUGGGGCAGUCACAUCUGAACAGAUGAACAAUUUAGUUUCUAAUCUCAACAUGUUAGAACAAGUUGGUGAAAUGAACCGUAUAUUCACACGUAGUCAAAAAUUGAAUAGUGAGGCUAUCGUAGACUUUGUUAAGGCUCUCUGCAAGGUGUCCAUGGAGGAGUUGCGAUCUACAUCUGACCCUCGGGUUUUUAGCCUUACGAAGAUUGUUGAGAUUGCGUAAGAUUCAUUCCACUUCUCUUCCUAGGGCUUAUUUAAAUGCUGUAUAUUUGUUUAUAUUCUUAACUGUUAGUUUUCUGAUAUACUGACAGGCAUUAUAACAUGAACCGGAUCAGGCUUGUAUGGUCAAGCAUCUGGCUUGUACUCUCUGAUUUCUUUGUGACUAUUGGCUGUUCUGAAAACCUGUCAAUUGCAAUUUUUGCAAUGGACUCUUUACGGCAGCUAUCAAUGAAAUUUUUGGAGCGAGAAGAGUUGGCUAAUUAUAAUUUUCAGAAUGAAUUUAUGAAGCCUUUUGUCAUUGUUAUGCGCAAGAGCAGUGCCGUUGAAAUCCGAGAGUUAAUCAUCAGAUGUGUUUCACAGAUGGUGUUAUCUCGUGUCAAUAAUGUCAAAUCAGGAUGGAAGAGCAUGUUCAUGGUAUUGAAUUUUUAAUAACUUAAACUUUUGUCUUUAUCAAUUUAUUACCGAACUGAUAAAUCUUUUCUCAGGUUUUCACUACUGCAGCUUAUGAUGACCACAAAAACAUCGUACUGUUAGCCUUUGAAAUAAUAGAAAAGAUUAUUCGAGACUAUUUCCCAUUCAUCACUGAAACUGAAACAACCACCUUCACUGAUUGUGUGAAUUGCCUAAUUGCAUUCACCAAUAGUAGAUUCAACAAAGACAUUAGUCUCAAUGCAAUUGCUUUUCUACGUUUCUGUGCCACAAAGCUUGCAGAAGGGGAUCUUGGCUCCUCGUCAAAAAAUAAGGACAACGAAUUUGGGAAGAUUUCUCCAUCUUCAUCUAACAAGGGAAAAGAUGGAACACAAGAUAAUGGAGUGCUAGUGGAUAAGGAUGACCAUCGCUAUUUCUGGUUCCCAUUGUUGGCUGGUACGGAAUAAUGAACUAGUUGUUUUUAUAUCACAAUGCAUUUGAAAUUGCUUGAGUUUUCAAAGUUGUUUAUCCUAAUACUUUACAAAUGCACUCUGUUCUAAAAUUGCAUCACAUUUUGAUCCGCAGGUUUAUCAGAACUCAGCUUUGAUCCAAGGCCAGAAAUUAGGAAGAGUGCUUUACAAGUGUUGUUUGAAACUUUACGGAACCAUGGUCACCUCUUCUCACUACCUUUGUGGGAAAGGGUGUUUGAGUCUGUGCUUUUUCCAAUAUUUGACUAUGUGCGUCAUGCUAUUGAUCCAUCAGGUGGUGACUCACCUGGGCAGGGAAUUGUUAAUGACAUUGAUGAACAUGAUCAAGAUGCAUGGCUCUAUGAGACGUGUACUUUGGCACUCCAAUUAGUUGUAGAUCUUUUUGUGAACUUCUAUAAUACUGUCAAUCCUCUCUUGAGGAAGGUUCUUUCAUUACUUGUAAGUUUUAUCAAGCGUCCCCACCAAAGUCUAGCUGGUAUUGGAAUUGCUGCAUUUGUACGUUUGAUGAGCAAUGCAGGCGAUCUUUUUUCAGAGGAGAAGUGGCUGGAAGUAGUUUCUUCAUUAAAAGAAGCUGCUAAUGCUACACUUCCCAAUUUUUCUUUCAUUGUUAGUGGGGAUAUCAUGGUUGGAAGCAAUGGUCAUGCUUUGAACAGCCAAAGCAAUGAGGCUUCUGCUGGUUCUGACACAUCUCAUGGAGAUUCAGAGAGCUCGAGAGCACAAUGUGUUUAUGAUCUUUUAUCUGAUGCCAAGUGCCGAGCUGCUGUUCAGCUUCUAUUGAUUCAGGUAAGAUCUCUCUUCUAAAUAUUGAAAAACUGAUUGAAACCUUUCCUCAUAUCAUAAAAUAAGUAAAGAAAUGGAAUGGAGUUAAUCUUCCAUCUCUCUCUCUCCCUCUCUUUCAAAAAAAUAUUUUUUUUAUAAAUUUAGAGUUAGUUGAGGGAGGAUUCAAACUUUUGAAAGGUGUCAUACCCCUCCCCAUCUAAUGCUUAAGACAUUUGUAGCAUAAGCAUGCACCUUUGACUUCAUGUCUCUUCUAAUGCACUUUGACACCUUUAAGUUUUAGAUGAUGGCCUUGGAUUUUUAGGGUUCAUCCAACUAUAAUCUUUUGGAAUUAGUCCCCCUACUAAGUGCAUCAAGUUUUAGAAAUGUUGAUAACUAACAAGCUGUUUAGCUUAACCACAUUGUCAAAGUUAUGGAACAAAGGCUUGAAUUUUGUGAAGAUAAUAAUUUUUUUGGAUUGAAAGUUUCUAAAACGAGCAAGCGUCACUGUUAAUUGACCUUAGAAAUGAACAGCUGCUAUCUUUUCUGAUUUUUUAAUGUUUGUACUGAGAUCUAACUAAAUAAUAGGCUUAUUCUAUGUUUGAAGUGGACUAACUUCAACCCUUGGGUGUUAUUCUGCAAACAGGCGGUGAUGGAAAUUUACAACAUGUAUCGAACUCACCUUUCGGCUAAGAGCAUCAUAAUCCUCUAUGAGGCAAUGCAUGAUGUGGCAUCCCAUGCUCACAGGAUCAACAACAAUACUAUACUACGUUCCAAGCUUCAAGAGUUUGGUCCCAUGACUCAACUACAAGAUCCUCCAUUAUUGCGCCUUGAGAAUGAGUCGUAUCAAUUUUGCCUUACAUUCCUGCAGAACCUGAUCUUGGAUAGGCCUCCAAGGUAUGAGGAGGCUGAAGUGGAGUCCCAUCUUGUGGAUCUUUGCCAGGAGGUAUUGCUGUUUUAUAUUGAAAGUGCGCGCUCUGGACAGGCUUCUGAAACAUCUGCCAAUGGACAAACUCAAUGGUUGAUUCCUCUUGGUUCUGGGAAACGAAGAGAAUUGGCUGCCCGUGCACCUCUCAUUGUGGCGACUCUCCAGGCCAUUUGUUGUUUGGGAGAAACCUUGUUUGAGAAGAACUUACCUCAAUUCUUCCCUCUUAUUUCGAACUUGGUAAGUACUGAGCAUGGUUCAACUGAGGUCCAGGUAGCUCUCAGUGAUAUGCUUAGUUCCUCGGUUGGUCCCGUUCUGCUGCGAUCAUGUUUGUCCUGGUGAGAUUUGAUUGUAUUUUGGAUGUGUACGAUAAACAUGUGUCCCCCCCCCCUUUUCUUAUCUAGCUCCAUAGUUUUAUUUCCUCCUAUAGGUAAUAACUAUUAACGAAUACAGUGUUAGUGUAUGAAAAGAGUGUUUAGAGUUAGUUUUGAAUCGGUUAAUACUUCCCAUCUUGCUGUGUAGUUAUUACGUGGGAGAAUAGCCACUCUAUUCAGAUUAUAUAGAUAUGAUAUUUUUUUUUCUAUUGUUGUAUCUCUCUUUUCUUUUUUUGCCUUUAACAAAGUUUCAGAUCAUUAAUUUUCAUGUAAAAAGGGACAUUAUUAAUUACUAGAAAUUAAAGACAUCUUAUUGUAUAUACACACUUCCUUUAUGAAGUUGGUGCCUCAUAAUGUCCAUCAUUAUUGUGUCCAACCUGUUGCAAAUUAUAUUUUAUUGUAAUAGUUUGAAGGCAUGCACUAAACCGUACCUUCACCUUUUUCCCCCCAAGUGUUUUUGCAAUGAGCAUUUUGAAGUAAAACGCAAUCAUGCUGUUUCCUGUUAAAAUAUUCAGUUCUUCUAAAACUGACGUUGUUUAUCAUCCAGGUCAAACACCCACACAAUGAAAAUAAGAUAAUUUAUAGAUAACAGAAAAGUAACUUCUCAAAGUUAUCAUCAUAUUGUUCAUUACACAAUUUCUUAGUGCGAGACUGAAAAUCACACCAUUCUUUACUUAAAUAUUAAAAAUUACAAUUUUCCAAAAAAAUUGUUUCAGUUGAACUCAAAAUAUUAUUACAGAAGAUUCCUAACAAAAGUAAUCAGCACUCCCGUAUAUGUGGGAGUGAAUUUUAUACAGGGCAAUCAAUUGCCCUUAAUUGCCUUAUAAAAGAGUUAAUUUACAGUACUAUUUUGAUGAUUAAAAGGCAAAUCUAGUGCUUUGUUAUUUAAAUGGAACUUACACCUCGCUCUCUCAGAAAUUAUUAAAGACCACCAAGUUUCUGGGUUAUGCUAACUCAUACUUAACUGGUUGCAAAUGGUUGAACUGAAACCGUUAUACAUAUAUAUGAAAUAUUGUUGUUUCUGAAAGUCUAACCUAAUUUUUUUAUACGAAAUUUUUUAAAUGAGUCGCUUCAUUUAUUUAACAAAAACUUCAUAAAUGACAACGACUGCUCAAAUAGAAAAAAAGAAAAUAUGGGAAAGAAACUGUGUUGACAAUUAAGAUUAGUGAUUGAAAUGAAAGAAGUCAUACAAGCAGGUGAGGAGAUGACAACAAUGAUUCCAAAAAGAAAUCGCUAUCAAUCACAUGGCAAGCUCAGUUUGGUCGGCUGUUUUAGUCUUAAAAAAUUCCCACUGCUCGAUGUGUUUGGAUUUAAUUAAGUAAAGAAAAUGCAAGCUUUCAGUUGGCCCCUUCCAUGCAGGACAGAGAAAAAUGGGUGCAACAAUCUCGACUCACUUUGGCUAUAAAAGCGGCUUCUUAGACACCAAGAACAUGGAUGCAAAACACAAUGUUAGAUUCGAAGCACCCUCACAUGGUGCAACUGAAACCACAUUUCUUUUUGCUAUUAGUCCUUGUACGUUGUAGAUUUAGUCCCUAUACUUUAAUCUUUAUACUUUUUCAAGUUUUAAAAUUUUAAAUCAUUACCAUACAAUAACUAUUAAUUUCAUUAAAUUUUGGUAUUUUCAAGAUCUGAUGCUGUAUUAUUUUCCACAUAUUACUUAUUAAAAAUCUAAUUAAUAGAUUGAUGAUUAACAUUUGUGUAGAGAUUGAAAUUUCAAAAAUUCGACUAAGUACUAGGACUUAAAAUGAUCCAAUUGAGAAUAUGGAUUAAACCUAUAACAUUAGGUACAAUACAAAGUUAACAAUUGAAUUUAACCAAAUAUAUUAAAAAGUCAAGACUAAAAUUUUAAAAUUAAAAAAAAGUAGAGAAUUAAAUCCACAACUUUAUAAAGUAGGGAGACUAAUAUCAAAAUUUAACUUUCUUUUUCU